rnacentral:lncRNA from 1 species
UUUUUUUUAAACUUUUCAACCUUUCAUGAGAGAAAAUGGUAAAAAAAACAAGAAUUUAAAAUUGUUCAACCACGAUGAAUUUAUUUGUACAAAUAAUGCACCAUCAACAUGACAACAUAAUUAUGCAUUAGUUGAACAGUUUGUAGGAUAUUUUCUUAUAAAAUUAUUUGAUCAUAUGUAAUUAGUAUCAUAUUUUUGUUGUUGCAUGCUUUUUUCUGACAUUAUUAUUCAUGUCAUUUCAUUAGGGACACCAAAGCCCGCCCAUCCGUUUAGGCCCACCCUGCUUAAGUUGUUAAUCUUAAUAAGUUGUAAACUUCUCAUCCCACAAUUAAUAGCGAAACACUCUACCUGGACAAAUUUGUAGAUAACUAAUAGCAUACACCAAGUAAGGUAAACUUUAUUAUGAUGCAAAAUUUAUGGUAUCAUGUCUUGUACACUUAUGAUAACCAUUAUUGAAUUUUCAAAUGCUACAUGGUGUAUAUAAUCAAGUAUUAUAAAAUGCAAAAGUUGAAUGACAGAUAUAUAAUGGCAAAAGAUCCGAACACAUUUCCUUGAUGUCCAAAAUAGAUAGCAUUGGUUCAGGACCAUUUCAUCAUAUUGAGUAGUGAGCAUUACAGAACCCUUAAAAUAAAAAGUGCUCAUUAGAACAUGAUAUUAAGUUUAAGACUUACGUAUUCUACAUCCAUCUCAACCAUGUAUAUACGAUACUUAACACGAAGCUUAUUGAUCUUCCUCUCCAUAGCAUUAGUUGGGGUAGGGAUCAAAGGUGCUGCACAAAACAUGAAAUGGUUAAUAGCUAGAAAGAUGACAAACAAUUAAUGGCAAUGAUUAAAGAACGAUGAAAUAUAAUGGUUUGACAUAAAAAAAAUUAAAGAAAUCAGAAGUAAAAAAAUUCACCAAUUAACAUAUGAUAGAAGAACAUUGCCUGAAAGUUAUGGUGGUGAGCCAUCACUGGAUACAAAAACGGCAACUCCAUAACUGAAAGCUUGAAUAUAUAUAGUGGGUGCAACCUUUGAUAUGAAACCACAAAACCUUGGAAAAUUGAAAGGAAUUCAAUAUCGGUUGGGAAUCCAAUAGUUGGGGGCGUUUUGAUUAGUAUAACCGCCAUUUAAUUUUUGUUGUGAAUCUAAUCAGAAAGGCAUACUCAGCAGAUUUUGUAUCACGUCUUGGGAAUUGUGAUAGCAAUAACUACGUAUGCCAAAAUAAAAGGGAAGUCAAGUUAAGCGGUUCCAAAAAAAAAAGGAACACCAAGGCGCCAAAAGAAGUAGAAAUAGAAAGAUUAUGUUUAUUGGGAAUAGAUGGAAUGGGUGGAGAUCAACACAGAUGCAUCCAAUGGCCAUAACAGUUUGGAGCCAAAACCAUUAGAAUUAGGGUUGGCACAAUUUGUUAGCAAUGUUAUUCAUAUUAGAAAUAAGUAUGAUGUACUUCAAAUUCUUGGAUGUCUUUUCCUAUGUUUCUUUAUGGAAUGUCUAUAUCAAAUUUUAUGUGUUUUGAAAGACAAAUUUAAGAUACAAGAGUUUCUAUAAGUUUAGAUGACCAUUUUAUUGUUUUUAUUUUCUUUCUAGGUUCGCCUUUAAAAAUUGUGAUAAUUUACGCAACAUCAACUAAAAUUGGAAACAUAGAGUUCACAAAUAUAUAAGGUAUUUACCCACAAGCAAGGAUAGAAAUACUACAGUUGGCUAGUCUGAUUGACCCCACUUCCAAAACGUGGAAUUAGGACAUUAUCACGAGUAGUAACAAUUGAAGCUAUACUAAAAAACCACCCGUUCAACAAGUUACCGACGAUAGGUUGGUGUGGAAGGCGGAGAAAAAUGGACAUUACUCGGUUAAGAGUGCUUAUCGACUAUGUAUUAACGAUUUGUCAAGUUAGGGUAUGAGCUUUAGUGAUUUGUGAACUUGAUAAGAUCUAGAAUGACCCUGAUCCAGGUAUUUAUAGUGGGUGUGACCUAGAGGAAGGCACAAUGACUUCCCGGUUCAUCUCGGACAUGGGCUGCCAACUUCCUCCUUUUCAGGGAUUGUGGACAGUGACGUCUUAUGAGCCCUUUGUCUGUUUCUCCAACUCCUUUGUGAUUGAGUCAAUACCCCAUGUGUUCCUUAGGGGGAUUUAACAUAAGUGUAUCGUGCGAUUGAACCCUUUCUCGGGCCAGUGCUACUAUGCCGAGAACGUGACUAAUCCACUCUAUGUUACACUAUGCUUCCCACGUGACUUUUGAUCAUCAACUUAAUUUAUUAUGACGGUACACAACCCUGCAAUCACGAGGCCUAUAAGGACAAAGUGGUUUGAAUGACAAUUUAUUAUAAUGGCUUUACAUUUCUCACCCUGCGUUUCUCACGUGCCCUAUUUCCUUUUUCAAAAUACCCUUUGCUCGAUUAUAUACUUUGAACACCUUUUUUCAUAUUAUAUAAUAGAACUAUUCUCUGGUUUUUCCAAAAACUUGUAAAUAUAUGGUUCAAAAACUAUAAUCUGAAAACUUUCAUAACAUUUCAGGAAAAAUAUAACCCAAAACAUCAAACACCUCAUUUUGAGGCGAACUAUAGUGUACAUAUUGACGCAUUUUGGAUUAUAUUUGCUGAACUAUUAAUAAAUAGUUCAGAUUACAUAAUCCGAACUAUGUCAGGUCAGAAACAGACCCCGUGUUGUUAAAAUGGACACCCUUUUUUGUUAAAUUUAGGCAACAAUAUUGAUUUGAACAUGCAUCAAAACAAAUGAUAUACAAAAAAAAGGAAACACACAUGAAACAACAAAAAUACAUUAAAAACUUAAAUCAUCGGAAUAUUACAUCAACAAAUUCAAACAUACAUAAAAAACUGAAAUUAUCUAAAUGUCACAUUAACAUCAGAAAAUCAGAUAACUACUAGGUAGAAGCACCACCCCUACCACUCGUACACCUUUGACGGUAAGUCAUCUCACCCUGAGCCUCUUUCAAAAUCAAAUCCAAACUAAGCUAAGUUGGACUUCCCUGCUCCAUCUGACCACUGACCAUGAUAGUUCUGGAAGUCUCUGAUGUGUCCUAACUGUCCACUAAAGUCUAGUGGAUGGUUGCUUCAGGUUGCUCAGAAGCAACCUCAUCAAGAGCCUCCUACUCAGGUGGCCUCGAGAUAUGACCAUUAUCCAGAGAUGGUAUCAUGUAUGGAUGUGAAAUGUUUAAAUAAGAUCUCAUGUACCCAACAAUCGUCAUCGCAGUACCAAAUCCUGCAGUCUCAACAUAUGAUCAAGAUAAUGCAAGAAGCGGUGAUUGGCCUCAUGUCGGGUUGUCAUGGGAGGUGAAAAAUAAUGUGCAUGUCUAAAGAUGACCUCGACGUGACAAAACUAGAGCGCCACCCUCUCCGUCAGAUAUCAGACCAUAUGAGGUUUGUCUCUGAGCCAUCUAGAGCAAAGACUGAUUCUCUCAAACAGACGUAUUUGGAGGUGUUGCUGAUUUGAGUCCAUGACAACAGAACUAAGAUUCAUGUGAUGCAUAUGCGAUCCUAUAUGAUCUGUCACAGCCUGACCCUUUGGGGAAACAAACAUCGCGGCACGGGGUGGCGAUCCUCCCUAUAUCUACCCCAGAAAUCCCUAGCCUUGACAGACUUAAAGAGCUAAAAUAUCCAAGCCUACAUCAAUAUAUACCUAUCAAUAGAAAGCACAUAGAAAAAAAAAACAAGUUUAACAGUUAACUAAAUAAGAAUUUCGUUAUUAUACAUGAAAGAUGGUCAAUAUCCUGCCAACUCUGAAGUCUUAUAAUGACAUCCACUAUUAAGAUCCCUAUUGAGGUGAGCAAGGGCAACCUAUCCCCACGCAUAAUCAGCGACCAACUCAAGGUCACGGAAGUACCUGAGGUAUCUCACGUCAACAUAGUUGGCGCUCAUGUAUGUGAAGAGUAUUACACCCAGCAACUACUGUAGAUAAAUUAUGUGUUUAAAUUUUUUCAGAAUUUUACUAUUUAAAUCAAUCAAUAAGCAUAUUGCACACUUAUAAAAUUCUUUUUUAAAGGAACACACUUAUAUCAAUUUAUAAAAUUAUGUACUGAUAUUUUCUAAACACGUAUUAUAAUCAAACUCUUGCAACAUAUGAGCUUUCCACCCAGUAUAUAAUCAUAGCUAGCUUGAAACAUCUUGACUUUGGUAAAUAGAACAACAACCAGAACAUUAUCAGUCUCAUCGCAUGCAAAAAAACAAUACAUUUAACUCAUUGACAUAAGUUUCAAACAAAGUAACAUUGAAACGAAAUCUAACAUAAUAUUAGAAAAACAAUAUAUUUCAGUAAAAUAACUUACUUCGUCGUGGCGUUAUUGAUCAAGCAUCCAGGUUGUGUGUGUCUGAUUGUGGCUCGUUGGAAUCAUCUCAACACUUAUUUUUACAUUGUAAUUUUUUUGGAUCUGUUUGGCACUUCAUUUAUAGGUGGUUAGGCUUGUCAGUGGCUGCCCCUUUAUAGGUGUCGGAUCAUUUUACUCAGUUUACCGGUAGCGGUGGUACCACAAAGGUGCACCGCUCUAUUCUUCAGGUUAUUUGGUUUGUUGUAGUUUGAGAAAUAUGGAAGGAAAGAAACAAUAGGUUGUUUAAUGUCAAAGAUUGCUCGGUUAUCUAGGUGGUCGAUAAGAUUAAGUCGCUUGCUUUUACGUGGUUGAAGACGAAGUAUAUUUCUCUUCCCUUCAAUUACCAUGGGUGAUGGCUUAGUCCGUUUACCAUUUUAGGCAUAGGCUAAGAGUUUCUUUUCUGUUUUUUAUGCUCUGUUCAGGCAACUAUUGUAUAUAUUGUUCUUGACUCUGAUGUCCUUUCCUGAGUACGUCUUGUGCUCGAAAAGACUCUUUUGAGGUAGUAUUAUAAUUCAUUUUAGCUUCUUAAAAAAAAAGUAAAAUAAUUAUAAAAUAAGUAGGAAAUAAAAUUUCAACCUUGUAGACCACCAUUUGAAGAUCUUCAAGAAAACAUUAUGUGUGGUGAAGAAGGACUUUAUAUUUUUUUUAUUAAUAUUAAUACGAAAUCAAACAAUGCAGGUUGCCUGUAAGAAGACUUUUUCAAUUAGAAGACCAAUAACACAACAAGUAUGAAAAUGACUAGUAUUGAGUAACUUUGUGCAGGGAAAGUCAUCAUGUUUUUGUCUUUUUUUAGCAAAAACAAAGUUAAUUCAUUUCAUUCAUAAUUAAAAAGUAUAAAGUAGUCGGUACAUCACAAAAAAUAUGGGGGCUAGGGUUGGAUAAAGAUGCUCUAGCAAUACUAUGAGCAACUUUAUUAGCGUGCCUCCUAACAUACGACACAACAAAGUAGUUUCUAGAAAGUAAGAGACUUCUACAAUGAGAAACAAGGUCACCAAACUCGUUAGCAAGAAUAGAGGUGGUGUGGAGCGCAUCAGAUAAAACUUUGGAAUCAGUUUCGAACAUAACAUCUCGCAUGUCAUUUAAGAUGGCCACCUUAAUAGCUUCUAGUAAGCCUAAUGAUUCAUCUUCAAGAACGGUGGUAGAAGAUGCAAAGUAAUAUGAUUUUCCUAGCAAGAAUAGGCCUGUAGAGUCUCGAAAACACAUACUGUAUCCCAUAAUGGAAUUACCGUUGAAAGAGGCUGCGUCAACAUUACACUUGAUCAUGCCUGGUGACGGUUUGAUCCAAGGUUGUUCCGUAUGAUCACUUCGGGACCGUACUUUUCCUCUUUGCAUACAUCCCCAUUCAACUAGUGUGUCUUUAGCUCAGCUCACAAUAGCAAAAGGAGAGGUGUCAAUAUCUUCCCAAAGUUUUGUAUUACGACUCUUGCAUAAGCUCCAGAGGGUCAUUGUCGUUAGAGUUAGCUGCUGCACUUGUAACCUGUCAAAUAAAGCAAAUAACAUUGCUGUAAAAUUGUUAGCAGAUGGGAGGAGCGCUUGGAUGGUGCCAUUGAGCCCAAGUAGAUUCCAACAUUGAUUUACCGUAAGAUCUUCAAAGUUUUGCAACGGCAGGGAUGACGGUUUUAGGGAAGGAAGGUUUGAUGUAAGAUUUUUACAUGUAUUAAAACUAUUUACACGUGAGUAUAAUAGGAUCGUUUCCGCAGGGAGUUGCGUAUUUCAUAAGCAUUUUCACAAUAUUUGUCACAUUAAGUGUUUGGGUAUAAAUUGUUUUUUUGUGUAAAACUAUUUUCCUAAUCUACAUAAAAGUAAAACGAGAAGAGAUAGGGCUAUUCCGCUUGCGGUCAGAGACAUCAACCAAGCGUAAUAGCUGCAAUCUCUCGAUCGAUUAACGGAUUCUAGCUUUUUAAAACGAUAUUAUCACAAUCACUCGAAAAUAUCAUUCGUGACCAAAUGAUAUCGUUAUUUCUAAGGGAUCGUUUAAACAUCGAUUUCCCAAACAUUUAAACGAUCACAAAGUCGAUUGGAUAGUUUAAUCGACAAUUUCCAAACCGAUUAAAUUACCCAAAAGCAUUAAGUUCUAGAUUAAAAGUGAUUAUUAAAUAUUAACAUCCAUGUCUAGAGUGAUAACUUAAGAUAGAUUGUUAUUCUAUUUCUAGAUUCAAAAGUAUGUGUCCAUAUCAUUUUGAAUCUCAAUAAACAAUAAAAGCAAGAAUAACAACAAUAUUGAAUAAAUAGCUAGAACCAUAUAUUAAUGAUCAAAAGAUUACAUAAUAGCUUGUUUGAAUACCUCAAAACUACAAGAGUAGAUGUAGCUACAUAUGUCUAUGAUAGCUUUGCAAACGAUGAAGAAAAGAUGAAGAUUUCAUGACAAGAUCCAUGAUCUCUCAACAAAUCUUGGCUUGAAUCUACUUCUUGAAGGUGAAAAACACAAGAAGGGGGGGGGUUGAAUUGUGUUUUCUUUUUCUCUUAAAAAAGGAUUCUUCUUCUGAUAAAACUUCAGAAGCAGUUUGAUUGCUUCUGAUGAAAUGAUCAGAGUCAGAUUGCAGCGGAAAAGAACAGAGCAGAGAAAAGAAAGACAAAGACACAGGCAGUUAUCCUGGUUCCUUCCACAACACGGAAGUAGUCCAGUCCCCCUUGCACUUCCAAGGAGAUUUCACUAUAAUCACAAGAUUACAACUGCUCAAUACUUUCAAAGUAUGAGACUUCACAAAACAAUGCUCAAGCACACACGCAAGAGUCUUCCAAUGCUCAAGCACUAAGCAAGAGACUUCUAAUGCUCAAGCACGCAGGCAAGAGACUUCUAAUCAAACAAAAAUACAGAGAAUUGAGUUUGAAUUGAACACUUGAUAUACAAUCAGUGGUGUUCACAAUACAAUACAGAAAAGACUCUAGACUUUGAAUUUCUAAGAUGUAUCAAAUCAGUGCAGAAAUUCAGUGUGCUUUUUAGAAUCAAAUUGACAGAGUUUUGGCGCUUUUAAACUUAUGUAUCUCUCUCUAUUAUCUUCAAGUCUUCACUCCUUUAUAUAGAGGCGUGAAAGAGACGUUGAGAUAAUCAGCACGUCUAAAGAGUCGUUUGAAAUCCUUUGAUUAUCCACCAGUGAUCCUUUGCCUGAUUUGGGUGUAGUCCUUUGAAGAAUAAACUUCAAAUUCAUUCCCAUCUUGAGUGUACAAUUCUGCAGGCAUGGCUGUUGUUUUGUCUUGUAGCGUAGACAGAAAACAGAGUAGUGGAGGUAGUGGUUGUACACUUGUACUUUGUCAACUCUAUUAACGAGAGACAAGAGCUCAGUGCUAUCCAUAUAUCCGUUGAUACCUCCCUUUCAAUUCUUCGUUCUUCUUUGAUAAGACUGAAUUGAAAAUCAGCUACUUUGAAUCUUCAGUUUGAUUAAAGGAUCAAACGUAGCUUCUGGUGAAGAUAUUGCUUCUGAUGAAAACUUUUGCUUCUGAUGACCUUCUGCUUCUGAUGACGUCAUCUCUUCAGGAGCAGUUUAGCUUCAGGAGCAGUUUUCUUCAGAUGCUCAGAAUUUCUUUUUUCUUUCCAUUGUUCUUCCAAGACCUAUUGAAAUAACUUAAGUAGCCUUUGGUCCUGUACACUUGAACAAUUAUUAGUAAUAACCAAUUGACAAUUUUUAAUACCUUGUUAUCAUCAAAACUCAAUAAGGUUCAUUGUGAAACACACUUUGUUCCAACAAUCUCCCCCUUUUUGAUGAUGACAAACAAUAGUAUUUAAAAUGUUCAAUUGUUGUUGAUCUAAUUAAUAAGUUGACUACUGGGACAGAGGUUUGUAAGCUCCCCCUGAGUCUAAUAGAUCUUUAAGGUGAGGUUUGUAAGCUCCCCCUAAGUUCUAUUCUUAUUAAUUAAAUUUCAAUAAAAUACUUAUAAAAUCAAAUCAGAAGUAUUUAAAAGAAAUUUAGAAGUGGUUAUAGUAGGGCUCAGUGCCUUAAAAAAAUACUAUACAUUUACUCCCCCUUUUGUCAUCAACAAAAAGAAUAGAAACAAAAGAAAGAGUAUCAGAGCAAGCAGCAUUAAAAACAGUAAAUAUCAUCAGAGUUAAAGCUUGUAAAACAUAUUGAAGGUGAAAAAGCACAAGAUUCAGAAACAAUGAUAAUAUAUAUAAAGAAAGAUUAAGAUACAAAGACACAGCUACUAAGAACAAAAGUAAAAAACAAGCUAGAGUUGGGUGUGCAACUAAGGUUGGGCUUGCUUAUACAACUGUUCUAAGAGAUACUUGAUCUGAUCAUCCUUCUUCUGAAGUAGCUCAUCCUUUUCCCUCAUUCUUCUUUUAUAUCCAGCCUGAAUUCUAGCAGCCCUAGUGAUGUACUCUUCUUCUGGAUAGAAAGGAGUGAUGUCCAGCAGAGGCACAAAAUUCAGCUCUUUCUCCUUAGCUGCUUCAUGCAUAUCAUCCAAAAGCUUCUUCAGCAUAGCAGAGUGAGAUGACACACAUUUAGUUCUAAGCUAAUCCAGCAGCUCAUCAAAGCUCUUCUGUAGAUCCAUCCACUGAUCAUAAUAGUGAAUAGGAGGUGCAGGAACUGUUCUGCGAAGAAUCAGUGCCUGAAUCUCAUCACUAAGUCUGAUCAGUUGUUCCUCUAUAUACUCAGACUCCAGGAUAUGGUCAGGGAUGGGUGAAGGUUCAGUUUGAGUUGUAUUUGAUGUGGAAGGUUGGUCAGAGGUUAAGUCUAUUAUAGUGGGUGAAUCUGGUUGUUGUUGUUCUGUUGUUUGGUCAGAAGGUAUAUGUUGGUCAGAAGUUGUUUGGUCAGGAGCAACUUGUUCAGAAGCAGUUUGCUCCUGAACAGUUUGCUCAGGGAUGGUUUGGGUUUCUGUUUGGGUUUCUGUUUGGGUUUCCAAGACAGUCUUUUCAGAAACUGUCUUAGAGGCCUUAGUGGGUGUUGGUUGCAUUUCACCACCUAGAUGUUUUUCUAAGUUGUGAAGGGUUGAGGAUUCUUGGUGUUGGGGGGUUUCUGAAGUAGUUGCAUCUGAAGCUACUUCAGAGGCUUUUUGUGGAGAUUGGUUAUUUGGUGAGUUUGUUUGGGUAGGUUCAGGUUGUUGUAUACUAACAGGUUCUGGAGUAUCUGGAUAUAGUGGAUGAGUAGUAGGCAAAUUGAAUUUCUCACAAAGUUUUAUCCUAUUUUUUGAAAAUUCUAUUUGAGUACUCUCAUAGUCAAGUGUUCCAUACUCUGUUAGUUUGGUAGGUUUGGUUUUUAGAAGCUUGUUUAUAUGUUGGCUAAGGGGUUGGUCAUCUGAUUCUGUGGAUGAUGAAGAGGGUGAAGAGGGUAGAGAUAGAGACUGAGUAUUAGUUGGAGCUUUAGAUGGAUUACCUGAGGACUGAGCUUCUGGAUGAAUUGCUUCUGGAGCUGUUGAAAUUGGAUCUGAUGAAGUUGCUCCUGAAGCUUGCUUAUUCUUCAAGGCUUGAGAAAGCAGAGUUGCUCCAUACUGAACUGUUUCUAACUCAGACGCUAAAGCAGCAAUGUCAGGAGUAGGCACAUACCCUGCAGCCUUGAGACGCUCAUCCCUUUCUUUCUCAAACACUUCCUUCAACCUUUUCUUUUCUGCUAUCUUGGAUGCAGAAACCUCUCUAGCGUACUGCCUCAUUUCUUCAGUCAUUUCAAAACUGGGCAUGACUAUGGGCUCAGAAGUUGCAGUCCUUUUUGCCUUCUUGGGGCUUGAGUCUUCAUCCCAGUUCUCUUCCAGUUCUUUCAACAUUUCUUCCCUUCUUCCUUCAGCUGUCUUCAGAUUUCUUGUUAAAUUAGACCUCUUCCUUUGGAUGGUCUGAAGAGCAGCUUCUCUUUUAUUUUUGGGACUUUAAGGCUUUUCAGAAGCAGCUUGAUCAGAAGCAGCUUGUUCAGAACCAGCUUGUUCAGAAGCAGGCUGUUCUGCUGUUUCUUGAGUACUCCUUGUCCUUUUUCUGAUAAGAGGGACAUCAUCCAAAUCCUCCACUUCCUCAAGAAUGGUGGACAUAGCAGAUUUUUCCUUCUUAGCUUUCUUAUGCUUCUGAGCACCCACCUCAGUAGCAUCUUCAGCAAGGUAUUCUUCCUUGGUGAUCUGCUUCUUUUUAGAUUUUCUGCCUUUGGCCACAGGCAGAUCACCACCAUACAUUUCUUCUGGGAUAUCUUUCAGGCUGAUUUUCUUGUUGUAGCUCUUGUAGUAGUCCAAGAUGUAGGCCCUCUGCACAUCCAGGGGAUCUUUCUUGCAGAUAGGGAUGUGAUGAGUGACUAGAUCAGAUAUGACAUCAGAUUCAUGCAUAUCUGUAUCUAGUUUCUUGCAAGUUGAAAUCAGCCUCAUCUUGACUAGAGUUGCCCCAUUGAUUAUUUUUCCUGUGACUGCUCCCAGCUUCUGAUUAUCAUAAAUACCCACGUCUUUCAGGGCACUUAGGAGUCCUCCUUCUUGAAAGAUUAUGGAGAGCAGCCUUCCAUAGGGAACAAACUUCCUGUUCUCCAUCUGGCUCUUCUUGAGUUCCUUGAUCAUGUAUUUAAACAUAUACUUGGGAACAUUCAUUGUUGUUUCCUGAGAGAUGGUGUGAUGCAGAAAGACUUUGUGACCAAGUGAAGGUUGAUCAUUUCCUCCACCUUUGGGAAAAAUGUUUUCAUUUUGGAUCUUCAGCAGCAUUUUCUUUUCCAUGCUUAAGGUGCUGUAAGGCUUAGCAUCCUUUGAUCCGUAGAUAGUGUUGUUUACUAUCUCCUUCCAUGGGCUUGUUCUGGGGUUAGGAAUCUCUUCUCCAUCGUAUGUCCCAGAAGCAUCCCUUCUCAUGGCUUGAGCAAUCACAUGCUCAUUGAUUGUUACAGGAAUCCCCAUGACGUUUGAUCUAAUCUCAGUCCCAGUGAAGGCGAGUAGACCCAUUUCUUCUCUGGUUUUUCCCUCCAAAGUAGGAUCAACCAGAAUCAUCUGAGCUUCUUCCUGUUUAGCAGCAACUUUGUCAAACACUGAAGCUCUUACCCAGAAUUGUCUGACAAGCACUUCAUAAGUAGGACCGUUGAGAAGACUGAAGUAACUCAUCAGCUUCUGCUUUUUGUAGAAUCUUACCAAGUCGCAUCCAUGAUGAGUUAGAGAAGUGAAAUCCACUGGAUUUUCCGCUUGAAUGAUUAGAUCCCAUUCCUCAAUCGACAUAGUUCUUCCUUUGAUUUCAUAAGCAGGAGUAUCUAUAUCCAUAUUCGAUGAAGAACCACCGGCAGAACUUGAAGAUGCCAUUGAUUUUAAGUAGAAUUAGGGUUCUAAGGUGUUUUGAGAGGUUGAGAGAAUGUGCUUACUUACACAGAGGGUUGAGAAGAAAUUAGAAAGUGUUUGUUGUGAAGUGAGAAGUGUGUGAAAUGACUUAGUGUUUUUUAUUAAAACGUUUGUAAUUCAGAAGGGACAAACAAACACAGCAUUAAUGACAAAUUGGGGGCGCGUGUAAGUAUGUUAAAAAGCGAAUAAAACAUCAUUGCCCUUUUUGUUAUACUCCAAUACAAAUAGACCACGUCAGAGACUCUUCAGAAAACUACUUUUUGGGUAAUGGGACAGCUGUUUACAUAAAGUAACUACCAACGUUCCCACUAACCAAGCUAUUCAGAAGCAAAGAAUAACACUUCUGAAGUUUUAGUGCUGACGUCAUCUUCAGAAGCACAUUUUCCUCAGAACCUCAGUUAAGAGCUUCUGAUGAACCAAAAUGCUCCUGAAUAAACUUCAGAACCAAACUUCUUAUUCAGAGGCAAGCAAUUUUUCAAUCAGACACAAAAUGCAUGUUCAAAUUUUUCUUAAUAAAAUCAAAUCUUUCAACAGACAAAGGUUUUGUAAAUAUAUCAGCCCAUUGAUGUUCAGUAUCAAUGAAUUGUAUAUCUAAAAUUCCUUUUUGAACAUAGUCUCUGAUAAAAUGGUGUUUGAUUUCAAUAUGCUUGGCUCUUGAAUGUAGAAUUGGAUUCUUUGACAAACAAAUAGCAGCAGUAUUAUCACAAUAAAUGGGAAUACUGUUAGCAUUGAUCUGAUAGUCUUCCAACUGAUGUUUCAUCCAAAGUAGUUGUGUGCAACAACUUGCAGCUGAAAUGUACUCUGCUUCUGCUGUAGACAUAGCAAUAGUUGCUUGUCUUUUGCUUGCCCAGGAUAUCAGAUUCUCUCCCAGGAAUUGACAAUUUCCACUGGUUGAUUUUCUUUCAAUCCUAUCACCAGCAUAAUCAGCAUCACAGAAUCCAAUCAACUUAUAAUCUAGGGAUUUCCUAUACAGGAGUCCAAGAUUAGUUGUUCCUUUCAGAUACCUGAAGAUUCUCUUAACUGCAGUUAAAUGAGAUUCUCUAGGAUCUGAUUGAAAUCUUGCACACAAGCAUACACUGAAUAAAAUAUCAGGUCUAGAUGCAGUGAGGUAUGACAGAGAACCAAUCAUACCUCUGUAUAGCUUCUGGUCUACUACUGUUCCAGUAUCUUCUUUGCUUAAGGUGCAGGUUGGAUGCAUUGGAGUGUUCAUCACUUUACAAUCUUCUAGCUUGAACUUCUUCAGAAGCUCCUUUGUAUAUUUUGUUUGAUGAACAUAUACUCCUUCUUUACUUUGGUUGAUUUGAAUUCCCAGAAAGAAUUUCAAUUCUCCCAUCAUACUCAUUUCAAAUUCAUCCUGCAUUAACUUAGAAAAUUCUUUGCAAAGAGAUGCAUUAGUAGAACCAAAUAUUAUAUCAUCAACAUAUAUUUGCACAAUCAAAAUAUCUUUCUUAAGAGUCCUUCUGAAGAGUGUUGUGUCAACUUGUCCUCUUUCAAAAUCAUUUUUAAUUAAGAAAUUACUUAGUCUAUCAUACCAAGCUCUGGGAGCUUGUUUCAAGCCAUAUAGUGAUUUCUUAAGUUUAUAAACAUGGUCAGGAUGCUUAAGAUCCUCAAACCCAGGAGGUUGUUUAACAUACACUUCUUCUUCAAUGACACCAUUAAGAAAAGCACUUUUGACAUCCAUUUGAUAUAAUAUUAUGCCAUGAUUAAUUGCGUAGGAUAGAAGUAACCUGAUUGCUUCCAAUCUUGCAACUGGAGCAAAUGUUUCAGUGUAAUCAAUGCCUUCUUGUUGACUGUAGCCUUGAGCAACAAGUCUGGCUUUGUUUCUGGUUACUUCUCCUUGUUCAUUCAGCUUGUUUCUGAAUACCCAUUUUGUUCCAAUAAUGUUCUUCUGAGAAGGUUUGGGUACCAGAUCCCACACAUCAUUCCUUUGGAAUUGAUUUAGCUCUUCUUGCAUAGCUAAUAUCCAUCCAUCAUCUGAGAGAGCUUCUUCAACAGUUUUAGGCUCAAUUAUUGAAAGCAGUCCUAUUAAAGACUCUUCUUGUCUAAAAUGUGAUCUUGUUCUUCUAGGACUAUCUUUGCUUCCAAUGAUUAACUCCUCAGGAUGUGAAGAUUUGUGCUUGAAUUUAGGUUGAAUAACCUGCUGAGUGUUAUCUUGAAAGUCCUCAGAAGCACUUUCAUUCUGUACUUUUGGGCUAGGUUCUGCUUCUGAAUUAGACUCAGCUUCUGGAGUGAUUUCAGCUUCUGGACAAGAUUCAACUUCUGUAUACUUUUCAGAAUCAGAAGGUUGAUCAGAUUCUGAUGCAUCUUCAGAAUCAGUUGUACCUGCAUUACUUUCACUUUGCUCUGAAGUUUUACUUCCAGGCUCUCUAUCAUCAAAUUUUACAUGCAUAGAUUCUUCAACACGUUGUGUUUCUGAAUUAUACACUCUGUAUGCCUUUGACCUUUCAGAGUAACCUAAAAAGAUUCCUCUUUGAGCCUUGGCAUCAAAUUUCUUCAGAUAGUCUUUAGUGUUUAAGAUGUAACAAGUACAUCCAAACUGAUGAAAGUAAGAGAUAUUGGGUCUUCUUCCUUUAAAGAGUUCAUAUGCUGUUUUCUCCAACAUAGGUCUGAUAUAGAUCCUAUUUUGAAUAUAACAUGAAGUAUUGACUGCUUCUGCCCAAAAAUGUUUAGCUAAGUUGUUUUCAUGGAUCAUGGUUCUGGCCAUUUCUUGUAAGGUUCUGUUCUUUCUUUCUACAACCCCAUUUUGUUGUGGAGUUCUAGGAGAAGAAAACUCAUGGAGAAUCCCAUGUUUUUCACAAAAAAGUUCAAAUGGCUCAUUUUCAAAUUCUCCACCAUGAUCACUUCUGACUUUCAAAAUUUUCAAUUCUUUUUCAGAUUGUAUUUGAGUGCAGAAGCUGCUAAACACUUCACAUGCAUAGUCUUUACUUUUAAUGAAUUUUACCCAAGUCCAUCUGCUGUAAUCAUCAACAAUGACUAAUCCGUAUUUACUUCCAUAUAAAGAUGCAGUGUUAACUGGACCAAAAAGAUCAAUAUGGAGUAAUUCUAAGGGUCUGGAGGUUGAUACAAUGUCUUUAGAUUUGAAAGAACUUUUCACAAUUUUCCCUUUCUGACAUGCACCACAAAGUGCAUCUGAAUGAUAAUCAAUGUUAGGCAAUCCUUUGACCAGUUGUAACUUGCUAAUUUUAGAAAUUAAUCUCCAAUUAGCAUGUCCCAACCUUUUAUGCCAUACCCAUUUUUUAUCAUUCAUUGACAGAAGGCAAACUACCUUCUGAUCAGCCAGAUCAGAGAAAUUUAUUUUAUAGACAUUCUCAACUCUCUUUCCCUUGAAUGUAAUGGAUUUGUCAUCCUUGUUGACUAGUGUGCAGUUGGUCUUACUGAACGUUACAUCAUACCCAUUGUCACAAAAUUGACUAAUGCUCAAUAGGUUAUGCUUCAGACCAUCUACUAGCCACACAUUAUUAAUUGAGAUGGAGGAAUUACCAAUAGUACCUGUACCAAUGAUCUUUCCAGUUUGGUUGCCACCAAACUUCACUUCUCCUCCAUCUUUCAUUGUAAGGGUAAGGAACAAAGCUUUCUCUCCAGUCAUGUGCCUUGAACAUCCGCUGUCUAGGUACCAUGACCUUUGUUUCUCUCUUGCCCUUAAGCACACCUGCAUUUUUGGCCAAUUCAGAUUUAGGUACCCAUAUCUUCAUGGGUCCUUUUGGGUUAGUUUUGGAGGUUUUACUUUUCCUCCCUUGUACCUUAGGGUGAAUGCUGAGUGGCUUCUGAUCAUUCAAUACUUUAGGUUUGACACCUUUUGGUAUUGUUUUCUCAGAAGCAGUAGCUGCUUUGUUCUUCUGAUCCUUUUGUUUUGGAAUUUUAGAUUCUGGUUUAAUCAGAUUCUGAUGAACAGGUUCUGAUCUUUUCAGAAUUUUAAUCUUUUGACUCUUAGGAUCAGAUUUUGUCAUUACCUUGAUCUUAAGAUUCUUUGGCUUUGAUGUGAUCUUAGCCUGUGAACCUGAAGCUUCAGGUUUUGACUGAACAGCAGUUAUAGCAUUUGUACCUUCAGGCACAAAGGUGGAUUUCAAUCCAUCCUUGAUACAAUCACAGUAGCUCUUGAGACUGUAUUCUUUGGAUUUCUCCUCAGAAUAUCCAAUCCCUUUGCCUUUGUUCUUGUAUGUGCUGUAGAUCAUAGAAGCAACUUUGCUUCUGUCUAUUCCAGCCAUAAUAAAAUCAUCCAAGGCAAUCUCAUGUUUAUUGCCUGAACCUUUAUCACAUUUUUCUUGUAGCUUCUGACAAAGACUCUUGAGUCUAUCUUCAUAUGUUGUUGAUAUGAGGUUAAACCCUUUGAGUUCUUCUUCAGAAGCUUUCAGUUCCAAUAGAGUUGAUUUUUGUUGUUUCAUCAAAUCAACAUAUUUUUCUUUUAAAUCUGUCAACUCAUUGGUUCUGUGUUCAAACAGUGAUAAAAGUUCUUUUAGAGAAUCAACAAGUUCUUGUCUAGGGAUUUUGGAAUAUACCUCAUUUUCAUCUUCUGAAUCUGAUUCAGCUUCUGAUACUGCUUCUGAUGAUACUGUUGCCACUAACCCAACGGCUGCCUUAGCAUCAUCAUCAGCUUCUUCUUUAUCAGAACCAGAUUCACUAUCCAAAUCUUCCCAGGUCGCCAUCAAGCUCUUUUUGAUUUGCUUUCUGAAUUUACUGGAGUUGAAGCUUGAUUUCUUGGAUUUGCCUUUAAACUUCUCCUUCUGAAGAUCAGGGCAAUCAGCAAUGAAAUGACCAGGCUUCUUACAAUUGAAGCAUCCCUUCUGAUCUUCUUUCUUGAAGUUCUUGUAGCUACCUCUCUUGCUCAAAAAUUUCUUCUGCUUCCUUGCCAGAUACUCAAGCUUGUUGGACAGCAUAGCCAUCUUUACAGAUUGAUCUUCAUCAGAAUCUCCAUCAGGUGAUUCUUCUUCAGAUUCACUGGCUUUGUAGGCUUUGGAAGACUUUGAGGUCUUUCCUUUAGAUGGUAAAGCAAUGGAUUUACUCUUCUUAGAGGUUUCAUGCUCAUUUAAACUCAUUUCAUGCACUUUGAGUGAGCUAACAAGAUCUUCAACACUUAAAGUAUUUAGAUCCUUAGCUUCCUCAAUAGCAGUUACUUUGGGUCUCCAUCUUGAAGGUAAGCUUCUCAAAAUCUUACUAACAUGAUCAGAAGCAACAUAGCUUUUCUUCAGUAUCUGCAAUCCAGAAACUAAAGUUUGAAAUCUUGAGUACAUUUCUUCUAUACUCUCAUCAUCCUUCAUUCUGAAAAGUUCAUACUGAUGAACUAGCAUCAAAGCUUUAGCCUCUUUUACUUUCUUGCUGCCUUCAAAGUUUGCACAUAGAGAAGCAAACAUAGCCUUCGCAGUAGAUUUGUCACUCAUUUUCAUGUAUUCGGUGCGAGGUAUAGAAGCCACAAUGAUUCCUCUUAUCUUGUGAUGUUUCUUAUAAAGCUUCUUCUGAGCAGGAGUAUGUAUUCUUCUGUCUAUAGCAGCUCCUUCUUCAUCCAAAUCCAGAUCAUCAACUCCAUCUUCCAGUAUAUCCCAUAGCUCUUCAUCCAAUCCCAUGAUAAAGCUGUACAUAUUAGUUUUCCACCAUGAAAACUCUUCUGGAUCUCCAUUAAACUUUGGAGCUUUUCCAGAGUCUGUUUUCUUGUCAGCAGUAUCAUAGUCAUGCUUGACACUUGUGUAUUUUGUAGUAACUGAUUCCUCAUCUCCAGACAUGUUUUUCUAAUAGAUCUUGAACUGUAACACGGUUAAGUGCUGUGAUAACAGAGCAAGCUCUGAUACCAAUUGAAGGUGAAAAACACAAGAAGGGGGGGGGGUUGAAUUGUGUUUUCUUUUUCUCUUAAAAAAGGAUUCUUCUUCUGAUAAAACUUCAGAAGCAGUUUGAUUGCUUCUGAUGAAAUGAUCAGAGUCAGAUUGCAGCGGAAAAGAACAGAGCAGAGAAAAGAAAGACAAAGACACAGGCAGUUAUCCUGGUUCCUUCCACAACACGGAAGUAGUCCAGUCCCCCUUGCACUUCCAAGGAGAUUUCACUAUAAUCACAAGAUUACAACUGCUCAAUACUUUCAAAGUAUGAGACUUCACAAAACAAUGCUCAAGCACACACGCAAGAGUCUUCCAAUGCUCAAGCACUAAGCAAGAGACUUCUAAUGCUCAAGCACGCAGGCAAGAGACUUCUAAUCAAACAAAAAUACAGAGAAUUGAGUUUGAAUUGAACACUUGAUAUACAAUCAGUGGUGUUCACAAUACAAUACAGAAAAGACUCUAGACUUUGAAUUUCUAAGAUGUAUCAAAUCAGUGCAGAAAUUCAGUGUGCUUUUUAGAAUCAAAUUGACAGAGUUUUGGCGCUUUUAAACUUAUGUAUCUCUCUCUAUUAUCUUCAAGUCUUCACUCCUUUAUAUAGAGGCGUGAAAGAGACGUUGAGUAAUCAGCACGUCUAAAGAGUCGUUUGAAAUCCUUUGAUUAUCCACCAGUGAUCCUUUGCCUGAUUUGGGUGUAGUCCUUUGAAAAAUAACUUCAAAUUCAUUCCCAUCUUGAGUGUACAAUUCUGCAGGCAUGGCUGUUGUUUUGUCUUGUAGCGUAGACAGAAAACAGAGUAGUGGAGGUAGUGGUUGUACACUUGUACUUUGUCAACUCUAUUAACGAGAGACAAGAGCUCAGUGCUAUCCAUAUAUCCGUUGAUACCUCCCUUUCAAUUCUUCGUUCUUCUUUGAUAAGACUGAAUUGAAAAUCAGCUACUUUGAAUCUUCAGUUUGAUUAAAGGAUCAAACGUAGCUUCUGGUGAAGAUAUUGCUUCUGAUGAAAACUUUUGCUUCUGAUGACCUUCUGCUUCUGAUGACGUCAUCUCUUCAGGAGCAGUUUAGCUUCAGGAGCAGUUUUCUUCAGAUGCUCAGAAUUUCUUUUUUCUUUCCAUUGUUCUUCCAAGACCUAUUGAAAUAACUUAAGUAGCCUUUGGUCCUGUACACUUGAACAAUUAUUAGUAAUAACCAAUUGACAAUUUUUAAUACCUUGUUAUCAUCAAAACUCAAUAAGGUUCAUUGUGAAACACACUUUGUUCCAACACUUCUAACUACCUUGCUUUGUGUUUCUCUCUAGAAAAGCCCUAGUCUCUCUCUAAAAACCAGAAAAAUGUAAAAGACAAUGUAAUAAUCUGGAAAGAGGAGAAAAAACUAUUUAUAUGAGCUGAAAACGUGUCGUUCGCUUAAGCGAAGAAGCGUUCGCUUAAGCGAACUUCCAGAAAAUCUUCUAUUGGCCAUUGAGGAGCUGCCACGUGGUCCUUAUCUUCUGAAGAUUGAUGAACUUCGCUCAAGCGAACUGGGAGCGAACUUGUGAGCGAACUUCCUGGAGCUCUCUGGAACUGGUUCGCUUAAGCGAACUUGAGGUCGCUUAAGCGAACUGGCCUUUCUUCAUGAGCGAACUGGAAGCGUGCUAGUAAGCGAACUAAUCCGGUGCUCUCUGUAACAGGUUCGCUUAAGCGAACAGGGGUUCGCUUAAGCGAACUGACCUUGGUUCAAGAUCUCCCUUCUUUUGGUCUUUGCUUGUCAUUUCCUGCAUAAAUUGGGUAGAAUCAGGCAUGUAAGGCAUAAAUGGUAAAAAUACACUCAAAUGGUAACUUUUCCUUAGAUAACUUGCAAAACAAGUCACUAAUUUGCCUAAUUUAACACAUGAAAUAUGUUACUUUUGAGCACUUAUCAAGGUUGCAGAUCCAAGGUAUUCUCCACACGUUGAUUUUAGAAACAUCACCAAUCUUCCAUCUAUGGCCUAUGAUAAGUAAAUUUUGGGUACUCCAAAGACUCCUCCAUGUAUAGCUUGGAUUAUAGCCAAGGUUGGCAUCCAAAAAAUCCCGUCGGAGAAAAUAUUUAACUUUAAAAACUCUAGCAAGUAAAGAGGUAGAGUUGGUGAGAAGCUUCCAACUUUGCUUACCAAGCACUUUGCUUACCAAGCAUUGAGAGGGAGGGAAAGUCAUAAUGACUUUCUAUUUCGUAUAUUACUUUCUCUCUAAUCUUAACUGUUAUUUAUUUUUCAUGAAACACUAUAAUAUAUAUUAAACUCAUCAUAACUUUUCCUCCAUUCAAUCUCAAUGAUCAUCUCAAAAUGGAUGUGUUAGAGCAAGUGUAUUUAGCAUUAACUCUUUUUGGUAAACUUCAAAAACAAAAUUAAAUAACAGAAAUUAUAUACACACUCCCUCCCUCGUCCACAAUGAGUGAUCUGUUUAGAAAAUAAAUUGUCUCAAAAGGAUUGAUUCUUUUACUUUUCCAGACAAAAUUAUUUGUUAGUCUUUCAAUUCUACCAUCUAAUUAAUACUACCUUCGUAACUCUAAAAUCAAUAUAUUACAUGUAUAUUUAUGGUAAUGAGAUUACAUUAAUACAAAAUAUUUCUUCCGUUCCAAAUUAUAUGUCGCUUUGAAAUUUUUUUUGUCUCAAAUUAUAUGUCGCUUUAAGAUACCAAUGAAACAUUAAUAUUAUUUUUCCUAUUAUAUCCUUAACUAUUUAUUACUCUUUCUUUUUUCAAUUCUUUAAUUUAUCUUUUCAAUUUAUUUAAUAAGGACAAUUUUGUAAAAUAACUCGUAAUAUCUUUUUUUCAUACUAAAUUAAUUACAUUUCUUAAUACAUGUGAAAUUGUCAAAACGUCAUAUAAUUUAGAACGGAAUAAGUAAAAGACAUUUUAGUAAAACUAUAAAAAAAAAUUUUGACAAAAUUUUAGUAAAACUAUAAUCUCACUCAUUUAUUUAUACAUUUUUAUUUUAUUUUUACAGAAAGUUUAUACAUUUUCUAAAUCAGUGUGAAAUGAUCAAAAUGACCACUCAUUAUAAAAUAGAGGGAAUAAUAGGUAUCCCACGCUUAAAGCAUGGUGACCUUCAAAAACGUUUAAAUAAUAGAGACUUCAUAUAACCCAAAAAAAUGUAUUUAAUAGAGACGACAUAUAAUAUAUAAUAGGAAAUUUGUACCAUAAGAUACAAGAUAAAAAUCUAAAAAUUAAAUUGAAAAAUAAAUGUUUUAUUGAAAAAAAAAACAAGUUUUUAAGAUAAUCAAUGCACAAUUUCUAAAAUUAUAUGAGUAAAUUACACUCCUCUCCCCUCAAAGAUGUUUGAAUUACACUCUCCUCCCCUCUUAAGUUAAAAUAUACACUCCCAUCCCCUCUUAUUCAAAACAUAUUAGAAAAAAUUUCACUCCCCUCCCCUAAGAGAAGCUUGAAUUACAUUCUCCUCCACUCUUAUGUUAAAAUCUACACUUUACUCCCUCAAUAUUCUUUUUUAUUAUUUCUAAUAUUCUAGCAAAAAUUAAUAAUUUAACACACUUAAAAAAAUAGUAUUGCGGGUCUAUUUUAAUAUAAUAAAAAAUUGAAUACAUAUUUUUCGCUAUUUUUUAUUCACAAUUUCAUUAACAUGUAGUUUUAAACCCUAUUAUAAAAUAUGAAACAAGCCAAAACAAAAUUAAAAUAUGUGAAAAAUUACUAAAAUCAUUAAAGCAUGAUUAUUUAAAAGUUAAUUUUAUACUCUAAUUUAUAAAAUCAAUAGCAAUAUAUUUAAAUUUAAUUAUCAUAGACAUUUAAACUAGGCUUAAUUACAUUUUUGGUCCUCUAACUAUUUAGUUGGAAUCGGAUUGGUCCUCUAACUAAAAAUUGAUUUAUUUUGGUCCUCUAAGUUUCUCACCAUUACUACAUUUAUUCUUUUCUGUUAGUUUUAUUCAAAUAAACGUUAGGGUUUGUGUUAUGUGGGUAUCUGACCUCCUAUUUCACACAUACAUAUGAACCAUAACAGUUACCAAUAAUAUCGGUCACUAUUUGAUCAUAAUUCUUAUCAAGGAAUAGAACCAAAAUGAUGCUAAUAAAUAAAGUUAGAGGACCCACAUAACACAAACCCUAACGUUUAUUUGAAUAAAACUAACAGAAAGGACUAAAUGUAGUAACGGUGAGAAACUUAGAGGACCGAAAUAAAUCAAUUUUUAGUUAGAGGACCAAUCCGAUACCAACUAAAUAGUUAGAGGACCAAAAAUGUAAUUAAGCCUUUAAACUAUAAAGAAAUGAAUUAAUUUUUCUUAAAUGGUGAUUCAAAAUUAAUAUAUAUUAUAAGAAUAUUUAUUUAUGUUCAAAUAGAUUAAAGUGUAGUGCAUAUUUAAUUAUUAAGGGAGGAGUUUGUAAUUCAAGCAUCUUAUAAGAGAGGGGAGUAUAAAUUUUAACAUAAAAAAAAUAUUGAGGGAGUAAAGUGUAUAUGGGGAGUGUAAUUCAAACAUUUUUGAGGGGAGGGGCGUGUAAUUUACUCAAAUUAUAUUUAUAAAUUUAGUUUUUAUCAUGUACUCUUAAAACACAAGUUAUUAUGACCAUAUUUAAUAUGUAUUCUUAAGACACAAGUUAUUAUGACCAUAUUUAAUAUGUAUUUAUUUUUUUUUUUUUUUGUGAUACACCCUACUAAUAAGUAUACCAACAACCAAAUACCAUUCAUUAAAAAAGAAGGGACCAAUAUUUGGUUGAAGUUGCACAGAGCAUUUGUAGUGCUAGGCAUUAAAGAUGACGUAGGUUCAACGGCGUAUCCAGGAUCUUGGAUAGGGGUGCAAAAAAUUUAACUUAAUUUAAUAUUUAUUUUAUAUAUUUAACUAUAUAAGUAAUAAAACCAUAAAUUUUAAUAAAUAUAAUAAAAUUUAUUGCACACAUAUCUUAGAAAUAUUUCCAUGAUGGACUAAGUAUUGGGCGAUGCAGAACGUGAUAAGGUUGAACUCAUUAGAGGCUUUUAGAUAGAUUUCAAAACGAUGUAGAAGAUUACUAUUAUUGUGGAAGUGAAUAUGUUAUAAAAAGAGAUAAAUAGAGAGAGGAGCAUUCAUAAACUUUUGUAUGACUAACUCAUGUACAAUAUUAUGAAACUCAAACCAAUCAACUAGUCAAUAACAUGUAACUAGUAAAACCCAUAUGUUAAAUUAAAAAAGGGACCAAUAUAUGGUUGAAGUUGUUAACACGGUAGAUAAAACUUCAUUGUGCAGUAAAUAUUUGCGUGGUGGGCAUUCGUUAAAAUGUUACUUCAUCCGUUUUAAAAUGAGUGUCGCUUUAGUAAAAAGAAAUUGUUUUAAAAUAAAUGUCACUUUCACUUUCCAAUGCAAUAAUAACUUUUUCUUUUCAAUUGUACCUUUCAAUUAAUACUCUGCACACUACUUUUAAAGUACUACCUCCGUCCCUAAUUAUAAGACCCUUUUGAAAAAAAUAACGCGAAUUAAGAUAGUGGAUAUUUGUAUUAAAUAUGUUUGUAAUUACUAUUGUUUUUACAAUUUUAUCCUUUAAGAAAGAGGGUUUGGCUUAUGUUUUCAACAUUCUAUUUAUUGCUGAUUGAAGAAAAAGAUGUAUAAUAAAUAGGGGCAUGUAUGUAAAAAAAUAAUUAAUGUAGUUGGAAAUAGAAAAAGGAUCUUAUAAAAAGGGACAAAAAAAAUUCUCAAAAGGGUCUUAUAAUUAGGGACGGAGGUAGUAUUACUUUUAAAACUAACCAAUAGUUAAUAAGGAUAAUUUGGUAAAAUAACCAUUCGCUUUCUUUUAAUCAUUGCUUUUCUUAAUAUGUGUAUAAACACCUAAAACGACACUCAUUUUAAAAUGGAGGGAGUAUUAUUUCUCAUUUUUCUAAUUAUUGUUGUCAACUUUUGUUGGUUCAAAAGUUGCAUGCAUGCUAUCAAGGCGUUGAAUAAACAGGACAAGUCGGAACAAGUGGCUGUAUUUAGCCAGACACAAGCCAAUUCCAUUUACAAUAACUCGUUUGUGUUUGUAUUUUUUUAUGAAAAAGGCAUUUUAGUUUUUCAUGAAACUUGUACCAAAAAAACAAAAGUUUUUCAUGAAACAAGAAUCAUUAAAAAUAUGAUUUUAAUUCUCUAUCUAAAAGGUGUCAACCUAAUGGUUAGAGCUUAAUUUAUAAUUGGAGAAUGCUAACCAUUGCAUUUGGAGCAUUGGAUAAAGGGAUAAAAAUAGAAAUAUAGCAUUGAAAAAUGGUGAAAAGUGAUAAAUUUAACUUUUUAAAAGUCAAAAUGUUGUUGAAACCAAUGCAAACAUGUUACUUUUGGCUUCCUUAAGUUAGCAAGACCCUUUAUAAUUUUAUGAACAGUUAUACCGCAACAAUUAGUGUCAAUGUAUUAAUAAAAUUUCUCCUUUCAUAAAUAUAUGAGAAAUGCUACAAUACAGCCGCUCGUCCCGUGAGCUUAACUCAGUUGAUAAAAAAAAAAAUACAAUGCAUAAUAUAUGCAAGGUCUGAGAUUCGAAUCCCGGUCACCACAAAAAAAAACAAUACAGCCACUCAAAUUUAUAACGAUGUAUUUUAAAAUCUUGCACCUUUUCAUUUUAACAAAAUUAAAGGUCAAAGCAUUGUGUAAAAGAGUUAAUCAGUUCAAUUAUUUUGGGGAAAAAGAAAAAAAAAACAUCUUCCUUCUAUACAAAAAAAAAAAAAUAUAUAUAUAUAUAUAUAUGGAAAAUGCUUGUUCCUACAAAUCUGUUAUCCACGAAAACCACGACUUGAUAUCCGCCAUCCAUUUUCAUAAACACAUGGCCAUGAUUUCCAUUAAAUCCGGAAUUAAUAGUUUUCCAUCUCUAUAAAGCAGAAAUGCAAUACAUUCUUGGUAUUCGUUGAAAAAAUCUUCGUGGAAAAUAGCACUUCUCUAUAUAUAUAGAAAUCAUACCAUUUUUUGGUGGUGUUUGCGGCAGUCAUGUGUCCGCCACUAUGGCACUUGGGGCUUUCCGGUGGUCCAAAUUCCUCGUAACGGUUUGCGAGGACUAUAUUUGCAUGGGACUUUUGUUUGCCGCAAAUAUGUCUUUGUGUUACCUUUUUCUUGUUUGCGUGGAAAAUUGGCCGACAUGUAAUCCAGGACAUUCAUGUAGUGAAUAUAUGGUUGCAUGUGAAAGCAUUAAUUCGUGUAAAGUUCAACAAUUAAGGGAUCAUCAACCUAAUUUCUAAUUUUCCAAAGAUCUAGUCCUAUAAAAAAUCUUGACUAUAAACCUAAUUUCUUAUUAUUUCUCUUGUGAAAGCAAGAAUAAAUCAUGAAUAUUUUUUUCUCAAAAUUUAGAUUUCAGGCCAAAGAAAUUUAAUUUCUUUUUUAUGAUAUUGAUAUAGCAAUAUAAGCCCAACAACCCAACUUAUUUGAGCAUCAUUUGAUUUUAGAGGCAUAUAGAGAUCAAACACCGUUAGGAAAGAAUGACCUCCGGUGUGAGGGUCAGCAAUAUGAGCAGGUUAAAUUUUCUUCUACCCCACAACCUACUAAUAUAGCUAAAGAAGUUUAAAUUUUUAGAUUUACUUGCAUAUUACAUUUUAAAGUUAUUCAAUUUACAAACUAAUAAAGGCUAAAAAUUUAUUAAAGCAUCUAUUAUCAUGCAAGCUUCACAAGAGUACAAUUAUCAAGUUUGUUAAGGUUAAAAGUCAAGAAUUUGGAAAUUCAUGAAUGGCGUGUAUACCGAUAAAACAGAUUUGGGCAUAAUUAUGAUUCUUGAUCUUCUAUAAUUGUUCCUUCGGAGCAAUGCUUCUAUAGUGCAUUCAAGAAAGUUACUUUUUUUAAAAAGUUAAUUUUGAUUUUAAUGUUUGAUUCAUUUUCAAAUUGUUGAUUUCUGAUUAAUGAUUAAUAGUAAUUCAUCUGGUAAUGUUUGCAACAUUUUGGACUUAUAGGUACUAUUUUAUUGUCGGAAUCUUUAACAUGCAAAUAUAGUUGAUGAUAUUAUGUGAUAGUCUUAAGUGUUAUACUUUGUGGGGGUGUUAUACUUAUAACAAGGUAGGAUAAAAUUAGAUUAAGUGUAGUCUUGUUAAUCAGAUGAGUUGAUGAUACUAUGAGGACUGAACUUUUGAUGUCAUUGUACAAACAGUGAAGUGUUACUCAUUACAUUUUUGAUAUUAUAGUAUUAACUUCACCAAAAAAAAGUCAAUCUCAUGAAUUCACCAUAGAAUUUUCCUUGUUACUAUUCUUGAAAUUGAAUGAAUUCAUUUAUAUAUUGAUUUAUUUUAUUUCUAAUCUAAGCAUUUCUCUUCAAAUUGCUAUCAUCCUUCAUCAUAUUUUCAGAAGACUUACAACUUUUACCUCUCAAUUUUACAUGGCUAAUAAAGCUUCAAGUUCAUCGGUUUGUAAUUCAAGUCGAAAAUCAUUGACCUUGGACGAGAAAGUAGAAUUAUUCUUUGCUGAGACUCCUCUCAAUCAGUAGGCUGAAGCAUUUUCUAUGACCCUUCAUCGAGUACUAGAAGGUAUGUACAAGACCAAUUUAGAGAACAAGAAGUUUGAAGAACCGUGUUUUGAACUAGAGAAACUCUCUAAUCAUGUCGAUUUUCCGACUGAACUUGUAAAAGAAACCAGAAGAAGAAAAUAAUUUUCUACUUGGUAUUUUGAGUCCAGUUUAAUACAUCUUUAUAGUGUCUCAACUAUUACUAGAUCAUGGUAUAUCGAUUGAUGUGUUAAGUCGUAGUAUUAUAUAGUAUUCCAGACCCAUCUCUGUUGUAUGAGUGAGUAUAUUUACUUUCCUCGUAUUAGCUUAAUUUCAUGGUAUUUUUGUAAGGGCAUCAAAAUUUGUAUUUUGUAUUUAGAAUCAAAACUAGGACAGUAAAUUUUCAGUUUUGAUACCAAAAAUCAACACUAUUUAGGCAAAAUCAUUCUCAACGUGGAUGUUAAUUAAGAGUCUCACAAGUAUUUUUUAGAGGAUAUAAUCUCAAAGUUUUCUUUUACUAAAGUUCGAUCAAACAUAUAUUAUAGACUUAUUUACGGUCUGAAAUGGCUAAGUAUAAAUCAAUCAAACCAAUCAAUCUCACACAAUCAUAAAAUUUAUUUAUUAUAAUCUAGUGUCACAAAUAAAAAUAUUUAAAAUCUGCAGUACAUAGCAUUCUUUCUUGUCAAGUAAUUUUUAUUCAUGACACAUACACACACAAAACACACAAACACACACACACACAGAGUUGCCAAGUAGGAGAGUACAUAUUACUAUAGAAAACAAACAGCUUGGUAACUAGGACCACUUAUUCAGUACAUAUACAUUUCAUAACUCUCAUUUCAUACUUUAGAAAUGAUUGUUAUCUUCUUUUGGAGGGUGGUGAGGAUGUGGUUUGGGUAAGUUGGUAGGAUGUAUAGGAUGAGAAUGAUCACCAAAUCCUUGAGUAGAUAGUGGAUGGUUUGGAUGAUGAUGAGGUUGAGAAGCAAAGCCUUGAGGGAUGAGAAUAAGAGAUGCAAGGAAAAACACAAGCAAGUAUGAGGAAAAAGAAGUCAUCUUAAUCUUAAUUAGUGUGAUUUUAGUAUUGGUGCAUAAAACAUAAGAAAUAAUAUCAUGUUUUAUACUAGUUAGAUUAGAGACAUUGGUGGUGAGUGGGAGGUGCAAUUAUUGAUCAAAUACGUCAGGCUAUUGCCAUAUGCUUACGGAUUAACCUACACGUCACAAAGCAUAUCAAAUUAACUUUUUAAAAGCCUAAUUUAUCGGAAUUAUUGAUUCUGGAUUAAGAUGAAAAAAUCUGCAAUUUUUUAAUUAGGUUUUACUCGUGGAGGAGGUAGAUGUGUGUCUGUUAACCUGCAUAUAUUUUAUAUAUAUAGAGGUUGAAGUUUAAAUUCCGAACAUCCCAUUUAUUUAUUUUGUAAAGGUGAAUAUCUAACCAUUUGACUAACUAAAAAAAUUGGAGGUGGAUGUGUAUAUAACAAAAUUUAUUUGACACGGAUUAACAAAUUGCUCAUUACGGAGGAUAUUGAAGUUUUUAGGCAAUAUACAUUGUGGUGGGGAGACAACACAAUUUUUGGUUUUCAACAAGUUAAAAAGUUAAACAUAAUAUAUAUUCACCAUUGUUUUCAUCAAUACUUUAAAUUUCAUCCAAUAUUACAAUUUCAUUUUUAUUUAACCAUGUUUCCAACAACAUAAACCAAUUUAAAAAUAUGGGCAAAAAGUAAUCUUAUUCCAUUAGAAAUGCAAAAUACUAAGAUUUUAUCAUUCUCUAAUUCAAGUAACACAUAAAUAUAUUUUUGAAAUGAAAGGAUGUGGACCUUCUACAUAGAGUUCAAAAGGUUAUGCAUAGCAAUGUCAUGUCUCCUGGUCCAUGAAUGUUGUGUUUACGAGGAUUAGAAUUGCCAUCCAAAAAGGCUUGGUGGCGCAACUUGUUGCCCGCUUGCCUUCUAUUCAAGUGUAAAUAAUGGUUUAUAUAUUUGAAAAUAAUUUUGGAUGAAGAAACUUAACAAGAGAAAAAAUAUGUCAUUUUAUAAAAACUUUAUACGAGUUUUAGUCUAAGUGAAAUAUGUUUAAUUAGCGGUUUUUUUAUUUUGCGGUUUGUUUUGGUUGCUAAAAUAAAAACCACAAAUUAAAACAAACCAUACAGUUGAGUAAAAUGAUCCGAAUAUAUCCCAACCAAAUACAUUUAUUACGGUUUAGAUUUUGAUUAUUUGGUUCUAUUGGGUUGAUUCGGUUUUUAACACCCUAAUCAAGAUCAAAAAACAAAGUUUUUUAACUAGCCUUAUCCACCAGCUAACUUGUCUUUACACACGACUUAAAAACCCACACAUAUCGUUGCAACUAUACAGCAUAUUCUUUCGAUCAAUCAAACUAGUUCAGAGAAAGCAAUCAUAUUGCAUGAAAGCAUUUACGUAUUUCCUUUAUAAAAGAAUGAAGACCACAAAAUUGUUUGGCAUGCAAAAUAAUAUUGGUAAACUGGGGAGUGGGAAAACCUAACAUAUUCAAAAUGCCACUCAAACACUUCUAGAUAAAAGGACGAUUAAGAAAUAAAUGAUUUGAAUUUUAUAAAAAAAUUAUAUCACUGGAAAAAAAGCCGCCGCUCCUAGGGUUAGCGUCGCCACUCCCUUGUGAGGGAUUCUGUUGUGGUUUGGUGAGAUAUCUGCUCCUCUUAACGUUUUUUGUUUCCACUUCAUAGAGAUAAAAGGUGCUUCCACUUUCUUUUCUUCCUCGGAUCAUGUUAUGAUCCCGUGAUCCCUUUCUUUUCCAAUUGGCAUCAUAUACAUUUCAUUACAAGAACAAAAGGUGUUAUUAUCUCUCUUAUGUUCUCCUAUGACUCACGAUUUGAUCAAUUGCUAUCAUUUAUAUCUUAAUUCUUAGAGAUAAAAGGUGUUGUAUCUGCUUUUUCCUUCACACUGAAUUGAGUUGUCUUGUUUCUUCCUUCUAAGUGCCACUAUUUAUAUUUUAACAUAAGGUAUUAAUUAUGGGUUUACUCUUCUUCUUGUUUUGAGAUUGUCACGGUUGUUAUUUGUUGAUCAGAAUUCGAAUCAAGUAUUGUCUCUUGCGUAGCUCUGUUCUGCACUCUCAUUUGCUUUGUUAUUGUGAGUUUUUAAAAGGAGAUAUAUGGAUUAUUGGGAUCGCCAAAAUUGCCGAGAAAAAUGAGUGUCAAAGGAUGGAAUGGGAACUUGAGCGUAGUUCCAAAAUUAAAAUACUUAUUCUCAAAAAUACCAAUUCUCUCCUUCUAAUUUGUUCAGUCGAAAAUGGCAUUUUUGGGGUGUAAUUUGUUAGUUGGAAUUUUCACCAGCCUCAUUUAAUGUGAUCAACAUUAGUUGACUUUUACUCUUGCAGGAAUCGAAGUUUUUUCCUUCAACUUAAGGAGUUUCGACGAAAUGUUGGACUUAGCAUGAAAGGGUCUAAAUGCGUUAAGGUUCGACAAGAAACGAGACAGGAAUACAAAAUCGUCGAAGUCAAGCAACCUUCGUUGAGGCGGGAAGAUUCGAAUUUCAAAGAGAAGUGAUUUCCUCAAUGGAGAACAUGGGAGACAAGCAGUUGUCUACAUGGAAGAAGUGUAGAUCGUGGGAUUGUACUUGUUCUAGUUAUUUUCUAUGUAUAAAUAGUAGUUUUCCAUAGGAAAAAUGGGUCGCAAAUCACCUAUAUAGUAUUCUAAAACACUUGAUGUACUAGCGCGAGAGAAAAGAGUCAUAAAGAAUUAAUGUAUGUAAAUGAUUUGUCGAACCACCUUUACUUUUAAUGCAUUGUACUUUAUUUUUCCUUUAAGUUUAUGCAAUUUUAAACUUAAUGCCUUUACUUUGCUUUUAAAAACCCUUUUCAUGUCGAAAGACGCCAUACGCUCUCGUCCUACGAACUCUAUGAACGUUUGAAAAAUAAAAUGCACAACAUGUCCUAGGAUUUCUGGUUUGUUCCUGCUUGUAAUAACCAAAACCACCCACCGUAGUUUAUCAAAAACACCGGUAAACACAUAGUCAUUAAAUUAUUUGAAGAUUUUUUAAGAUUCUAUAUUUUGGAUGAGAAAGGUAUUAAUAUAUUGUCAAUAUUGCGAUAAUUCCAAACUUGGACGAAUAGAUCUCUUAGUAAUAAUCCUUUUUUUUUAAGCAGCUAAAGUAGCCCACCUAAAUUGACAUUUAGUGGAAUCGAACCUAAAACUUUCAGGAGCAAACUCUUAGAAGAAAGAAAUGAACGGGUGAACUCUUUGUUCAAAAGAAACAUCAAUGACAUUGUUCAAAAAUUCAUAAACGUGACAAUAUUAUGAUAUAAAAUUGAAGUUAUAUGUGGUAUCACUGUAAAUAUAAUGUCAUAUUCUUAAAUCAAAGGCAUGGUGAUAAAUAGAAAUACAACUAUUGGAAUCCAAGACGAUAACUACAAUGUAAUUAUAAAAUAUUUUAGCAAAAUAUAUAUUUCAUAUUUAUUUUUGCUAGCGUAAGAACUCACUCUUCAAUGCAUGGUGUAAUUGUCAUAUCUUGAGUAUGAGACUCAUGCUAUCCGUAGGACAAUCUAUACGAUUUACAUUUACCAUUAAGGCACCUAUACCUUAGAUCCCGAGUAUCUGGUGGGCAAUCAUCAACAGUUCUACAAACAACAUAUCCUAUAAUGAUAGAAAAUAAUAAACUAAUGUUAUAAAAAUGAAAUAAAGAUUAUAUAUCAACUACAAACUAAAGAAUAAAAUUUUAAAAGGAUGGAAAAAAAACAUUACCCUUAACAUUUUUAGCAACAAGAAAUAGGAAGAUGAAUAAAAUUAUAGCAUACACAAACUUAUGAGCCAUAUCUUUCUCUCUUUACAUAAAACAAAUACAAUUUAUUUUAUCACUUUAUAGUGUAUAAUCUUUACAUACAACAAAUAUGACAUAUUUGAUUACUUUAUAGGGUAUAAACUUAAAAAUGUAAUUAUUUUUACCCCUUAAGAACUUGAAAAGUCCCUCCCUAAAUUUAGAAUUAUUAUUAAGUGUCUCUUAAGAAGAACAAUGUGUUAUAUUAUCCAUUUAACACACUUAAUAAAGGUGUACUGUAAAAAACUUGCUAAUCAUUAGAAUUUAAUAUUUUGGUAAUUAACCUUACUACUUUUCAUGAUCGGAAGGCGAAAUUUAAAAAAUAAUAAUGCAUAAUUUAAUCGUAUUGUAGAAUUUUGUAUAUAUUAAAAUCAUUUAAUCAUAUGGAAUAGUAUAAAAAAAUUUAGUCGCAUGAAUUCAUACACAUUAUCAUUCACAUAAAGUCUUUUAUUGGUAUAUGUAUAUGUUGAAACAAAAUUGGUUUGUACAAUUCCUCUAAGGUUUUGAUGAUAACAAAGUAUUAAAGAAUAAUUAGAUAUGCUAAUAUAUGUUCAAGUGUGCAGGACGAUAGAUUUAAAUUUAACAAGGUCUGAACAUGUAUAACAGCACCAUAUGCACGCGAGAAGCUCAAAAACUUUUAUAGAAGAUCUAAAGAAAGGUCAACCAGAAGUCAACACCUUAGAUCAGAAGAAAUUAUGAUACUCAGAAGCUAAAGACUUUCAUCAGACUCUAAAGAAUGAUCAGACUCAGAAGACCUCAUCAGACUUGGAAGAUCUCCACCAGACUUGGAAGACCUCCAGACUCAAAAGAUCUUAAGGGACCCAGAGUCCACGUCAGAUUUUUCCACUUCUAUAGUUGUCACUUUCAAAGUCUGAUGGUACAGUUUGUCUUCUUGUUGCCACUUGAAUAAACAAACAAAUAACUUCAAGGACAGAGAGAAUGAACGGAUAAUUCUUGUUUCUGCAAAGGAAAUUCAAAUGUCUAAUCAACGAAACUAUCCACAUCAGGAAAAGGGUCCGUUCUUGAUUUAAAGCUUCUCAAUGACUCUAAUUAUGUUGGAAUUUGUUCUCCAAGGUCAUUUAAAUCCUUUCUUAUAUAAGGAGUUGAAACUCUGCUAUUUAUAUUGUGUCAUUAACUCUGUCAAAAUCAAAUAGCAUAAAAACACUUAAGAAUUUCUUAUCAAAGUUAGUAUCUUAGAAAUUCUAAGUCUUUAGAGUUUGUUUUGAUUAGUUCAGUUUACACCUUUGAUUGUAUAUCAAGUGUAAGAACAUAUCAUGUUUAUUUAUAAACUUUGAAGUCUCUUGCCUACGUGCUUGAGCAUUGGAAAUCUCUCAAAAGUGUGUUUGAGCAUUUGAAAGUCUCUUGAAAGAGUCCUUGAGCAUUUGUAAUCUAGUGAGAUUAUAGUGAAAUCUCUUGGAAGUGCAAGGUGAUGGGAUAAAACCGCAAGUGCACGGUCUUACCGAAGUAGUAAAAAUAGAGUAUCGUUCCGACAGGGAGUUAUGAAUUCAAUUAACUUUAGAAAAUGAUUAGACUAAAGUUUUAUAAGGUAGAAAGUUUUGGAUUUUUAAUUGAAAGUAAAUAAUAAAAGAAAAGAUAAAAGCCUUGGGGUUAUUGGUUCAUCCUAACGACAAGUCCUUCUCAAACCAAACUAUUAAACUUAUAACUUUAUGUUAGACCUAAUUUCUCAAGACAGUUUCUCUUUUGUUCCUCUAGCAACCAAGCCUAUUUCGCUGACUUGAUUACUAUUAGAUUUUGGUUCCUCUAACAACCAAGCCUAUUUCGCUGACUUGAUUGUUAUUAGUUCCCUUGAAGAUCGAAACUAUAUGUCUCAAAGAUUGCAAAGCCUAUUUCGUUGACUUUGCAAUCCUUGUCUAAAUUCACUUGUUCGAAUAUCAAAGCUCCACUUUCGUUUUAUGAAUUGAUAUUUGAGAUGAUGGAUAAACAAUUAUCAAACCCUCCACUUUCGUUUCCACAGUUUGAUAAUGGUUGAUCCAUGUUAAAGCGGUGAAUUUAGAUAAGGAAUUAGGGUUACAUAAGAUUAAGGUUUAAAGCUUGGUUUGAUUAGGAUUAUGUCAUUAGACUUAUCCAACAAUCCCAAGACAAGAGAAGUCUACUCACUAACGUUCAUCGUAGACAAGGAGAAGAAGAGAGAAAGCAUAAAAGUAAAUAACAAUAAAGUAAAUGAACUUUUAUUAGAAAACAAUUGUCACAUAUUGCAUUCCAAGAAAAGAUGAAUAUUUGUGAUGGCUAGCUAUUCUAUUUAUAGUACACAAUUGACUUAAAAUCUAAGCAAGUAUAUUCUAAGAAUAUUCCACGGUAGAUUGUGCGCCAAAAUAGAAUAGCUUGGAGUCCAAGCAAAAGCAGCAAAAAGUAUUCUGGAGGGUGGCACGGCCGUGCCAAGGCUAGCACGGGCCGUGCCAGGCUUCUGACUUGUGGGAGACAUAUUUUGUCUCUCAAUCUUUAUAUUUUCGUGUCCAAUCUGCUCUAAAUCCCUUUCUUUUGCUCCAAGACUCAAUCCAUCCAAUAUUCUUCCCUGAAAUAUAAUAAAUUGCAAUUUAAAGUAAACUAUCCUAAAAAGGAAAUAAUACUAAUAUAAAAUUAUAUAAAAUCUAAAUAAAACUAAACUAAAAAGCAUAUUAAAAUAGUAUAUAAAUGACUCAUCACAAGGGUACUGGACUACUCCUGUUUUGUGGGAGGAACAAGUAUAAAUUGCUUUGUGGGAGGAACAAGUAUAAAUUGCUUUGUGUCUUCUCUCUCUCUCUCUCUCUCUCUCUCUCUCUCAUCAUUGUGUUUGAUAUUUCCACUGCAUACAUACUCUGAGUCAGACUCUGAAUCCAUAAAACAAAGGCUAGUUCUAAAAUACUUACAAAAGUUUUUUUAAAAGGGAUUUAAAAGCAAAGUAAAGGCAUUAAGUUUAAAUUUCAUAAACUUAAAGGAAAGAAUAAAUACAAUGCAUUAGAAAUAAAGGUGGUUCGAAAAAUUCGUUACAUACAUUCUUUAUGACUCUUUUCUCUUGCGCUGGUAUUUCGAGUGUUUUAGAAUUAUGUAUAGAUGAUUUGGGACGCUUUUCCCUAUGGAAAACUACUAUUUAUACAUAAGAAAAUAAAUGGAAAAAGUAUAAUCCCUUCUCCCAUGUUCUCCAUUGAGGAAACCGCUUCAAUGGAAGUUACUUGAAUUCGACGGUUUUGUAUCGCUGACUCGUUUCUUGUCAAACCAUAGGGCUUUUAAACCCUUUUGCGCCAAGUCCAACAUCUCGUCAAAAUUCCUUAUGUUGAAGAAAAGACUACGAUUCCUGCAAGGAUAAAAGUAAACGAAUGUUGGCCACAUUAAACGAGUCUGUUAAAAUUACCAGCUAACAAUUUACCCCCCUGAAAUGCCAUUUUCGACUGAAUCUAUUCGAAGGAGAGAAUUGGCAUUUUUUAGAAACUCUAAGUAUUUCAAAGCAUGAUGUCAUGUUAAUCACGACUUUCAAAAGUAGUCAUUUCAAGGUUUAUUUCACUACACAAUCUCAAGACUUUGUGGGGAACCACUUCCGCAGUUGAAAAUUUAAUGGAAUCUUUCCAUUUUGCCUCAAAACGCCUCGUUUCCCUCGAUAUUUUUUCAUCUUCAUGUUUUUCCAACUCCUUCAUCAUUAUGGCACCUCCUUCUUGUCGAUUGGUUCCCCUCGAGAUAUUAAAACCUUCCACUAACUAGAAAGAUUACAUCCUUUGCGGGUUGAUUGAACCCAUUUCUGUACAGAUGCCUUGGAAUAGGGCACAAAAGUUUUCCAAUGACCAUUUUUAUUAACAUAAUUAGUGGUUGAAGAGUUAUUGAUAAAAGGGAUAUAACUCUUGGUGAAAGAGAACGUUGGUAUAUGACCAGCAAACCAAUUUUCUCUUUUCUUGGAUUCGGGAAUAAGAUUUUCAAGGCUUUUUGUAGCCUCUUUGUCAAAUAUCGAACUACAUCUAGGGCACAACAUUACCUAAGAAUUCUUCAAUAUGCAACAAUUGACGAAAUCAAUCAGCCCAAAAUCCGUAGGUAAAACAUAAUUGUUUUCUCCAAUGGUUAUAGAUUCCGUAACUAUAGGCUGUAGCGACGACUCAAAUCCGUAGGUAUAACACCAGUAUCCACCACGAAAAAAAUUGCCGUAGGUAUAGGUAAUUUGGCAUAUACCUACGGUAAAAGGAUAUUUACCUACGGUUUUUGGCUGUCACUAAAUGUCAAGUUUCUUGUUGUGGGAUAAGUUGCUUUUGCCUUCUCAUUAAAUCGAGGUUCUAAAAUGAUUUCGUCAGCAUCUUUGGAGUUUCCAGAAACUUCUACCAUUUGACAUUCAGCAACAUCAUCUUUUUCUUCGACAAAUAGCUUUUCAACAGUGUCCACAAUGGCUUCCACUAUGUUACAACUUGCAACAUCAGCGUACAUUGCGUCGACAUCUUUUAAGGGAUCGACAUCCACUUUCAUUUGAGGCUUUCUUUUAUCUCCAAACUUUAGCUUGCCUUCAUUCAGAGCUCUUUGCACCAUGUCCUUGAAAUAUACACAAUAUGAAGUCUUAUGUCCCAAAAAAUUAUGAUACUUAUAACACCCUAUCUUUUUACGUUGCUCUAGUGGUGGAAUUUUUAAACCAUUAGAUACCGCCAUUCGACCAUCAGCAACCAUGAGAUCAAAAAUCUCAUCCCAUUUGGUUACAUCGAACGUGUAAUUUUGGGACUAUAUUUAUCAUUUUGUGUUUCGAAAGGAUUUCUCCCAUCGGAUGGCCUCAACACUUUGCAUGUAUAAGGAGUCCUAGGUUUUAAUUCAGCAAAGUUAAACUCGCCAUCUUCGACGUCUUCGUAAGCUAUUUCGACGUCUUCAUAAACUAAUAUCAUCAAUUGAUAAUCAGCCUACAUGGAUGUAAUCAAGUUGGCUCAGUAUAAUUAGUGAUAGAUGAAGAUUCAUAUCAAAUAUAGCUUACAUCACUGUAAUGUUUUAUGAUAACCGAACCUAAUUUAAACCGUACUUUCCAUCUUGAGAUUUUCUAAAACCUUUUACUUCUUUCCCAAACUUAACCUUUUAUAUUUACUGUUGUGACAAAUGAUUUAUUUUAUUUAUGUAAACAAGUUUUCUACUGAAAAGCUACUCGAAGUUGUAGUUCCACUUUGUGGGACGAUAUCUUUUUAUACUGUAACUUGAACAGUGUAUACUUUUUUUUUUUUUUUGAAGGGUUGAACGGUGUAUACUUGAACUCGGUGUUUCUACCUAAAAAUAUUUAUAGUUUCUUUGGGUAAAGUGUGAUUCUAUGGAAUUAUUAGCUUUUACUUUUCAUCACCAUAAAAAAAGGGCUCGUUUUUACGCAACUUCCCUACAUGGAGUUUUAGUCCUUACUACAUUCAAUUUCUUUAAUUAGUCUUAAACUUUUUAAAAUAUUAAAUGAUUUUGUUCAUGUUUAGAAUAUUCUAAAAAAAAUAUUAAAUUUUUUUUAUUUUUUAAUAUGGAAUGAAUAAAAUAUAAAUUUAUAAUAUUGAAAAUUCAAGAUAAGGUAUUGAUAAUUUGGAAUAAAACAACUGCUAUGAAAAUUUUAUAGGGAGAUCAAAAUGACACUAUUUUAUUGGGCAGAAAAAUUAAAAUUGGUAAUUUUGUAGGCAAGAAAAAAAAUAUUUAACAAGUUGGCAACAAUGGCUACAUGUUUGGCUUUGAUGCCCAAGGCGAAUGGUGUUAAAUAAGCAAUAAUCCUUCAUAGCGUUGACGCCUAAGCCUUUAGUUUCGAUUCCAGGAUAUUUAUUUUCUAUUUUGCACUGUUUUGACUUAAUAAAGAUGUUUUAGUCAUCAACUAUGAUUUCCUAGUCCUAAAUCACUUUAAAAUGGCAUGUUAAUCGUAGGAAGACCUCAAGCUUAUUAUUAAUGAACGUUGCUAUAUAGUACGAGAGAUUUAAUGCACGAGUCAUGCAUGGCAUGCUCAAAACACACACUUUGUUUGGUGAAUGACCUUCUUCUAGAUGGUUUAUGGAUUUAUAAGAUAAAGAUGAACUAAGAUAUAUAAAAUAUGAUAUAAUAAACUAAGAUAAUAUAAAAUUGUUGUCGGUAGUAGCACCAUCAUCUUCCCUGUCAAUGUUGCACCGAUAAAAGCAUUACAACCUUUAAGAUGCUCCAAAUUCAUGUUUUAUUUGGUGAAUCAGCUUAGUUAAACAUAAAUCAUCAUGAGAUCAAGUUGGCAUUACUCUCUGACAAGAUUAAUUACUGAGAGGAAUAGUUCGUGCAAUUAGGCACGAAAAUUUUAUCGUGCCUUUUAUCAUUUUCCAUUAUUAAUUUAAAAUGACUAUUCAAUCAUUUAAUGAUUUUUUAAGAGUCUAUGUUUUGGAUGAAAAAGGUAAUAAAUAUAUGGUCAUUGAAGUUAUAUGGGGUCGGUCUUUAAAUAUAAUGUGAUAUUCUUAAAGGCUUAAUUACCUUUUUGGUCCUCUAACUAUUUAAUUGGUAUCAGAUUGAUCCUCUAAUUAAAAAUUGAUUUAUUUCGGUCCUCUAAGUUUCUCACCGUUACUAUAUUUAGUCCUUUUUGUUAGUUUUAUUCAAAUAAAGUUAGGUUUUUUGUUAUGUGGGUCCUCUAACUUUAUUUAUUAGUAUCAUUUUGGUCCUAUAUCUCGUUAAGAUAUUAUGAUUAAAUAGUGACUGAUAUUAUUGGUAAUUGUUAUGUUUCAUUUGUAUGUGUGAAAUAGGAGGUCAGACACCCACAUAGCACAAACCUUGACGUUUAUUUGAAUAAAACUAACAUAAAGGACUAAAUGUAGUAACAGUGAGAAACUUAGAAGACCAAAAUAAAUCAAUUUUUAGUUAGAGGAUCAAUCUGAUACCAAUUAAAUAGUUAGAGGACCAAAAAGAUGAUUAAGCCUAUUCUUAAAUUAAAGGCCAUGCUGGAAAUCCAAGAAUAACCAAUAGAAAACAAUUUAAUUAAAAUAUUAUUUUGUACUUUAUUUCAUUUGAUUGACAGUCUCUUGGACUACAAAACCAUAACUGCAAGUAGGGGUGUAAGUGGGUUGAUUUGGGUUGGGUUUGGCCAAACCCAAGGCCCGAACCAUAUAGGGUACUCCGGUUUGGGUUAGGUAAAAUAUCCACCCGUUAAAUUAAUGGGUGGGUUUGGGCAAACCCACUAAUUUCCGGUUUGGUUUGGGUUGGGUAGUGGGUUACCCAAAUUUUUUUUUUGUUAAUAUGAAAUGACUAAACGACGAGUCCUUGUAUUUUUUUCAUAAAAAAUUUUCAACUUUUUAUUUUCUUAAAAUAAUUAUGUAACAUAUUUUCACUAUAUUUUAGCAUCAUAAAAUAAUAAAUUUUAAUAUUAAAUAAAUAAUUUGAUCAUUGAAUACUUGAAAUAAAUUAAAGUUGGAUGACGUAAAAUUGCUUUAGCAUCAAAGUAACUAUAAAUUGCAACAUCAUAAUUUGUAACUCUAAUAUUUUUUUUAUUUUCAAUAUAGAGGAUGUGUUUUGUCAAUUUUAGGAAUUAAACUAAAUUUAUGAUCAAAACAUUUGUUAUUCUUCUUCCUCCCUAUGAAAAUGAAAUUAAAAUUUGGAAAUUAUUGGGUAAGUUGGUUUAUUGAGUAUGGGUUCGGUUUUACCCAAAACCCAUUAUUUUUUAUGGGUUUUUCAUUUUUUAAAACCAUAUCCGCUCAAUCACCCAACCCAACCCACUUUUUUGGGUGGGUUUGACGGGUUUUUUGGGUUUACCCAACCCAUGUACACCCCUAACUGCAAGGUCCGUAAAAUUAAAAAAAUAAAUAAAAUACAAUGAUUGGUAACUAUAAAAUAGUUUAGCAAAAUGUAUAUUGCAUAUUUGUUUCUUCCAGUGAAAGAUCUCAUUCUUUAAUGCAUGGUGUAAUUGUACUAUCUUUAGUAUGAGACUCAUACUAUGCGUACGACAUUCUGGUCCAUCUACAUUCUCCUUUAACGCACUUAAACCUUUUAACUCGAGUACUGGGUGGACAAUCAGCAUCAGUUUCACAAUUAACAUAUCCUGUAGUGAAAAAAUAGAAUAAAAUAAUGUUACAAAAAUGAUAUAAACAUUAUAUACGAACUACAAACUAAAGAAAGAAAUUCGAAAAGAAUAGGAAAAUAGAUUACCCUCAACAUUAUUUGAAGCAAGAAAUAGAAAAAUAAAUAAAAUCAUAGACACAAGCUUAUGAGUAUUAGCCAUAUUUCUCUCUUUUUACAUGCAACAAAUAUAAUUUAUUUGAUCACUUUAUAGUGUAUAAAGUUAUUCGCGUGUUAAGAAAAAUAUAAAUAUUUUUACCUCGUAAGCAUGAUUAAAAAUCUUUCCAUAAAUUUAGAACUAUUAUUAAGUGACUCUUGAGUUGAUUAAUGUGUUAUAUUUGUCCAUUUACUACACUUAAGAAUGGUGUAACCUAAAAACCUUGCAAAUCAUUAGUAUCCAAUAUUUUGGUAAUUAACUUUAUUACUUUAGAUCAUCGAAAGGGGAAAUUUAAUAAAUAAUAAUGCAUAAUUUAAUCGUGUAUAUAUAUAUAUAUUUAUAGAGAGAGAGGGUGUAUCAAAUGAGAGGAGUGUUAUUAUGAGAGGUGAGAGGAAUAAAUAUGGACCAUUGGAUUAAAAUGGAAGGUGAAGAUUAAAAGGCUCCACGUUAAGUUUCACAUGCUACUCACUUUUUUAAGCGCCUCCUCUCUUUCUUUCCCACCCCUUCCCUUCCUUGGUCUCAAACUUAAAUUUGCCUGCUUCCGAAUACUCCCUUGAACCUUCUUCCAACAGUUUGGGAUAAUAACCAAAACACUAAUGUUUUGCAAAAUCGUUUUAAUGUUUUUGUUAUCUCGAUCAAUGUCUGUUGAAUACCCCUAAUCUUUUUUCAACUCCAUAAAAUUGAAAUUAACCCAGCAAACCACAAAGAUAUCACACUACAAACCACUUAAAAUAUAUAUGAAGUUGCAUGAUCUAGGAUAAGAGUGAAUUACAACGACUCAGGUGAAAACAAUAAAAUAUGUUCCACAAACCAAUAAGAGCUCCUCUAUAUCUUAUCUCAUUUGUCUUCAAAUGCAAAGAAAAAAAAGACUAAACUACACUUUUCACCCUCUAAGUUUCAAAAUGUUGCAAUUUUGGCCCCCUAUAAAAAAAAAUUGGCAAAAGUGACCCCCAUGUUUAGGGAAAUAUGCUAUUUUGACCCCCUCACAUACGGGAAAUAUGAUCCUUUGAUCCCUUAUCUUCUUAAAAAGUUGCGAUUAUGGCCCUUGUUUUGGGAAAGGGGCCUAAAUUGUAAUUUUUUAAAUAAGGGGCCAAAAUCGCAACAUUUUAAAUCUUAGAGGGCGAAAAAUCCAGUUUAGCCAAGAAAAAAACUAAAAGCAUAAGCAAAAUAUCAUAUGAUGCUCUAUCAUCAAUACCCUAAUACCUUAGUGCGGAACUGGUGGGAACCUAAACCUAGAAAUUGUUUCUUGUUAAGUCUCGUGAUCGAGCCCAUAAAUGAGUAUUGUUAUGCUCAUAACACGAUGGAUGAGGUAACACUCCCUUAGACUAACUGGUUUGCUUGAAAGCCGGUUAGUAUUAGAUAUAGCUCUAUGUAUCUCAAGGCUAUGAGAAGCUAGAAACGGUUGCAGCUUUGUGAGUGGUAGGAAGCUAUGUAGGGAUACAGCUCCGUGAAUCUCACUUAAAUUAACAGGUUAAUAAAUGGCCAUAACGCUAAGACUCAUAGAGGUUGUACCCAACCAUAGCUCUGUACAUCACAAUAAUGUUUUAUGAUAACUGGACCUAGUUUAAACCAGACUUUCCAUCUUGAGAUUUUCUAAAACCUUUUACUGCUUUCCCAAACUUAAUCUUUUAUAUUUACUGUUGUGACAAAUGAUUCAUUUUAUUUAUGUAAACAUGUUUUCUACUGAACAGCUACACGAAGCUUUAGCUCCACAAUCCUUGUGGGUCAAUAUCUUUUUAUACUAUAACUUGAAUGUUGUAUACUUGAAUUCAGUCUUUCCCCCUUAAAAUACUCAUAGUGUUUUGGGGUAAAAUGUGAUUUUAAUUAGUCUAUAUGGAAUUAUUAACUUUUGUUGUUCAUUGCCAUAAAAUUGGGGCUCGUUCUUACACAACUUCCCUACAUGGAGUUUUAGUCCUUACUACAUUCAAUUUCUUUAAUCAUUCUUAAACUUUCUGAAUUUUUAAAUGAUUUUGUUCAUGUUUAGAAUAUUAUAAAAAAAUUAUUUUUUUAUUUAUUUUUUAAUAUGGAAUGAAUAAAAUAUAAAUUUAUAAUAUUGAAAAUUCAAGAUAAGGUAUUGAUAAUUUGGAAUAAAACAACUGCGAUGAAAGUUUUAUAGGGAGAUCAAAUUGCCACUAAUUUAUUGGGACGAAAAAUAAAAAUUGGUAAUUUUGUACCGAAGAAAAAAUAUAUUUAACAAGUGGGCAUCAAUGGCUAAAUGUUUGGAUUUGAUGCCGAAUACGACCGGUGUUAAUUAAGCAAUAAUCUUUCAUAGCGUUGGUUUCGAUUCCAGGACAUGUAUUUUUUAUUUUGCACUUUUUUUAUUUAAUAAAGAUGUUUUAGUAAUCAACUAUGAUUCCUUUAGUUCCAAUUCACUUCCAAACAUUUUGUUUAUUUAAAAUGACAUGUUAAUCGUAGGAAGACCUCGAACUUAUUAUUAAUUUGAAAUGUGGAGGAGUCCUCUUUUUGUCUGGGAGCUAGAUCUCCUUGCUGAGCUGCUCGUGGUCGCGGCUAGGCUUUCGAGAAGUGUGCGGGAGGAUAGGUGGUUUUGGGCUACCAAUCAUGAUGGUUGUUAUUCGGUGAAGUCGGCUUACUCUAAUCUUUUACGGGGUCUUCUGGUGGAGGCCGCCCCUGAGGGGGUGGUUUUGCAGGCAGUCUCCUCGGUGUGGAAUUCCUGGGCUCCGUCAAAAGUGAUUGUUUUCUCUUGGCAGCUUCUCAUUGAUAGGAUCCCGUCUCGUCGCAAUCUCAUUAGGCGCGGUGUGCCUCUUCCUGUAGGUGGGGUGGGGUGUGCCUUCUGCGAUUGUCCGUCCGAGUCUGCGGUGCACCUGUUCAUUUCCUGUCCUUAUUUCUUUCCGGUUUGGUACCAGGUUUCUACGUGGUUGGGUUGGGAGUUGGUGUUGCCUAUGGGGCUCCCCCAGCAAUUUCAGGCGUUUUCCGGGUUAGGGGGGGGGGGAAGAAAGUUAGGUUAGGUUUGCUUCUUGUUUGGCAUGCUGUUAUUUGGGCGUCCCGGAAUGACCGGAUUUUUGCUGGUGGUUUACUCCAUGAGGAGCCUGUGGUGGAUAGAGUUAAACUCUUAGUUUGGAAGUGGUUCCAGGCUAGGUGCCCUGCUAGUCCCUGCUCUCUCUAUGAGUGGGAGGUGCAGCCCGUCCUGUGUUUGAAUCGGUAGGGUUUUUGGUGGUUGCUUGCCUGGGGUUGCCUGUUGGGUUUGGUGGGGUUGUAUCUCCCCUUCCUUUAUGGUGUGGCCUUGGGGUUUUUUCUUGUUGUUCUUUGUGCUUGCAGGUGUUUGCUGGGCUUGCCGCUUUCGUUGGCAAUCGGCUUUUGGUGCAUUUUUAUUUUGGUGCUUUUGCUCUCUCUGGGGCUUUCUCUCUUUGGGUUCGGUCUGGCCCUGCCUGUGGGGUGUGAUGUGCUGUUUCCUUUGGGGAGGUUUGGUGGAGAGUCGUUUGUUGGCUCCUUUUGUGUAUUUUGUUAUAACUAUUGCGAUUUUUUCCUUUUUAUUUAUAUAUAUAUAUAUGGGGAAUGCUACAACACACCCUUCAAUUUAUAUGAAGGUGUGUGUUAGCAUAGAACACCUUUUUGUUAGGACAAAACUAACCAACAUUCCUUUUUGAAAAUAAGCCAAGCUGAAGGGCAAAUAUGUAAUUCAGAGAUUAUUAUUAUUAUUAUUAUUAUUAUUAUUAUUCCAGUUAUUCUCUCCCUUCUCGUCCAAAAAAAAACAAAAAUUAUCUUCUUCCUCAAAUCAACGCAGGUGCAAGGAAAGAAAAAAAUUGGGGUUUCUCACCUAGGAUCACUGUAUUUUAAUUCUCUAAUCAACACCAAAUUCUCUGAUUAUUCAAUUGUAUGUAUGCUUUCAUUAGACACUUUCCUUUAAACAAAAAAAGAAACUAUUUUUUUUUUUUAGUGUUUUCAUGGAAGAAAGACCAAUCGAACCUAAGAAAAAAUAUACAUAAGAUAAGAGAGGUGUUCCUGUUUUGGAGAAUUAGACAUCAAAUUUUUUCUUCAAAAUUUUUAAUUUCAUCUAUAUUCUUUCUCGUUUCUGACUUGUAAGUCUGAAACCCAUGAGAGCCUAACAGAGUGAUGGUGGAGGGUGGAGAGAGAGAGAGUGAAAUUCGCUCCAGGGAAGAAGGGACCUUCAAGAGUGGUUGGAAUGGAGCAAUUUGUGAAAGCAAAGAAUAGAGGAAGAAGAUUGAAAAGGAGAAUAACCGGUUAUAGAAAAUGAUAAUAAUAAUGUGUAAAUUACAUAUGUGCCCUUCAUUUUGGCAUGUUUUCAAAAAGAAAUGUUGGUUUGUUUUGUCCAAAUAAAAGGGUGUUCAAUGCUAACACAAACCAUCAUAUAAAUUGAAGGGUGUGUUGUAGCAUUCCCCUAUAUAUAUAUAUAUAUAUAUAUAUAUAUAUAUAUAUAUUUUGCCAUUGAAAAAAAAAAUAAAAUUUUGAAAUGAGUAUUCAAUCAUUUGAAGAUUUUUUAAGAGUCUAUGUUUUUUGAUGAGAAAUGUAAUACAUAUAUGGUCAAUAUUGCGAUAAAUCCUAACUUGGAUGAAUAGAGUUCCAUCUUGAAUAUAUUUUCAAUAAUCUGUUUAUUAUCAUUAGAACCAAUAAUUUACAUUUAGAAGAAACAAAUGAACUGGUGAACUCUCCGUUUAAAAGAAACAUAAAUGACAUUGUUUGAAAAUUCACAUGCCUGACAAUAUAUUAUGAUGUAAAAUUGAAGUUAUAUGGGGUAUGCUUCUAAAUAUAAUGUGAUAUUCUUAAAUUAAAGGUCAUGCUGUAAAUCCAAGAAUAUGCAAUAGAAAACAAUUUAAUUAAAAUAUUAUUUUGUACCUUAUUUCAUUUCAUUGACAGUCUCUUACACGACAAAACCAUAACUGCAAGGUCCGUAAAAUUAAAAAAUAAAUAAAAUACAAUUAUUGGGAUUCUAGAUAGGACAACAACUAAAUGGUAACUAUAAAAUAGUUUAGCAAAAUGUAUAUUGCAUAUUUGAAUUUUUCCAAAGAAAGAGCUCAUUCUUUAAUGCAUGGUGUAAUAGUACUAUCUUGAGUAUGAGACUCAUACUAUGCGUACGACAUUCUAGUCCAUCUACAUUCUCCUUUAACGCACUUAAACCUUUUAACUCGAGUACUGGGUGGACAAUCAGCAUCAGUUUCACAAUUAACAUAUCCUGUAGUGAAAAAAUAGAAUAAAAUAAUGUUACAAAAAUGAUAUAAACACUAUAUACGAACUACAAACUAAAGAAGGAAAUUUAAAAAGAAUAGAAAAAUAGAUUACCCUCAACAUUAUUUGCAACAAGAAAUAGAAAAAUGAAUAAAAUCAUAGACACAAGCUUAUGAGUAUUAGCCAUAUUUCUCUCUUUUUACAUGCAACAAAUAUAAUUUAUUUGAUCACUUUAUAGUGUAUAAAGUUAUUCGUGUGUUAAGAAAAAUAUAAAUAUUUUUACCUCUUAAGCAUUAUUAAAAUCCCUCCCUAAAUUUAGAACUAUUGUUAAGUGUCUCUUGAUUUGAUUAAUGUGUUAAAUUUGUCCAUUUACUACACUUAAUAAUGGUGUAACGUAAAUACCUUCCAAAUCAUUAGUAUUCAAUAUUUUGGUAAUUAACUUUAUUACUUUGGAUUAUCGAAAGGGGUAAUUUAAUAAAUAAUAAUGCAUCAUUUAAUCGUAUGGAAAAUUUUGAAUGCGGGGGAUAUAAGAUCAAAACACAAAGAGAUCACACUACAAACCACUCAAAAUAUCUAUGAAGUUGAAUGAUGUAGGAUAAGAGUGAAUUACAAUGAUUCAAGUGAAAACAAUACAAUAUGUCCUCAAACCAUUAAGAGCUCCUCUAUAUCUUAUCUCAUUUGUAUUCAAAUACAAAGAAAAAAAACGAAAAACAUAGCCAAUAACUUUACACACGAUGUUAAGUCUUGUAAUCGAGCCCAGAAGUAAGUGUUCUUAUGCUCUUAACACGAUGGAUGAGGUAACACACCCUUAGACUAAUUGGUUUGCCAUAAAGCCUUUUAGUAAUAAAAAUAGCUCUGUGAAUCUUAGGGCUACGAGAAGCUAGAAACGAUUGGAGCUAUGUGAGUGGUAGGUAGCAAUGUAGGGAUAUAGCUCUGUGAAUCUCAGUUAACUUAAGAGGUUAAUAAACGGCUAUUGCGCUAAGAGUCGCAAAGGUUGUACCCAAUUAUAACUCUGUACAUCGCAGUAAUGUUUUAUGAUAACUGAACCUAGUUUAAACCAGACUUUCCAUCUUUAGAUUUUCUAAAACCUUUUACUGCUUUCCCAAACUUAACCUUUUAUAUUUACUGUUGUGACAAAUGAUUUAUUUUAUUUAUGUAAACAAGUUUUCUGCUGAAAAUCUACGCGUAGCUUUAGCUCCACAGUCCAUGUGGUCGAUGUCUAUUUAUACUAUAACUUGAAUGAUGUAUACUUGAAUUCACAGUCGAGGUGUGUUGAAUGAAGUAGAUAAAAUAGUCACAAGGAAGGGGGGUUUGAAUUGUGACCCUUUAAAAAUUAAACCUGUAACUUAAAAUUGAUUCUCAAGUUGAAACUUGAAAUGGCUAAGUUAAAAGCAGACUUCAGAACGUUCUGAUGUUUGAUUGCAAAAACAGUUUAAUAAAGUAAAUGUGUUUGUGUGUGUUGUGUAUGCAGUAAGUAAAGAGUAUAGGGAAGAGAGAAUCAACACACGGAGAAUUUAUAGUGGUUCCCCCAAUGUGGGUUAGUCCACUCCUCACAAUCUUGUGAGAGUUUCCACUAUGAUGCUUGAGAUAACCUCUCAAAUCCUGCACCUUACAAUCUUUGUUCACCUGAACAGUUACAAUUCUGUAUUCUCUAAGCCUCAGCAGGCUUGCACCUUGUUGCUAAGUUAACCACUUAGACUUUUACAAACUCAGCUCAAACUAACACUUUAGUACCCCUAAAGCUAGAUGAGAUUUGUUUUUCUUCUUGCUAAGUUGCCCACUUAGACUUUUGCUCCUUCUGCUCAAACUAACACUUUAGCACCUCUAAAGCUAGAUGAGACUUUCUUUUCUUCUUGCUAAGUUGCCCACUUAGACUUUUGCUCCUUCUGCUCAAACUAACACUUUAGUACCCCUAAAGCUAGAUGAGACUUUACAAGAUGUUUGAAGCUUGAAUGAUUGAAAUCAGACAAGAGAAGAAAGGAAGGAAGUGUUAUCUUUAAAGAGAUAACAAAGAGUAUUGAUGUGCACUAAGGAAACAAGAGCCUUAGAGAUUGAUCAAUUUCAAUUUGCAAGAGCUUCAAACAAUCAAGUUGUUUUCUUGUAUGCUUUGCAAUGGUGCAAGUUUUGCUAAUGCCUUGAUCUCUAUUUAUAGAGUCUUUGGGCUCAUAUAGCCGUUGUAGGAUGUCCAAUGGUGUUAUGCCAUGUGUCCUGGGUCCCACAAGCUUUAACUUGAAAUUCUGGGCAAACAUUCUGAUCUCUGAUGAACAUCAGAAUGUUGUUGUGUUCAUGAUGAUCUUCAUCUGGGUUCAUCAUGUUCUUCAUCUGGGUUCAUCAUGUAUGAAUGAACACAUGAAGUUCUGGGCUAUGCAUAUGUUUUUCAUAUGAAAUUCUGGACAAUAACCAAUGUAUGGACUUUUCUUCAUACAUCAGAAUGUUCCUUUCCCAGAUUUUGUCUUGGAACCGGUGCAGGAGGAUUUAGUGGGAUUCUGCAUCUUCAUGCCCAUGCUUUGAGGGAUUGUGUGGUCCUUGUACUGUACCAACUCCCAUAUGUGUCUAUCUCUUGUUGAUCAAGACAGAUUUGCUUUUUGCUUUUCACCUACUAUACUGUUCAUAAAGUAAGCAUGUGCUGAGCUGAACAUUCUGACCAUCAGAAUGUUUAAUAUUCAUGAUUUUCUUCAUCUGGGUUCAUCAAGGAUGAAUGUCUGAUGAGUUUCUGGGUCCAUCCAAUACGUGACAUGAGAUUUGUUCAAGUUUUAUCCUUCAAAAGUUACUUCACCAUAUGCAUCAAAAGUUGCUUGAAAAAGUAGGAUAAAGUUGAUUCAAAUCUGUCUUGGAUUUGGUUCAGGAGAGAGAGAGAGAGGAUAGUGGAUCUGCAAUCUUCAGGCCCAUGCUUCAAGGAGAUUUGCUUGAUUCAUCUCAGAGUACAGGUUAUCUCUGAUGCAAGAUCUCCUUUGCUAGCUUUUUCCAUCUUUCCACCAACUACACUGUUCAUGGCUGGAAGCAUGUGCAGAAGUGAACAUUCUGAUCUCAUAAUGUUCCAUUUGUUCUUACUUUAGGUUGAUUUAUAAGACUUAACUUUUAAUGUAAUCAAACCUAAUAGUAAGAUACAACUGAAGUGCAGUGAAUGCAUCAUCUAGGACAAUAUUCUCUUUGGAAUAUUCCUAGUACUUUAAUGUUCAUCAUCUUGGAUGAACAUUAAAGAUCCUUUUUACAUAGAUCCUUGUCCAUGCCUUUAUUUGUUGAUAGAUCCAUGCAGAUGUACUUUUCUGGACCUUUUAUUCAUGUCAAGUGUACUUGCAUGCUCUUCAUGUUCUUGAUAAAUCUGGGUUGCUUCUGAACAACCUUCUGAACUGGGUUGCUUCUGAACAACCUUCUGAACUGAGUUGCUUCUGAACUCUCAUCAGAACGUUCUGAUCAACAUUCUGAACUAACUUUCUGAACUUCAGAGUUAGUUCAUGGAUUCAAUGUCCUUUGAUUUUAUGCAUCUUGGUAUGAUUCAAACCUUGUUCCUGUCUUAGUGAAAACACUCAAGAGCACAAGUUAAAUACCAAGGAAUUAAUCAAAGUCCAUUUAAUCCUUAAUCAUUAAAGUUUAUUAUCUUUAAAAUUAAUUAGGGAUUUUGCCUCAACAUUGAAUUCACAUUUUUCACUUUUGAAAUUCUUCUUUUGUGCACUUGUGAAUUCCAUUUCCAUUGAAGGCACUUGUGCACUUGUGAAAUUCACGUUCUCUUCAUUCACGUGUUGAGUGAAUUGUUGGAUUUUUCGGUGGUUGAUCACUAUAUUUAAUUAUCCACCAUUUCAUUACGUGAUUGCUUUCCUUGUAUGUUCCAAUUUUAUUUUGGUUAAAUUGGUGCUUGCGUACGGAUUUCUGUUUGAUUUCGAUCCCAGCUACCAUGUUCAACUGGCAGACUGAGAUGUAUGUUCCGGCAGCGCCCCCAAAGGCUGCGAGGGUUGUCACACCGCCCCCACCAGUCGCUUCUCUAGUGAUUUCGUUUGCACAGGCUUUGACAGCUUCGACCAAGGCUGUCAGAGGGUGUGUUGGCGUUUGGUAGACCAUGAGAUUAAAUUGUCACCAAGAUAAACACAGUAACCAGAAGGGAUCGCCUGGAGUCCGGUCAACCAACCCAAUCUGCAUCAGUGUAAGAAACCAAUUUGCUGACAUUGGAGGGAUAUAAGUGAAGGCCGAAAUCAAGAGUGACAUGAAUAUACCGAAUGAUACGCUUUAGUGCUGACAUAUGUUGCAUUUUAUGGUCAUGCAUGAAUAGGCAUACUUGUUGAGUCAUGAUAUGGAUUCCCAGAAGAGCCACUGUGUUUUGCGUUGGUGUCGACUGGAGUGGGUGAUGGUUUGCAAGAUGACAUGUCUGCUCGUUCUUUAAUUUCCUUUGCAUAUUUUCUUUGAGACAAGAAAAGACCACAUGUGUGUUUAGUGACAGAUAUUCCCAGAAAGUAACUUAGAGGACCCAAGUCCUUCAUGGUGAAUUUAGAACUAAGUUUAGACAUAAUAGAGUCCAGAAGAGCAUCAGAUGAAGUAGUGAGAAUUAUGUCAUCCACAUAUAGAUGGAUAUAUGCAAUAUCAAGGACACGAUGAAAAAUGAAUAAAGAGUGAUCAUAGAUGUUGUGAGAGAAACCCAAUGUGGCAACAUAAUCAGUGAAUCUUUGGUACCAGGCACGUGGUGCUUGUUUUAAAUAAUAGAGAGAUUUCUUGAGGAGACAAACAUGCUCAGGAUAAUGUGGAUCAGAAAAUCCAGGAGGUUGGUGCAUAUACACAGUUUCGUCAAGCUUUGCAUCGCUUAAAAAAACCAUCAGAUUUCUUUUUGUGCCUAAAAAUCCACAAACUUUGAAUAACAUUACCAUUAGAGGGACGGGGAACUAGCUCCCACAUCUUAUUUUCAAUAAGAGCAUAAUAUUAGUCUUUCAUGGUCAUUUUCCAAUUAGAAUAUCUUAAUGCAUCAAUGGGGAAUGUAGGUAAAGGAGAGAUAGUUUGGUUGGUUGAUGUGUGUAGGUUGAAAAUUGUAUGACGUUUGACAAUACCGUGUUGUGAACGGGUUCUCAUUUGAGGUGACUAACGUACAGGUGGGGAAAUGGGUGUUGGAAUCGGUGGAGAAGAGGUGGUAGGUGUUGUUUGUGGAGAUGAGUUCGUUUUCUAGGAGGGAGAAAGUGUUUGAACCGUGGGUGUAGGUUGUUGGGCCGAGGAGGUUGGUGAGAGGGGAACAUUUGUGUGGUUCGUGGUUUGAGGGGUAGGAGUUUGUUGGGCUGCUGGUGAGAGGAGGAUGCUGGAUAUGUGGUGUACAAGUGUGAGGGAAGUAGGGGGAUUAUGCCAUCAUCUAAAAAGUUAUAGCCAGUCGUUGUAGGAGCAUUCAUGGUUGCAAAGGGAAAUGUAUUUUCCUUAAAAAUAACAUGUCGAGAAAUAAUGAUUUUACGACUUGACAAUUCAUAACACUUAUAACCUGAAUGGUUAGACGAAUAUCCUUGAAAGACACAAGGUGUAGACCGGGGUCUGAGUUUAUUCCUAGUGGUGGAAGGAAUUAAUGGAUAGCAAAGACAUCCAAAUACUCAGAGGUGUGAAUAAGACAUGCCUUUUUGGUAGAGAAUUUUGGUGGGUGAUUGGAGAGUGAGUUUCUUAUUUGGAAGUAUGUUAGGUAGGUAAGUGGUCAUUUGAAGAGCAUGGUGCCAGAAAACUGGUGGAGUAGAAGCAUGGGUGUUAUCGCGAUUUUCGGGUGUCAGGUCAUUAAUUAGGCUUGAACCUUUCAAUCUUUGAUAUUCUCUAUUUUUUCUUGGGAAGGGCAAAAUUGAGAAAAAACCCUUAGAUUCUAAGUUCGGGGGUCGCUUUCGCUACGGGAAGGUGUUAGGCACCCGGAACGAUUAUGGUAUUCCAUAAGAACCGUUCUCCUAAGUCUAUUUCUACGCUUUAUGUUUUAUUGCCUACUUAAAAAAAGAAGUUUUAUUUGAGUGAAGAAUAGGGGAGAGAAGAUGAUUGAGAUUUUAUUUUUAUUUGGCUUGGAGGAGUUUUAACUCAUUGCCUACGUACCCUUUUAAGGGAUCAAAACCAAACGUAGUUCGUUCUCGAAAAUUGUUUUUGUUUUUGUUGGUUGAUUUUAAGUUUGAAAAGAAAAGAGGAAUUUUGAAGAAUGGAGGUGAGAGGCCUCAAGGGCAUGAGAUUUGGAAAAAGUGAGGUGGAAGUAGUUAUUUUGCAAAAUAAAGUCUAAGCAUGAUUAAAAUUUAUUAAAAAUUUUUUACUUAAGAAAACAAAAGGAAAAUGAGGAGUUUUGACUCCUAUUUUAGAAAAAAAAAGUUUUCAAGUGAGGUUAUUCACAUUUUUUGAAAAAAUGAUUUUUUGGUUUAAGCGUUGUAAAACCUAGGCAUACAUCUAAACAUACAUUCCCUAAUCAUGCAUCUAGAACAUCCAUGUGGGGUGUGUGCAUGUGUCGGUGCUCGUGUCGGUGUACAUCACUUAUAGUGUCCAUAGUCCUUUACAUUGUCCUAGUUACAUUCUAUGGUCUUGCAAAAAAUUAAAAGAUGAAUUUAAACUAGCCUAAAAUAUUACAUAACCAUUAGAAAUACAAGAGAGAAAAAUUGCAAAAAAAAAUAAAACCUAAUCUAAUAGGAAAGAUGAUGUAGUAAAAUGCUAUGAGAUGAGUGAAGAAUAAGUCAACAAAUGUUAGCAAAACAAGAUAAGAACAAUGCCAUGACUGAUAAAACAAUCAAUUGAACAUGAAAUAAAAUGGUAAAGAAAUGAUGGAAAUAAUGAGAAUGAAAGUUGCUUAAAAUGCAAGAAACACCUAAACCAUACCCAAACAGCAACACAAUCAUAAAAUCAGUAUCAUAUAUACCAUAGAAUUACAUACUAAUUGUUCAUGAUUCAUAUCUAAACUUAUGAAGAGCAAACAUGGCAAGAAAAUCACAAUAUUAGCCUAAAAGAGACAAAUUAACCAAGAAAAAUAACACCUACAUUUUUUAUCAUUUUUAAACCAUUGAAAAACAUCACAAAAUGGUUAAAAUGUAUCAAGAAAUAUAUGACAAUUUUUUAGGAAUUUUUUAGAAAAAAAAUUAGGCACACAGAGGUUCAAUUAGCAGAAAAAUAGGGUGUAGGUAGCAAGCAAAAGCAAGAAACGUGCAGAAAAUUAAGCCCAAACCCAAAGCCCAAACACAAAAAAAACCAGAUUACACAGGAGGCGUUGGAUUGAUCCAGGGAGGGAAACCCUAGAUCCAACGGCCAGGAACAAAGGGGGUUGGACCGGUCUUGAACCGGUCCGGUUCACUGGCUUUAAAAGGGGGGAACUCCGGUUUUUUUUUUAUUUCUUCCUCUCCUUCUCUCUCUUCUCUCACUCUAGUGAGAGAAGCUCUCACUUCUCUCUUCCCUCAUCCGCGUCGGUUUCUGGAAAUGGAGGAAGAUCUUCAUCUUCUCCGGUGAGGCUUGUUCCUCCGGCGCGGUGGCCGGCCACCCAAGGGUGGCGGCGCCGCCGCCGGAGUUGAGCAAACUUCUCCGUUUUCGAAAAUUCUUACAUUUUUAGAUAUCCUUUUUUUGUCCUGAACACGAAUAUGGCACUAGAUUUUGCAUGCAAAGCGCGAAUCAACGUAGAUCUUGAGAUCUUUCCUUGCGGUUUUCGAAAUUUUUUUAGUUUUUUUUUAGUUCUUUUUGAAUGAAAGCUUUUGGAACUUCAUAGGUCUACAUUGGAUUCGUCUUUGUUGACGUUCUUGAACAAAAAGAUGAAGUUUGAGUUUUACCUGUGAUUUUUGGUUGGAGAUUUCGAAUGAGAUCUUCGAAAAACUUGAAUAUUGGUGCGGUUUUGAUUUUCUGGCUUGGAUCCGAAAAUAAAUCGGUUCUUCUCUUCUUCUUCUUUACCGGUCCGAAUCCGCUUCUUUCCCUCUUCUUCUCAAACUUUCGGAUCCUUCGUGAUCGUGCUUGGAUUCGUUGCUAAAGGCGACGGAUCCGCACUGGAAUUGUGAAGGAUUCGGUUCGAUGAUGAUGAUUCUUUGAUGAAUCACUGAGAACUGUGAUGAAUUUGAGUUAUGGAUAAUUUUUUAGGGUUUUUUGUUCUUGGUGAUUUUUUCUGUUUUGAUCUAACAGAAACGAGAGAGAAAAUCUGGAUCUGUUUGUGUUGAUGUGUCACUGACUUUUUGACUGUGCAUUGAAUGCGCCUUUUAUAGGGUGCCACUUGUAUUUGAGACCCAAUGGGACACUGCCACCUAGAAUUGGACCUUGCUGCAAAAAGAAAAAAUAAAAGGACUAAUCUGCAAUAAAAAAAAAAACUAAAAAAAAAAAAUGCGAUUAAAAAAAGUAUUGGACAAAAAUGCAAUUUUGGGACCCUUUUGGGGGACCGAAAUGUAAAUAAAUAAAAAAUAAAAUGAAUUAAAAUUGGUAAUUGGUAAAAAGGUAAAGUGAAACGAAAAAUAAAAUCAACAAACGGACUAAAACGAACAAAUUACCGACAUGAGGUAUUUUAAAAUACCUCCCUGUCGGAAUUUUGACAGAAAAAGACCAAAAUGCCCCUAGGGACUAAACUGACCCAAACUGACUCAAAUGCAAUUUUGAAAUGAUUUUUUUUUUUUAACAAAGACUCAACGAUGAUUUGUACAGACAAAUUGAAAAGACUCAGAGGCAAACACAGGGACUAAAAUGGGUUCCACUGCAGGAAAUGACCAAAAUACCCUUUUGUAUGAUUUUUGAAAUAAAAUGCAAAAAAAGUAACGCGACGUUUCAGAGAGUUCUUAAAUGACUUGGAAUGUCAGAAAAGACAGAGGCAGUAAAAUUCGUUUAAAAAGAGAGUAAGGAUUCAGAGUAAAAUAACAGAGAAUUGACAAAUAUCAGUUGUUAAAAAAGAAAUUUGAACGAGUAUUUUUAGGUCCAAAAUCAGGGUAUAACAGCUGCCCCUAUUUAAGUUUCUUUGUCUGGAGGGUCAAGAGACGGAGUCUUUGGCUUGACGGGACGAAGAUACUUAAAUAUUAACAUUUGCACUGUGUUUGGACGUAAAAAUACGCUUGUACAUUUUCAAAUAUCAUGAGUGCCAUGCAACAUUUGGAUUAUGAAUGCGAGACAAACGAGAGUUGGAACUAACAAAAGAUGUCGUAUCCAUUGCGGGAUUGGUAGACAUUGGCACGAUAACAGAUAACAGAAUAGGUAGGGGACUAGGAACGAAUUGACGGGUACAAGCUGCUCUUGGAUUGAGCUGGGCACUUGACCGGGAAUAAAAGCAGACAAACAGGUGCGAGUUGUUCUUGGAUUCGAACUGGUCACUCGACCGGAGACAUAGAAAAGGUAGACAGGUACGAGUUGUUCUUGAUUCGAACUGGUCACUCGACUGAAAGCAAGGCAAAUAGACAGGUGCGAGCUUGUUCUUGGAUGCGAACUGGUUACUCCACCAGAGACAAAGACCAAUAGAUAGGCGCAAGCUGCUCUUGGAUUGAGCUAGCCACUUGACCGAACAGAAACAGAUAGACAGGUACAAGCUGUUCUUGGACUUGAACUAGCCACUUGACCAAAAUCAUAGACACAUAGACAGGUACGAGCCGUUCUUGGAUUCGAACUGGUAACUCGACCGAUAACAUUGAAAAGUAAACGGGUACAAGUCGUUCUUGGAUGCGAACUGGUAACUUGACCAAACAGAAACAUAUUGACAGGUACAAGCUGCUCUUGGAUUGAGCUGGGCACUCGACCGGUAACAUAAACAAAUGCACAAGGGAUUAGUUUUUUUUGACAAAAUAUAGGUUGAAAUUGACUUGACGUCGAUUUGAUUUGAAAGGUAGAAAUUGACCAAUAUUAUUGGCUCACAAGGUUUUGACAGAGAACCCGACAUAAGUAUUGAAUUGAGACUGAUGUUGACAUUGGAAAUGCGAUAUGCAUGGAUGGUAUAACAGUUUCAUUAAAUGCAUGGGCACGUAAUAUGCAUGAUUAUGCAUGUAUGAAUGCUUGUAAUGCAUGACUGUUGGCAGUUUGUAGACACAGUUUCGCAGAGACAGACAAGACAUUGGAGUAUUGGGCACGUAAUGGCUCGUGCUAUAUUACACAUUCCUGGAAAUCCUCUUCGGAGAUGACGUCGUUGGGAGACGUAUCGGAACCAUGGCUGAGGGCAGGUAGCUAUGCAACUUGCUAAGGAUAGAAUCUUGGGAGACUCUACUGGGAAUAAUGCCGGAUGUAUCGUGGACGUCGCAUCUGUGGUCAAUGCUUUUUGCAUGUUAUUUUCUCAAUUUUCAUUCAUUCAUUUUUUUGCAUCCCAUUUUUGCCUGGAUCGCCCUUUCGGGUUUUCAAUCCACCGGGGAAAUAAAUUCUUUUCAAUGCCCCAUUUUUGCCUGAACUGCCCUUUCGGGUUGUCAAUCCAGCGGGGUGCUCAUUUUUGCCUAAGCCGCCCUUCCGGGUUUUCAACUUAGCGAGCCUAUUCAUUUUUAUGCAUUUUCAUUCUGUUUUUUCAUUCUUGCCAUUGACCACAGACUAUCCUGGAGGAGAACCUGCUUGUAACACAUAUUGAAAUAGACAUCAACAUACUCUCGCUCAUGCAUGUUUCAUUUGAAUGUACCCUGUUGCUCAGGUUUGCUUUUCAAAAUAGACAAAAAGUUUUCAAUUUUCAAAAUGUUUGUUUCAAGCAUUGUCAUUAUCAAAAUAGAAAGAAAAUGUUUUUGUAUAUAGCUUUGAAAGUAGAAGAAAAAUAGAGUUUCAAACAAAAGCACAAGCUCAAAUUGAUGUAUAAGAGUGGUGGUCAGCCGAAGGCGUGAAUCCACGGAUUUACAAAGCUUGGAAAAUGGUAAUUUUUAUUGGUUGGUGGUACAUUGAACACGGUAAUCAUUACAUUUCCUGAAAACUUUGAAUUCGCAAGCGUAGGAGCUUUUGAUGAAGAUAGUCAUUAACAGCUGCAGAUGCCCCAAGGGGGACGGCGGUUGGUCAGAUAUAGUUACUUGCCUUUUGUUUCAAUCUCAUUUUUGCAUGAACCGCCCUUCCGGGUUUUCGGCUCAUCGAGGCGCUCAUUCUUGCCUGAGUUGCGUACAAUCUCAGCGAGCUUUUUUCAAAUAUUUUUUUUUGUGUCCCUUAUUUUUGCCUGGACCGCCCUUUCGGGUUUUCGAUCCACCGGGAAGCGCAUUUUUGCCUAGGCUGCCCUUUCGGGUUUUCGACCUACCACGCUGUUCUUUUCAUAUUUCUAGGCAAAGUAUUUCUUGACUAUAUCGGCAUUCACUGGAUUUGGAAGUUCUACACCAUCCAUGUGUGUAAGGAUUAAAGCACCACCGGAGAAGGCCUUCUUGACAACAUAAGGACCUUCAUAGUUAGGCGUCCACUUGCCCCUUGGGUCGGGUUGCUGGCUCACCCUCCUUUUCAAUACAAGUUCCCCUACCUUGAAUUCUCGAGGAUGGACUUUCUUGUCAAAGGCAGUUUUCAUUCUUGCUUGAUAUGACUGUCCACGAGCCAUGGCAUCCAUACGUUUUUCCUCAAUCAAAUUCAACUGAUCAUACCGGCUUUGGCACCAUUCAGCCUCGGAUAACUUUGCUUCCAUGAUCACACGGAGAGAUGGGAUCUCCACUUCCAAAGGAAGAACUGCUUCCAUACCAUAUACAAGAGAGAAAGGGGUUGCCCCGGUUGAACUGCGCACUGUAGUACGGUAACCAUGCAGAGCAUAGGGUAACAUCUCAUGCCAGUCCUUGUAAGUGGUUACCAUCUUCUGGACAAUUCUCUUGAUAUUCUUGUUGGCGGCCUCAACUGCACCAUUCAUCUGAGGUCUAUAAGGAGAAGAAUUAUGAUGCUCAAUUUUGAAUUCUUCACAAAGAGCUUGCACCACAUCGUUGUUCAGGUUUGUACCAUUGUCGGUAAGGAUUUUGCUGGGAACACCAUAUCGACAGAUGAUGUUGUUCUUGAUGAACUUAGCUACCACUUGCUUGGUCACAUUGGUAUAAGAUGCUGCUUCAACCCACUUGGUGAAGUAGUCAAUUGCCACUAAGAUGAAACGAUGACCAUUUGAAGCCUUCGGUUCAAUUCUUCCAAUCAUGUCGAUGCCCCACAUUGAGAAUGGCCAUGGGGAUGAAAUAACAUUGAGAGCGUGCGGAGGCACAUGAAUCUUAUCAGCAUAGAUUUGACAUUUGUGGCACUUUCUGGCGUGCUGGUAGCAAUCAUGCUCCAUGGCCAUCCAGUAGUAACCUGCUUGUAACAAUUUCCUUGACAUAGUAUGCCCUGUAGCAUGGGUCCCGAAGGUACCGUCAUGUACAUCAUGCAUUAACUGCUCCGCUUCAUGUUCAUCAACACAUCUUAACAAUACCAUGUCAUAGUUUCUCUUGUACAGAAUAUCUCCAUCUAACAGGAAUCUACUGGCCAAUCUUCUCAGGGUCUUCUUAUCUUGUUUGGAAGCACCCGGCGGAUACUCACGGCUCCGCAAGAACUGCUUGAUGUCGUAGUACCAGGGUUUAUAGUCAACCACAUUUUCACCAGCCUGAUCGAUCACAUCCCCAAUAGCAAACACAUGUGAAGGUCUUUCAAGGCAUUGCACUUUGAUUAUUGGCACAUCAUUCCAAUGGUUUACUCGAAACAUGGAGGAUAGAGUAGCAAGAGCAUCAGCCAUUUGGUUCUCAUCACGAGGAAUAUGGUGCAGCUCAACCUUUGUAAAAUAUGUCAGCAAACGUCUCGCAUAAUCACGAUAAGGAAUCAACUUAGCGUGAUGGGUCUCCCAUUCACCCUUUAUCUGAUUGAUGACGAGCGCGGAAUCUCCAUAGAUGUCGAGGUGUUUGAUUCUCAUGUCAAUUGCUUCCUCGAUCCCAAAGAUACAUGCUUCAUACUCAGCCAUAUUGUUUGUACAUUCGAACAGAACUCUGGCGGUAAAAGGGAUGUGAUGCCCCUGUGGGGAUACAAUGACUGCCCCAAUUCCUUUACCAUAAGCAUUGACAGCACCAUCAAAGACUAAACCCCACUUGCUAUUGGGAUCUGGACCUUCAUCAAUCAACGGUUCUUCGCAGUCUUUUGAUUUUAAAUAUAUGAUCUCUUCAUCGGGGAAAUCGAACUCAAUUGGUUGAUAAUCAUCAAGAGGUUGGUAAGCAAGAUGAUCGGCAAGAAUGCUACCUUUGAUUGCCUUUUGAGUUUUGAACACAAUAUCAUAUUCAGACAAAAGCAUCUGCCAGCGUGCAAUCUUCCCAGUAACAGCAGCUUUCUCAAAGAUAUACUUUAUCGGAUCCAUUCUGGAUAUCAACCAAGUUGUAUGACUCACCAAAUAAUGACGCAGGCGUUUAGCGGCCCAGGCCAAAGCACAACAAGUCUUCUCAAGCAUUGUAUACCGAGUUUCACAAUCGGUGAACUUCUUGCUUAGAUAGUAGAUAGCAUGUUCUUUCUUUCCAGUCUCAUCCUGUUGACCAAGUACGCAUCCCAUGGAUUCAUCAAAUACUGCCAAAUACAUAAUCAAAGGCCUUCCUUCCACGGGUGGGACAAGGAUAGGUGGUUCCAGCAGGUAAUUCUUGAUGCUAUCAAAAGCUUCUUGGCAUUCAUCAUUCCAUACAAUAGGCUGAUUCUUUCUGAGUAGCUUGAAGAUCGGCCCGCAGGUUGCGGUCAUGUGAGAUAUGAAUCGGGAGAUGUAAUUCAAACGCCCGAGGAAACCUCUGACUUGCUUCUCGGUCUGUUGAGCUGGCAUUUCUCGGAUGGCCCGGACUUUAUCAGGAUCGACUUCAAUGCCCUUUUGGCUGACAAUGAAGCCUAAUAACUUCCCGGAUCUGACGCCGAAUGUACAUUUGUUGGGAUUCAAUCGAAGCUUGUAUUUUCUCAACCUUUCAAACAUCUUUGUCAAAUACUCAACAUGUUGCUCCUCAUCUGUUGACUUCACAAUCAUAUCAUCCACAUAUACUUCGACUUCUUUGUGAAUCAUGUCAUGAAACAGAGUAGUCAUUUCUCUUUGGUAGGUAGCACCAGCAUUUAUUAGGCCGAACGGCAUCACUUUGUAGCAGAAAGUACCCCAUGGAGUGAUAAAAGACGUCUUUUCUCUAUCUUUAGGAGACAUUUUGAUCUGAUUGUAACCGGAGAAACCAUCCAUGAAGGAGAACACCUUAGACUGAGCAGUAUUAUCAACAAGCACAUCAAUAUGAGGUAAUGGAAAGUUGUCUUUUGGACUGGCUUUGUUCAGGUCUCUGAAGUCAACACACAUCCGGACUUUACCAUCAUUCUUUGGCACAGGUACAAUAUUGGCAACCCAUUCAGGGUACUCAACUGUCAUGAGGAAACCCGCAUCAAUCUGUUUUUGAACCUCGCUCUUAAUCUUGAGAGCCAUAUCUGGAUGAGUCCUUCUCAAUUUCUGCCUGACGGGAGGACAUUCAGGCUUGGUGGGGAUCCGAUGCUCCACAAUCAUAGGAUCUAGACCUGGCAUAUCUUCAUACGACCAUGCAAAAAUAUCCGGAUAUUCCCGGAGGAGUUGGAUGAUAUUCUUUUUAACCCCUUCCUCUAGAAUAGCACCGAUCUUGAUUUCUCGCUUGUUCUCCUCGGUACCUAUGUUGAUGAGCUCAAUCUCUUCCUGGUGAGGCUGAAUGGCUUUCUUUUCUUGCUCAAGUAGCCGAGUGAUCUCAUAUGGUAUGUCAUCACCUUCCUCAUCUUCGGCUUCAUACACUGGGAACUCAAAAUUCGGAGGGAAUGCAGGAUUACUGUGCCCAACGGGUUUAUUAUAGUUCAAUCUGCGUAAAAUGAUUGGAUGAUUUUAGAAGGAGGUUUUUUAUGCAGAUUUUUGAAAUUAAUAAGAAAAUACAGAUGUUUUGGUUUUUUUGGCAUUACCAUUAUUUCCAAGGGAAAAAGCACUAAAAAAGCAGUCGUGGAAGAAACGACAAAAUUUUUAUUAAUCAACGGCAAUGCCGAAACAAACAUGCCCUUACAGAAAAUAUCACUCUCGCUUUGGGCAGAGCGAGAGGAUUGUUAUUUUGAAAAAACAAGAUACUUAAGCAACAAGGUAUAUUACUCAGAAACAUGCAUGAUUGAGGGAAUGUCAAUGGCAUCCCAAUCUCUCGCAAUGCCUCCUGGUAUAACAAAUACAGGCCUCGGGCCAAAUCCAGUUGCUUUUUCAGUAAUUGCGUUGACAAACCCAGCACUAUAAAAUGCCCCGGUGGAAACUCCUGAAGUUGGAGAAAAGCCAAGACCUUCUUUAUGCUUGUUCUCACGAAGCUGUAUUAACCUGCCCCAGCCGGCAGCUUGACCCUCUUGGACGGCUCUCUGUGCAUCCUGGACGGCUCUCUGUGCAUCCUUCAAAGAAGCCAUGGCAGUUCCAUCCCUCUUGGGCUCCGUACCUUCGACAGUUAAUCCUUGAAAAGCGGUCCCCUCUGCAGACCCUGCCUCUAUGCAAGAGAAAGAUGAUAGCUGGCUAACCAGGUAUGCUUCCUCUCCAUGAAUGGUAACAAGCUUUCCACUUUUUGCAAAUUUCAACUUUUGGUGCAAAGUAGAGGUCACCGCUCCUGCGUCAUGUAUCCAAGGUCUCCCCAAGAGACAGCUGUAAGAGGCGUUAAUAUCCAUGACUUGAAAGGUGAUUAGAAAGGUUUCGGGACCGAUAGUUAUUGGCAAGUCUAUCUCUCCGAGAACACUCUUGCGGGUUCCAUCAAAGGCUUUGACCAGAAAAGUGCUCCUCCUCAAGGGAGUUCCCCGGUAACUCAGCUGAUCCAACGUUGACUUGGGCAUCACGUUCAAAGAUGAGCCAGUGUCUACUAACACAUUUGAGAUCAUGUCGGACUUGCAAUUUACGGAGAUAUGCAAGGCCAGAUUAUGAUGCUUUCCUGCUUCGGGCAAUUAAUCUUCACUGAACCACAGAUUGCUGCAGGCGGUAAUGUUCCCCACUAUGCUACCAAAGUGAUCCACAGUUACUUCAUGAUCCACAUAAGCCUGCUCCAAUACUUUCAAAAGGGUAUCUCUGUGGGCAGCGGAACUCAGGAGUAGAGACAAAAUGGAUAUCUUCGACGGAGUUUGCAGCAGCUGAUCUACAAUCUUAUAAUCACUUCUUUUGAUCAACCUCAAAAUCUCGUCCAGAUUAGAAUCCUCUAUAGACCGGCCUGGUUGGCUCGCGUCUCUGUUAACGGGAGAAACAUCAGUCGGGGUUGGUUUGUCAAUGGGUGGCACGGUAGGCGUAGCUGCCUUCUUUUGAAACAACGGUGGACGGACUCUUCCGCUUCUUAGGGCUGCUGAAGUUACUUCGGCGGUAUUGUUCACCACAGCCAAGGACACCAGAGGCACUUCUACUCCGUUUUCAAUUAUGGUAGCAUUAUAUUUGUACGGGAUAGCCCUAUCUGAAGUAUACGGUACCGGUCCGGGCAACCUUAUCACCAAAGGCUCAGCAUUUUUCUUCAAAGGCAUACUCUUGACAGGCGGAUCGUGAAAAACUGGCACAAUCACGCAGACAUCACUAACAGUCAAAAAAUUAUCAUUCAUCAAGCUUUGGAUGUCAUCUUGAACAGUAUAACAACCCAAAGGAUUACGAAGGCAUCCUAGGCACUUGGCAUGAUCAUGGCUGAACAGAGAAGCUUUGCACAGCUUGAUGUGUAGAGGCACCAGAGGAGUUGCGACGUUACGGACAUCAAGUCUAGGAGCUUCCUCACAUACUUCGAUCAUAUUCACAGCGGCAUGAUUUGGAAGAGGAUUGUCGAGGACGUGUGGGACAUUAUUCUCAAAAGUCAGCUUUCCUUGAUCAAUGAGCUUUUUCACGAUAUACUUCAAAGCAUAGCACCCCUCGACAUCAUGACCCAGGGCGCCUUGAUGAAAAUCACAUUUGAGAUCGGACCUGAACCUUGGAGGCAACGGAUCAGGUGGGGGCUUGCCCUGUCUGGUUGUACAAUGCCCUCUAUGGAGUAAAGUUGGAAGCAACUCAGCAUACAACAUCGGUAUCGGAGGGAAAGUAGGUCUAGCUUGCUGAUUUUGUUGUUGUUGUUGAACCGGCAACUGUUGUUUCAUCUGUUGAGCAAUUGCAUUAACGGGUACUUGAGGUUGACCCGGUGGCAGAGGGUACUGAUGAUAAAAUGGCGGAAAGAAAGGAUGCUGAGAAUACGGCACAUAUGGGUAUGACGGAGGCAUUUGGGCUGCAUUGAUAGGAGCAACAGUAGCCAUGGAUUGACCGGCUCCAGCUGACACCAUCCCUACUUCCGUUUCUUUCUUCUUGUGGUGUCCAUUACCAUACCUCUUUGAUGCAUUCACAGAGGAUUCAGCUUUCUCGAACACAAUGAUUCCUUCCCUGACGGCUUCCUCCAGACGGGUUCCCAUGGUGACCAUCUCCGAAAAGUUAUUCGGGGCAGUAAUGAUCAUUCUCUCAACAUAAUCCUUCUUCAAGGUCUUUAAGAAUGUCUGGGUCAUUUCUUCUUCAUCAAGAGCGGGAGUAAUGCGAGCAGCUGCCCCCCUCCAUCUCUGUGCGUAUUCACGGAAGCUUUCCUCCUUCUUCUGGGAGAGAGAUCUGAGGAAUUCCCUGUUCGGCUUCAAUCGGGUGUUAAACCCAUAGUGGCUUUUGAAAGCAGCGGCUAAUUCAUCAAAGGUAUGGAUGUCAUUUUUGCUCAAACUAGUAUACCACUCUGCAGCAUCUUCCAUCAAACUAUCCUGAAAGCAGUGGAUCAUAAGGGAAUCAUUGUCUUUGUAAUUGCCCAUCUUUCGGACGUACUUGAUGAUGUGGUUCUGGGGACAAGUUAGCCCGUUGUAUCGGUCGAAGUCCGGGAUUUUGAACUUCUUAGGGACAUCCACCUUUGACACCAAGCAGAGAUCUUGAGUUUUGAAAGAGUCCGCAUUCCCUCGAUUGGCUUUGAUCUCAUGACGGAGUUCUUUAGCAAGUUCCUCCAUCAUCUCUUCCAUGGUUUCGGUCACGGGGAUGCUUCCGUGCUGUGUGUUGAUGUUAACACCUUGAGGCAGGGUAUGCACAAGAGGCUCGGUGACAGAUGCCGUUGUUUGUGGCAAAGUAGCAUUGAUGGAGCCAGCAUUUGUUGUAGGGAUCAGAACAUUGUUAGCAGUGCCCGAAGUGCCCGCUGCAGUACUGGGAGUGAAGAACGGUGGAAGCCCAUACGGAAACCCAGCUGGCAUAGCAAAGCGAGCGUCUGCAGAUGCGGUUGGGAGCAUGCUUGUAGUCACCGGUAUAGCUGUGGCUAUAGGGAUAGCCGUGGCUGAUUGUUCUUGAGCGGCUAGCAGAGCAGUCAUGACAUCAUUAGCUUUAGCCAAUUCUUCCCUUAGAGUGGCUAACUCGGUACGGAGCUGAGCAUUCUCUUCUUCCAUGGCUGCUGAAUUCUUCUUUCUGUAGAGUCUUGUCCGGUGUAUUCUGUCUGAUUCGUAAACUUUCCGAGCACGAGCCACCUUUCAAUCUCUGUGGCAGAAGAACCAGGAGGCAGUGAGCACUUGUAAACCUUUUGUGGCUUGAUGAAUGAUGCACAUGAUGCAUGAUAUGUACAAAUGCAAAUGCAAAAGUUGUUUUUGGACAUCGAAGGAUUUUUAGACAAAUUAGGAGUGGUGGGAUGAUCCUCAGACUCAGACUCCGAAUCCGAACCGCAAUAUCUAGCAUAGAAGUUGCGUCGUCCUCUAGCUCUCUUGGAGUCCCGCAUAAGUAGCUCAUCCUUUUCUUUAAGUUCCCUUCGGACCUUAACCAAUUCCUUCUUCAACAUCAGGUUCUCAUGAGUCUUCUGCUCAUCCUUACCAUCCAAAGUCAUGAUUAGAUUCUCAGCCUCAUUGUAUCGGGCUUUCCACAUUUGUUUCUCACGACUUUCCAUGGCCAGAUGCUCCUGAUACAUCUCCUGAGUAGUGGGAGGUAGAGGUAAAGGUAUAGAUGGAGCAGAUGCAGCCACAUGUCUCAUAGCAGGGUAUGGCAUACCAAUCUCUUCAGCUCGGUUUAUUACCCACUGAGUAUAGGCCUCAUGAGCAAUACCAGAUCUCACACCCAAAUGCUUCACACUCUUCCUACGGACCUUAGACCAAGCCCUUGUGAAAGCCUCCCUUUGUCCGGUGGGGGCGUUCGAAUAAUAGAAGAACUCCGGAGAUGUAGCAAGAUUGAUGGGCUUUGUCUUCAUAGGAAACCCAAACUGUCUCAUAGCAAGCUCCGGAUUGUAGUUGAUUCCCCCACGGGUACCAAGAAGAGGUACAUUGAGAAAGUCUCCACAACCAGUAAUAAUCUCCUUAACCUGAGCGGCGGGAGUGAUCCAGACCACCUCGUUAGGAGAGAGAGCCAUCAUCCGCUGUGAGUAGGACCAAUCCUCCGAGUUGUCAUGGAAGGAGCUCGGAAGGUGAGAAAUAAACCACCUAUAUAGGAGAGGCACGCAGCAAAGGAUAUACCCACGACCUUUGAGAGUCCGGUCAUGGAUAGCAUGGUACAUGUCAGCUAGCAAGGUAGGAACCGGAUUCCUAGAAUGGAAGAUCUCAAUAGCAUUCAUGUCCACAAAGUUGUCGAGAUUCGGGAAGAGAAUGAGCCCAUAGAUAAGCAAUGCAAGAAUAGCCUCGAGUGCGUCCUGACAAGUAUUUUCGAGAUUAGCUUGCUCAAGUAGAUACUUGGAAGUGAACCCUCGGAUGUGAGACUUAGUAGUAAGAUGCUUGGAGACAUCGGAAGUCUUGAGAUAGAGAUCCUUAGCAAUAACCAGAGGAGUAAGAGAAGCCCCGGGACCGGUGAAGGGCGUCUUCUCGGCUAUAGGUGAGCCUAACAAGUAUGAAUAAGCCUCAAGAGUAGGGACCAACUGAAAAUCCGGGAAAGUGAAGCAGCGGAAACUCGGGUCAUAGAAUUGCACUAGAGUGUGCACGAGCUUCUCUUCAACAUUAGUCCGGAGAAUAGUAAGCAAACCACCAUACCGGAGUCGGAAACCCGUUUGAUUCUUCACCUUGAGUGCCAACUCUCUCAAACUAACCAAAUCAACCUCCUUGAACUUGUAGGAUUUAGUCUUCUUCAUACCUGUAAUGUUUACAAAGUUUUUAAUUUGUCCAAUCCUUCGAUGAAUGCAUGAGAAAAAUUUAUGCAUGAAUGCAUGUAUGCAUGAUUGUUUUUUCAAUUACAGAGAAAACAUGGAGGGUUGAGAUUAAAGUCGAGGAGCCACGGGCGGACACGGUGCCUGGUAAACUAAGGCUUAGGAUAAUAGUAACCAAGGUUCUAAUCAAGUUCCCAAACUGCAACCUCUCUUUCGUAUAUCAUGGUAGCACGGGACAACGUCCGUUCCAUGUUUAUUCGCAAGAAGGUCUAGUUUGAGUGUAGUAUCGCGUGACGACUAAAACUCGAGACAACACUCGGUUUAGCCACCGCACUACGUCCUAAAAAGGCCAGGGAUGGGUUUGGUAACUACGGUUCAUAGCAUCGUCGAACAAUUGAAAGCAAAGUGCCUAAGCAUGCCAACACAUGCCGACAAUAUUACUUCCAAAAUGCCUCAGCUAUGUGAGAUUGAUCGCAUAACCCAAUACACGAGGCAACCCUCGGAUCGGAUUGUCGAUUAUAUCUCUACCUAUUCAUAAGUUCACUCAGCCCGGGUAUAGGACUUUUGAUAUUCUCACCCCACACGUCAAAUGAAAAAUAAACAAGUAUUCACAUAUGUAAGCAAUAAAACAAAGCGUGAAUAUAAACUAAGGAAAACUAGGCGUGACCCGCUAAAAAAAAAAAAUGUCCCCAGUGAAGUCGCCAUUUCUGUUAUCGCGAUUUUCGGGUGUCAAGUCAUUAAUUAGGCUUGAACCUUUCAAUCUUUGAUAUUCUCUAUUUUUUCUUGGGAAGGGAAAAAUUGAGAAAAAACCCUUAGAUUCUAAGUUCGGGGGUCGCUUUCGCUACGGGAAGGUGUUAGGCACCCGGAACGAUUAUGGUAUUCCAUAAGAACCGUUCUCCUAAGUCUAUUUCUACGCUUUAUGUUUUAUUGCCUACUUAAAAAAAGAAGUUUUAUUUGAGUGAAGAAUAGGGGAGAGAAGAUGAUUGAGAUUUUAUUUUUAUUUGGCUUGGAGGAGUUUUAACUCAUUGCCUACGUACCCUUUUAAGGGAUCAAAACCAAACGUAGUUCGUUCUCGAAAAUUGUUUUUGUUUUUGUUGGUUGAUUUUAAGUUUGAAAAGAAAAGAGGAAUUUUGAAGAAUGGAGGUGAGAGGCCUCAAGGGCAUGAGAUUUGGAAAAAGUGAGGUGGAAGUAGUUAUUUUGCAAAAUAAAGUCUAAGCAUGAUUAAAAUUUAUUAAAAAUUUUUUACUUAAGAAAACAAAAGGAGAAUGAGGAGUUUUGACUCCUAUUUUAGAAAAAAAAGUUUUCAAGUGAGGUUAUUCACAUUUUUUGAAAAAAUGAUUUUUUGGUCUAAGCGUUGUAAAACCUAGGCAUACAUCUAAACAUACAUUCCCUAAUCAUGCAUCUAGAACAUCCAUGUGGGGUGUGUGCAUGUGUCGGUGCUCGUGUCGGUGUACAUCACUUAUAGUGUCCAUAGUCAUUUACAUUGUCCUAGUUACAUUCUAUGGUCUUGCAAAAAAUUAAAAGAUGAAUUUAAACUAGCCUAAAAUAUUACAUAACCAUUAGAAAUACAAGAGAGAAAAAUUGCAAAAAAAAAUAAAACCUAAUCUAAUAGGAAAGAUGAUGUAGUAAAAUGCUAUGAGAUGAGUGAAGAAUAAGUCAACAAAUGUUAGCAAAACAAGAUAAGAACAAUGCCAUGACUGAUAAAACAAUCAAUUGAACAUGAAAUGAAAUGGUAAAGAAAUGAUGGAAAUAAUGAGAAUGAAAGUUGCUUAAAAUGCAAGAAACACCUAAACCAUACCCAAACAGCAACACAAUCAUAAAAUCAGUAUCAUAUAUACCAUAGAAUUACAUACUAAUUGUUCAUGAUUCAUAUCUAAACUUAUGAAGAGCAAACAUGGCAAGAAAAUCACAAUAUUAGCCUAAAAGAGACAAAUUAACCAAGAAAAAUAACACCUACAUUUUUUAUCAUUUUUAAACCAUUGAAAAACAUCACAAAAUGGUUAAAAUGUAUCAAGAAAUAUAUGACAAUUUUUUAGGAAUUUUUUAGAAAAAAAAUUAGGCACACAGAGGUUCAAUUAGCAGAAAAAUAGGGUGUAGGUAGCAAGCAAAAGCAAGAAACGUGCAGAAAAUUAAGCCCAAACCCAAAGCCCAAACACAAAAAAAACCAGAUUACACAGGAGGCGUUGGAUUGAUCCAGGGAGGGAAACCCUAGAUCCAACGGCCAGGAACAAAGGGGGUUGGACCGAUCUUGAACCGGUCCGGUUCACUGGCUUUAAAAGGGGGGAACUCCGGUUUUUUUUUUUAUUUCUUCCUCUCCUUCUCUCUCUUCUCUCACUCUAGUGAGAGAAGCUCUCACUUCUCUCUUCCCUCAUCCGCGCCGGUUUCUGGAAAUGGAGGAAGAUCUUCAUCUUCUCCGGUGAGGCUUGUUCCUCCGGCGCGGUGGCCGGCCACCCAAGGGUGGCGGCGCCGCCGCCGGAGUUGAGCAAACUUCUCCGCUUUCGAAAAUUCUUACAUUUUUAGAUAUCCUUUUUUGUCCUGAACACGAAUAUGGCACUAGAUUUUGCAUGCAAAGUGCGAAUCAACGUAGAUCUUGAGAUCUUUCCUUGCGGUUUUCGAAAUUUUUUUAGUUUUUUUUUAGUUCUUUUUGAAUGAAAGCUUUUGGAACUUCAUAGAUCUACAUUGGAUUCGUCUUUGUUGACGUUCUUGAACAAAAAGAUGAAGUUUGAGUUUUACCUGUGAUUUUUGGUUGGAGAUUUCGAAUGAGAUCUUCGGAAAACUUGAAUAUUGGUGCGGUUUUGAUUUUCUGGCUUGGAUCCGAAAAUAAAUCGGUUCUUCUCUUCUUCUUCUUUACCGGUCCGAAUCCGCUUCUUUCCCUCUUCUUCUCAAACUUUCGGAUCCUUCGUGAUCGUGCUUGGAUUCGUUGCUAAAGGCGACGGAUCCGCACUGGAAUUGUGAAGGAUUCGGUUCGAUGAUGAUGAUUCUUUGAUGAAUCACUGAGAACUGUGAUGAAUUUGAGUUAUGGAUAAUUUUUUAGGGUUUUUUGUUCUUGGUGAUUUUUUCUGUUUUGAUCUAACAGAAACGAGAGAGAAAAUCUGGAUCUGUUUGUGUUGAUGUGUCACUGACUUUUUGACUGUGCAUUGAAUGCGCCUUUUAUAGGGUGCCACUUGUAUUUGAGACCCAAUGGGACACUGCCACCUGGAAUUGGACCUUGCUGCAAAAAGAAAAAAUAAAAGGACUAAUCUGCAAUAAAAAAAAAAACUAAAAAAAAAAAUGCGAUUAAAAAAAGUAUUGGACAAAAAUGCAAUUUUGGGACCCUUUUGGGGGACCGAAAUGUAAAUAAAUAAAAAAUAAAAUGAAUUAAAAUUGGUAAUUGGUAAAAAGGUAAAGUGAAACGAAAAAUAAAAUCAACAAACGGACUAAAACGAACAAAUUACCGACAUGAGGUAUUUUAAAAUACCUCCCUGUCGGAAUUUUGACAGGAAAAGACCAAAAUGCCCCUAGGGACUAAACUGACCCAAACUGACUCAAAUGCAAUUUUGAAAUGAUUUUUUUUUUAACAAAGACUCAACGAUGAUUUGUACAGACAAAUUGAAAAGACUCAGAGGCAAACACAGGGACUAAAAUGGGUUCCACUGCAGGAAAUGACCAAAAUACCCUUUUGUAUGAUUUUUGAAAUAAAAUGCAAAAAAAGUAACGCGACGUUUCAGAGAGUUCUUAAAUGACUUGGAAUGUCAGAAAAGACAGAGGCAGUAAAAUUCGUUUAAAAAGAGAGUAAGGAUUCAGAGUAAAAUAACAGAGAAUUGACAAAUAUCAGUUGUUAAAAAAGAAAUUUGAACGAGUAUUUUUAGGUCCAAAAUCAGGGUAUAACAAUGGGCAAGGAGGGUUCGGAUUAUAUUAUUGAUUAUACGAAUUUCUCUUUCGACUUUUCCAUUUUGAGGGGAGGUAUGAGGACAAGAGAAUCGAAAAGACAUUCCAUUUUGUUCACAAAACCUAUGCAAAAGAGCAUUAUCGUAUUCCUUGCCAUUAUCACAUUGAAAACAUUUUAUUUCACGUUCAAAUUGUGUUUUAAUGUGAGCACGGAAUUGUAAAAAAAUGGAAUGUACUUGUGAUUAGUAUGAGAUUGGAAAAGUCCACAAAAAAUUAGUAAAAUCAUCAAGAAAUAACACAUAAUAACGAUGCCCUCCGGAGCUUAAUACCGGUGAAGUCCAAAGAUCGCUAUGAACAAUGUCAAAAGGCAUACAAGUAAAUGACAAUGAAUUAUAAAAAGGUAAUUUUAGUUGUUUCCCAAGUGGACAAUAGUGACAAAAGAAAUCAUUUCGAAACUUAUUACACAACAAAAGUUUGUUUCGAUGAAGAGAAUUUAAGAUAGGAGCUCCUGGAUGUCCUAAACGACUAUGCCAUAACUCAUUAGAUGAAGCAUCAAAGGUGGUAGCGUUGUUGUGUUUGGUCUUGUGGGAAUAGGGUAAAGGUCGCCAUAACUAUUGCAUCUCAUUAAAAGUGUUCCUGUUUGGAAAUCCUUCACAGAAAAACCAAGAUAAUCAAAUUCAACAUAAACGUCAUUAUCGAUUGUAAAUUUUCUGACAAAAACAAGGAUUUUGAUAAGUUUCGGUGCAUGCAAAACAUUGUUUAAGGUUAGAGAAUUGGGGAAAGAUGCAUUACCAAAACCAAUUAUAGGAAUAUAAUCACUACUUCUAACAGUAAUAUUAUAAGAUGUGAGAUUACCUCCAUUGUCCGUCAUAUGAGAAGUCGCCUCGCUCUCCAUAUACCAUUGUCAUCGGUAGGAGAGAUGGAGAUCGUAUGCAUAGCAGCUUGGAUGUCAGUUGGAGCAUAAUAAGAUGAGCCUUGUUGACUGUUCAUAUGAGGUGGAGCAGUAGCCAUGUGAGCUUGCUGAGGUUUAGGACCUAGUAUGCCUGUUUGUUGAUGGGGAGCACCGGUUGUCGGAUAUGGAUACUGAGGCUACUGAGAGGAAAAUUGAGGCCCCUGAUGUUGUUGAGGCUGGGAACGACCUCCACCACGACUAUUUUUUCUACCCCUUCCACGGCCACCACGACCAUUGUUUCGGCCUCCGACCAAUACCAAUGUUGUUGUUGUUGCAUUGGUUGCGUUGCUGAUGGAAUUUGCUGCUUUCUAUGCUUUGGCCGUUUCUUCCAGGAUAAUCAUAGAACGAGCUUUGUAAAAAGGUGGAAGAGAGUCUCUAUGACGAAUUUGUGAACCCAUCGUAGCGUACGCAUCUGUUAGGCCAGAGAUAAGUUGAAGAACAAGCCUUUCGUUAGAUACGGGAGCACCAACAUUAGAUAGUUGAUCAGACAGGGAUUUGAGAUGUUGACAAUAGGUGGAUGCAUCAGGAAAUUGUUCCAUAUGGACAUUAGAAAAUUCUUGCUCUAGGUAGAGUGCUCGAGAAUUUUUAUUGUCAUAGAAAAUGUUGAAUAAUCUGUUCCACGCAUUUUCUGCGGUUGAAUGCUCAAUGAUGGUGUGAAGAAGGUCAUCAGAAAUGGUGCCAUAAAUCCAUUGAAGGACAACAACAUCAAGACGUGCCCAUAUAUUUGGAUCGGUGUCUUUGAGAUUAGGAGAUGAUGUGGUUUCGGAUGGGAUGAUAUGAUCAAUGACUUGAUGAACACGGGCAUGGAUUUUGAAGAAUUCAGACCAAGUGUUAUAUUGACCCUUUUCAAUACUUAGGGUAAUUUUGAUAAAAUUGGUGAUGUUAGAGAUGAUGAAUGCGGGAUGAAUGGGAAGAUUGGUAUUCCGCGUGGUUACAAAGUUUUUGGGAGAGGAGGAGGGAGAUGAUUGUGCGGCAGACAUGAUGAGAGAAAGAAAGCUGAUGAGAGAAGCGUGGGUGAGAUGAGAGAAAGAAGAAGGUAGUGCAGCCGUUUAUGUGAGGAGAGCGGCGACACAAUUAGGGUUUAGGAUCAGUACCUAUGCUUACUAAUACCAUAUUGAAAUGAUAGGCCUUGUCUUUCUAUUUAUUUUCAAUGAUACAUAUACAAUGUCAGUUUCUCUGUAUAUUUGCAAUACAAUCAUGAAUAUUUAAUGAAACUUAUAUUCUAAUAAUAACAAUAAUAUUCUAAUAAUGACAUUGAUAUUCUAAUAAUGAUGAUACCACAUAUUUAAGGAGAAUGUAUUGUAAUGUAACACUUUGUUUAUUGCCCGAUUUGAACAGAGAUGAAAUUAUAACUAAAUAAAUUUGUUGUAUUCUAUUAUUUUGGAAUUAAUUUCACGUGCUUGCGUAUUUUUAGUAAUGAUUUAUUUUGGAUCAUGAAUGAAAUGAUCUUUAAAACGAAUGCUUUUAAAAAAUGAACAUAACAUAUUGUACGUUUAAGCGCUUAAAAAAUUAGCAUCUUUAUGAAGAAUUGAUGGUUUGUUAGCUUACCUAAAAUCAACACAAGUUAACUCACACUUUGCUCAGCGUGACUUAACUCACGUUGAUGGUACCGAACGUGAGUUAACUCAUGUUGGGGUUAUUUUAGGAAUUUUGAGGUGGGAAUGUGCAAAAAUGUUUGGGAGAAGAACGGUUUUCGGGUAAAUACCCAUGUUUUAUGGUUUGGGAUCAGCAUGCACAUUUUAAAAACUAUCACUAUAAUUUUAUAUAAUUCUAAAAUUAAUUAAUCUUAAGUCUUUGAUAUUUGUUCUAAUGUGCACUUAUUUUAUACUUUAGAUGCUUUUUAUAUAACUAAAUAAUAUAAUCUGUGAUAUUUUAUACAUUUAUUUGAAAGAUUUUUAUCAUAUUUUAAUUAACUUAUGAUGUUUUUUAUUAUUUAUUAUCUUUUUGUUGUUACACUACAAGUCAUUAGUCAAGGUACAUGUGCUUAGAUGCCCAAAAAGCAUAGAGAUAGACGCCCAAAAUGUGCAUUAUUGUACCCUUUUCAUAAGAUAGCCAUUGUCAUCCUCAAGUAACCACUCCGAGAGAAAAGUUUAAGAGAGAGAUAAGGAAAAGUAAGUUUAUUCAAGACAUUCUAAAAAACUUGAAAAUUAAAAAUUGUAAAAGAUAAAAUAAAACAGAAUUUGAGCCUUAUUUAUAUCUUUGUGAACCUUUAAGAGAAGUUCAUGAUCCUCCAUCUAAUUUGGAGUCUAUUUCAUCCUUCUUUAUCAGAUCGCAUGUGUUGUGAUCGAAGUUGUUUGCUUCCAAAUUUGACUUGUGCACAACAAUCUUUGAAGGAGUGAUAUUUUUAAGCAUGCGCAGCAAACUUGGACUUAGCACAGCAACCAUAAUUUGACAAAAUUUCAAUUGUGUGGUUGUUAACAUUCUCGCAAGCACAGCAUCAACACGUGGAAGCAGCAAUGUAAAACAAAAAGCAAACCCUAGCAGAGCCCCAUUCACCAAGAAUCAACUAUUUUUUAAAAGAAAAUAUUUCUCAUAUUAUAAGGUAUUUGCUAUUAGCAAAAGGUUAAAUUUUUAAAUCUUGGAGUUUGGUUAACAUGUAAAUAAAAUUAGUUUUAAAUUUUAAUUUCUAAAAAAUAAUUAAUAUAAAAAAAAUGACAUAAUUGGAUGAUAAGUACAUAUUCUACCAAUUUUCUGAGGUUUCACCUUAGCAAAAAUGUCUCUUUUGCAAGUUUUACUUUACAACUAUUAUAUUUGAUCACCUUGUAUUUCUACAUGUUUAGUCAAGAUCUAAUUUUAUCUCUAUUUUUGUCUUCCUAUCUUAUUGUCAAUUUAUUAUAUUUUUCACAUCACUCUCUCUUAUCUCCAUUCAAGGUAUAUACACUCAUGUGGAUGUACACUAAACAUUUUCCUUUACUUUAAGUCAUAAACUUAAUUUGCAGCUUAUGCCUUAACAAUUUAUCAUGAUAAAUGCUUAUGUAUAAUCUAUUUUAAAAGACUGCUAUUUUUGGUACAUUUUACUAAAUUAUUACCUCAGUUCUUUACUUUAUAUCAGGGCUAUAUAUGCUUUUUAUAGUCGCUUUAAAUACUUCUGCUUAUAUUUUUACUCCCACUAAAAUUUCCUUAAAAAUUUGGUCUCUCUAAAAUUUCUGAUACCAAUUUUUUAAUUCAUGUUUUUUACAAGAGUUUACGUCGCAUGUUGCAAUGGAUCGACUUUUUUAUAUCAAGUAGUCUAGUGGUUAGAGCUCACACAUUUUAAAUGUAGAGAAGUGGGGUGUUCAGGGUUCGAACCUCACUCACUGGAUAUAUUAUACGAUAUCUCUAGCAACUGAGCUAAACUCACGGGAAUCAAUUGAUCAACUUUAUUACAGCUUUUGAUUGUCAAAACCAUAAAAUUAUUUACUUAAUAAUUUAAGUAAUUAAUGUUUAAUUUUUGUAGAUGAAGGUUAAAUAGUUUGAUUAUUAAACUAACUGCAAUUUAAUGUCUUAUAAAUUUCAUGUCAUAAAAAAAUUUCACUAGAAACAUGUCAGAUGGUAUUUUUUUUUUAAAAAAUAAAAAUGCACUAAAAAUGUUAACAAAAAGUUUAAAGAAAGUUUUAGUGGCUCACCCUUGACCUACUUUCGAGGGUCAUAUUAGAAAAACUAAACGGUGGAUCUUGGUGGGGUUGGGCUGCUAGCAUGUCUAGUCCUCAAUAAAUUUUUAACAUAUAGUCUAAUAUGUGAGUAUGUGACAUUAUUUACGGUCAAUAGUAAAAGGCAUAGAAAGUAUUCGAAUCCACAUAUAAGAUUAUUUAUAGUCGAUAUUAAACUAAUCAAUCAAUAAAUUGACUAGUAAAAUAUCAGUUAAAUAGUAAAAGAUCAUAGAAAGCAUUUGAACCCACAAUCUUUUGCUUCUGUGGACAUAACCUGCAUGUAUGAGUUUAUUCGUUAGACUAUUUAAAGCAAACACAAAUUCAACCAACCAAUCAAUAUAACACAGUCAUAAAAUUUAUUACUAUAAUUUGGAUUACAAAGCAUUUCCUCUCAAGUGAUAUGUCUGACACAUAUAUAUAUAUAUAUAACAUGAUACUCGAGGUUGAAAUGCAAAAGAAACAUCAUUUCAUAGCUACAAAGUAGCAAAUUACAUUACUACAGAAAACAAACAGCUCCGUAACUAAGACCAAUUAUUCAAUAUAGAUAUAUAGUUCAUAAGCCUCUAUCAUUGCAAGCCUUAUAAAUGAGUUUUAAUUUUCUUUUGGAGUGUGCUUACAAUGCAUGAGUACAUUUAAAUGGAUGUGAUGAACUAAGGCUUGUAAACAGUUGGUUUGUACACAGGUGGGACUGGCGGUGGCCUGCCACGUCUUGGUGGUAAAACCGGGGUCGGAGGGACUGGCGGCGGCCUUCCCUUUCUUGGUGGUAAAACAGGAGUAGAAUGUAUAUAUUCAUGAAUACCAAACCCUUGAGGAAUGAGAAUCAGAGAUGCAAGGAACAACACUAGAAAUGAUAGGGAAAAAGAAGCCAUUCUUAGUUACUGAUUUUCAGUCUUGGUGUACAAAACAUAGGGAGUACUACUCAUGUUUUAUACUGGAUUGUUAGGGGGAUCAAUGAGUGAAGGGGGGGUGCAAUUAUUGAUUAGAUUACGUCAGGGCUGAUGUCAUAUGCCUAAGGAUUAACUUACACCCCACAAACCUAACCAAACUUUCUAAAAGGGACAUCCUUCGGGGUGAUUUUGGAUUUUCUGGUUUUUUAAGUUAAAUUUGAUGAAAAAAAGAAGUUAAAUUUGAUGAAAAUAAAACAUAUUUGGGUAUAAUGAGGUUGAAUUUAUUUUUAAUUUAAUUUGAAAAUAAUUUGCACUUAUUUUAAACCACAAAAUUAGAUUUCGUAGUUCUUGUUUUUGUCUUAACUUUAAGAGUGGGUCUUAUAGUGUAGGCUUUGAGGUUCGGAGUACCCUAGUCUCAAGCUUUAAUGUUUAUAUAUUUUUGGUGUCAAUUUCUACAUUGAGUCGGUUCAUAUAGCAUUUUACUCUAACUUUAGUUGAGUCCCAUGUUUUUUAUUUUUGGAUCGGAUACUGAGUUUAUAAAAAAAUUGCAUCUAUUAUAUUGUUGGUGCAAACUCCUAGCUUGCACUCAGAGAGAGUUCAGAGUGUUUUGUUAUGUGAUGAGAAUAUAGAGGAAGAGGAUAGUUUUGUUUAUGGUGAAUUGUAUGUAUUGCUUAGUGAUUAUGACACAAGAUACUAAGUUGCAUCAACUGAAUACAAACAAGUACUUAUAGGCUAAGUAAAGUUACUUGCACAACAAGUCAUUGACCAACUAACUAAGUAGUUAGUUACUAACAAACUAACUAAGCAACAAGCAUAGUUGAAUUUAUCCACAACAUAUAUCACAAAGUAUAUUAUUAUGCCUUGUUGCAUGCGUGCCAUAUCUUCUGUUGGAUGGCUCUUAUAUACCAUUAGAUGUCUUCUUGUAUGGUGAUUUCUUGUGUGUGGCAUUUAAACAGGAGGCUUAUAUAUUGGUGGCUUAUAAACUGGUGAUGUCACAAUCGGAGGAUUGUAGACUGGAGGCCUGUGGAUGUUUAUCUAUAAGUUGUUUGUAAGAAUCAGCAUGCACAUGAGGAACAAGCAUAAGAGAAGCAAGGAACAACAAAGUAAGUAUAAGAAAAAGGAAGUCAUUGUAAAUAGUGAUUUUAGUGUUGGUGAAUAAUGCAUGGAGAGGGAACAAUCAGGUUUUAUAAUAGUUAGUGGACUUAAUGUGAGUGUAAGGUCUCAAUCCAAGAAAUCGGUGUGAUUUUUAUAUCUCAAUCAAUAUUUACUCUACUAAAUUCAGUAACAAGAAAAUACGCCAAGGGGUAAAUUUUAGCAUCCGAUAAGAAAAAACCACAACUUCACCCUCAACAUCAUCAAAUGUCAUACAAUCCCCUAACACGAAAAACCCAAAAAGAUGAGUGCGCCAUUGGUUUAAUUCAAAGCAAAACGACCUUAGCUUAACUUUAACCAACUUCAAACCAAUAAUAAAAUAUUAGUAUUAUGUUGUUAAGGUUUUUUUUUUUUAAGGAUUCUUUCAAAUAACAAAAAAACUUUAUGAUAUUUAUGUUUUUAACAAUAAUAUAAACAGACACUGUUAUUUUUCUACACUCAUUCACUAAAUGAUUUUUUUAUAUCUCUCUCCAUCCAUCACAUUGCUAAACUACCAUAUCUAUGAUGUAACUCUAUAUACAUGCAAUUUUGGCCCCCUUAAAAAAAAAUGGAUAUUUUGAUCCCCUAACUUUUGGCCCUCUUUUGAUUAGCUGAUUUUGAUGGAGAUUAUGACAAUUUCUCAGUCUCUGAUGGUGUAAACUGACAUGGGGAUAGAAUGAUGUUGAUAAGUGGAGACCAAACUAGCAUGGUGUAACUUUUGGCCUCCCUAAAGAAGGAUCCACUUAUCAGUUUGGACUCCACUUAUCAUGUCAGUUUGGACACCAUGCAAGUUUGGACUCCACUUAUAAGCAUCAUUCUAUCUCCAUGUCAGUUUACACUAUCAGAGACUGAGAAAUUGGCAUAAAAUCAGCUAAUCAAAAAAGGGCCAAAAGUUAGGGGGUCAAAAUAUCCAUUUUAUGAGGUCAAAAUCGCAACUUUUUAAAACAUAGGGAGUGAAAAGUGCAUUUAAGUCUUAAAUAUAUAUACAUUCAAGGUGUACAAAAGCAUUGGGUCGGCACUAUGUUAUUGGCUCUCCUCAUGUAGUAUAUCUUUGAAAAUUGCUCUUCUCCCAAGUGUAGUUAACUACAAUUGUGGCCUAAAUAUUUGGGGGAAUAAAAUUUGACUCGUGAUGGACACACACUGGGAAAAAAAUUGUAAUUUUGCGGGUUUCAGUCGAAAAAUCAAAAUAAAUCGAGGCUUAUUUAGAAUCCUACAUAAAUUUUUAGAUCCUCUAUAUGUGUUUUUGUAGAGGUGUCUGCAAAAAACACCUCAAAAUUCUAUUUCUAGGUCGAUGUUUUGGUUUUUUUAGUUUUUGACGCGUUAAAAAUUCAUAUUGAAUCUGUCUCUGGUUGGAAAAUUCUAAUUUUUUUUGUGGGAGAUGUUUCUUUAUGUCCUAAACAUGCCAAUAAAAAAUCAUUAAAAAAUUCAACCUCUAGGUCACUUUUCCGAAUUUUAUGUCUACAAAACUUGACUGCAGCUUACUACAGUUGUACCUAUGGUAGUUAACUAGAGUUGUAUUUAGCGAACCGUGGUUAACUACAGUUGGGGUUAAAGUCGUAUUUUCCAUGUGUUUUUACGCAAUUUUUCUCGUUCGAAAAGCAAUUUUCACACGAUAUUAGUUGCAGUCUACUUCAACGGUGGAAAACUAUUUUUGUUUAGGAUUCGAAUUGAUGUCACAUUAGUAGAUCUAAAGGAUCAAAUCAACUAAUGACUCAACCACAGAGACACAAGGAGGAUGGAGGGUGUUGGGUAUCGACAUCCAUCGAUUGAUUUAGCCGAAAGAUUGCAGUUCAGCUUAAUGAUGCUCAAGAACAAUGACGACGUGAGGAGCAUGUUCGAUAUUUGGUCAGCACAACAUGUUCUCGACGAUCAAGUUGGAUGUUUUGUUGGUGAGAUCUUCUGAAGAUAUUCUCAUGACUUUGAUUCGGCCAGAUGAGAUUAGGUUGUAUUAUUAUAUUGUGUCAUUAUUUGGUUGGAUUUUAGUUUAAUUCUUGUUAGUUUGGUGAAGAAGUGUUAAAAGUGUUUUAUACUUAGUGUAAAGGUUUGUCAGUCUCUUUCAAAACUCGAAAAAACGAAGAGAACACAUUUUGUAUUCUACCUAAAGAGUUGUACAAAUUUUCACAUCAAAUUCAUUAAUUCAUAUAAGAAGAGGGUGACGAGCGGUCGUCGCCAAUAUGAAUACAAAGUAUUCGUUGUUGCCAAUAUGGAUAUACAUCCAACACCAACAUCAUGAAUGCAUGAACAUAUGACUGAAUCAAUGCAUAUUUUCAGCAACAAGUCGUCAACCAUCAACAUCAACAUUUUUCAAUAAAUGCAUACACCAUUAAAGUCGUCGCCAAUUGCAUGUAAGAAUUCGUCGCCAAUAACUUACCGUUAUCAAAAUCACCAACAUAAUCCUCAUCAAACAUCAACAUAAUCAUUAUCAUACUCAUCACCAACAUCAAUCAACUUAGAGAACAUAAAGUUCAUAAUCACAUCUUUCAUAAAAUACGGACACUUGACCACAUCAUGAGAUUCAUCAAUUUCAACACCCAAUCCUUAACAAUUCAUUCACAUUAAAUCAUACAAACAUGAAUUCAAAUUCUCCUACGAGUUAUCCGACCAUAACACAUUAGUUUUGCAAAGUUCUUCUAAGUUUAUGAAAACUAGCAUUUUUCGACAAAUUCUCCAAAAUCAAAGUAAACAAAUUCAAACGCCUCAACUGAGUAUAUACACAAUCCAAAUAUGAGUGAAGUAGCAUAUACAUAUAUGUGUCAUAAGACAGUUUCGAUUAAUUCCAAAAUUCACCUAAUUUCGUUUCAUUUUGCAAAACCAAUUCAUUUUCAAAACAAAACCAAGUUAGAUUCAUCAUGUCAUAGGUUAAAUACUCUUAAACAUCCUAAAACUCCUGGUACUCAAGUUUUUAGCUUUUGGGAUCAAAUCAUGACUUUUUGGUUCAAUUAAAAAUAGUUAUGACGAGAAUACUACCAGACCGUGCGUUUUGCAUCAAACAGCAAAACACACUCGCGCGUUUUCGCACGUAAAAACUCGCUCGUAAAUCCGUUUUUGUUGCCAUUUUCGCCUACGCGUCCGUAACUCUUAGCUCUAUCACAUUCUGUAGAGAAAUUCAAGUUUCACCCAUCCCCAAAACAGCUUUCUCUGAAUCACUUAAAGGCACUUCUUUUUCCCAAAUCACAUAAGCUAACUUUUCACACAAAACCCAAGUAUCUUCCCAACACCUUUCAAAAACGAAACUUAUAACCUUAAACAUAAGUUCAACUAACUCAUCUCAACACAACAACAUCAACAAUUCAUCUCAAUUCAUCAAGAAUCAUAAUUCACCAUUAAUGACCCAUUUCCUUCAAAACUCAUUAGAACAAUAACAACUUAAUCAUAACUUCAACAAUUACAACACCCAAUGUAUAAAUUAUCAUCAACAACACAACAUAACAUCAAUCAAGGUACAAUUUCAUUAUUUCAUCAACAAUCAACAAGAACUUAAUUUUUACCAAUUUAAACAAAAGUUAUCACAACAACUUAACAACAACAAAAUCAUGAGUUUUAAGCACGUAACCCAACAAUUUCAUGAAGUUUAUCAUAUCCACAAUUUCACAUGAAAUGGGAGCACGAAUUUCAUCAUUCAAAACCACAAAAAGUCACAAUUAUCAUAAAAGCACUUAAACUGAUAUGUAAAAUUUAGAGAUUAUAGCUUAAUUAGUGAAAAGAUACCAUCCCCUUAGCUCUAAUCUUCAAGAAUCCAAAUCCUAGCUUCAAUUUAGCUCCUAGCCUCCAAUCCCAAGCUUCCUCUUUCUAGCUCCUCUUUUCUCCUCUAGAUCCCCUUUCUCUCCCUACCUUUAUCUCAAAAUGUUUUGGAAAAGUGAGUGAAUGAAGGUAAUGCCAUAAUUUUCUCAUAAGACUAGUGUUUAUAUAGUCACUACACAAAUGGGAUUAGUCCCAAGUUGUCUUAAUGAGCUCAAUAUUCUUACCACCUAAUUCAGCAAAGCUACUACACAUUUAGACCGUCAAAAUAACGAAUAACUACCGUCUCUUAAAUAAUAACCACAACUCACUAGUAACAUAUAAAAUAAUCAUUCCCACUUAAAAUACUAAAAAUAACUCUCGUAAUAAAUAAUUAAAAUAAGGCUAAAAUAUGGUUUUAGUCCCUGCAAAUAUGUCUCGUUUUGGUUUUAUUCUGUGUAAAAAAAAGUUUGUUUUUGGUCCCUGCAAAAUUUUUUGUUUUUUAAAAUAGUCCUUGGAGGGACUAUUUUCAAAAACAAAAUUUUUGACAGGGACCUUUUUAAAAAACAAAAUAUUUUGCAAGGACCAAAAACUACAAAAUGGGUCCAGUCAUCAUGUGCCACGUAUGCAAAUCAUCACAAAAAUGAGGUCAGGGACUAUUUUAAAAAACAAAAAAUUUUGCAGGGACCAAAAACAAUUUUUUUUUAUAGGGACUAAAACCAAAACGAGACAUAUUUGCAGGACUAAAACCAUAUUUUAGCCUUAAAAUAAUUCUAGCGAAAAACGGGCCGAUACAUUUCCAUCCCUUAUUUGCCAAAUAAUGUGCUUUGAAAAUCAUCCCACACUUUACAAAGAGCUUUCCACAAAGGUGAGUCAUAAGGUUGAGAGGUUAUAGAUGUACGCAAAUCAUUAUUCAGUGGUAUUUAAACUUGUGAAAUAAAGAGACUAUUAUCAUUGACUCACCUGGUAACCCAACACCAGUCAAUUUCUCAACCAUCCAUUUAUCUUUAUCCCCACCUCCGUCUUCUAUUUACCCUAAACUUGAGGAGUUCAGAACAUUUAUAUAUGAUAAGGUGAAGAAUUUGUUGGAUGAGAGAUCUCAAAUUGAUACUAUCAAGAAAAUGAUAAAAAAAAGGAUGAAUUGAGAAUCAAGGUAGAUGAUUUUCUGCUGAAAAUGAAUUAGGAAACUAGAAGAGAGAAAGUGAAAGCUAACAAGGAUGAUUUUAGAGCAUGGUUCUCUGAACUCUGCUCAAGAAUAUAGAGUUAAUUGACCGGAGAAGGAAUUUACAGUGUCAUCUUCCAGCUCUUUCUGAAGACAUGCUAGAACCCUACAUCUUCUCUAUAUUAGUGUCUAACACUCCAUUCUUUCAUCUGAAGCUAGAUCUCUUUGAACUUCAUAUCGUUCUAUCUGAUCCUAUACUACAAGACUUUGUGUAUGUUGUUGAAUUUCAUAAGUUCCUAGAUGAUUUAUGAACUCAAUUGGAUUCUUAGCAUGCUAUUCGACUUCAAAUGCACAAUCGACUUCAAGGUAAAUCAGAAAAACAAGCUACAAUAAAGACUCGACUCAAUGUAGUUUAGCAGCUUUUGAUGAACUUAACUUCUAAACUACCUUAGGAAACACUUUUGUUAUUCUUUGCACUUUUAUCACUUGUAUUUUUUUCGCACUCUCUUUUAAUAAAUAAGUUGUUGUUUUUGUUGACGUCAAAAGAUGGAAAAGAAGUAUAUAUGCAUAUCUAUGUUAUUUUAUCUGCUAAAAUUGUUGAAUAUUAUGAUUAUGGAGAUUUCUUUGCUUUAAUUUAUAUUUGUUUUAAUUAACAUGGCUUAGACUUAUGAGGAGCAUACAAACAUCAUCCUUUGUUGAGUUACGUUAAAUAACAAGGACAAUUGUUCUUCCAAAUACAUAAGUUUGCCAUCAUCAAAAUGGGGGAGAUUGUUGAACCAAGACGGGUUUUAUAAAUAUCUCUAAGGUUUGAUGAUAUUAAUGUAUAGAAGAACAAUUGACUACUUUAAAGUUUGUUCAAUUGGGUAGGACUAUAGAAUUAAAAUUUGACUCUAAAGUUAACAUUCUGGCCUUGAAAGUCAAUGAUCUAAACAAAGAAGAAGAACUUUGAUGGUCAAGAGAAGCUCUAAAUGAGUAUUCAUCAUGUUGUGAAGAAGACGCUAUAAUAUCAAGAAUCAAAUCAGUGGUCAACACUUUGAUAAACAUCUAACUCAGUUUUGUCUUCUUUUAAAGUAACAACACUCCACAAGUUCAAUAGUACUUUUGUCCUUGGUGAGUUGAAAGAAGACAUGUUGCAGCAAUGAACAAAUCUUUGUGAGAGACAAAACGUAAGCAACAGAUAAUUCCCAAAUAAGUAAAUAAAUUCUAAAGUACUAUUCAACGGAAAAAUUCAUAAAUGACAAAGGAUUUGGAAUCGGAAGAAACUUCUCAAGGAAGCUUGAUAUGUUGGAAAACUCUUCAAACAACAGCUCUAUUCAAAUCUCCUAUUAAAGAACAUUGAGUGUAUGAAGAUAUUAUGAGAAAUACAUGCUAUUAAUUAUCCCAAAACUCGCCAAGCUUAGUAACGCAAGCUUGUGACCUAAGUAGGGGCAUUAAGAUGUUGGAAGGUCUUUGAUGUGUGGAAAAAAAAAAUUAAAAAAAAAACAAAAAAAAAAAAAACUAUCCCAAAACUCUAAUCAAUUAUUAGCACAAUAAUACUUUGAAAAAUUCUUAUUAACUUUUGAUCUUAGAAUUUCUUAUGUGUUUAGAAAUAUUCUUUAGAUACAAAAUCAUGUCCCGUGCUUAAAUUUAUUUACUACUUUUUGAGUCUGAAGUGUAAACAAAGAACGAAAUCCUGUAAAUUCUUAAUAUUGUUGUGUUGAAGGAAGUCCUUUAUGAGAGGCAAAAUAUCUUAGAUGUGGUGUCUAAGUGCUUUUUUAAUCAUCUGUUUAAUACUCUUGGGAAUUUCUACGGUACACUCACAAAAUGAGGUGUACCGGUACUCUUACUUUAUAAUUUUAUAAAUUAACGAUCAUUUUUAUGUAAUAAAUAGUUAUUUAUCAAUAUUUAUAUUUUAUAGAACAUCAAUUCAUAAGAAAAAAACAUCAUUUCAUUGUUUAUACGAAUCAUAGUAAUUGUUUAUUUUGUUGACACUUUUGAUGAAUAAAUUAAAUUUAGUUAUUACAAUUAUACAUGAUACAAAAUUAAUAUUUUUCUUCAAAAAUCAACUCAUUUAACUAUUAAUUUAAAGAGUAAUUGUAUCAGUGCACCCAAAUAUAUUGGGUGUACUAUAGAAUUUGCCGAUAUUCAUAUCCCCUAAUUUGUUUAAGAAAAUAUUUUUAGAAAAAGCAAAUACAAUUUACCCCUGUUUGAUUGAUGUGUUUUUCUCAUUUUCAUUGAUAACGAGAACCUCUUAUUUAAUAGGCAUUAACAAACAAUAUUUAUUCAUUCAAAUUGAUAGAGUACAUUGGUACAAUAUAAAUUCAAAUUCGUUAAAAACAAAAAGCAUGAAUAUGUGAACAAACUCACAACAUCCAUGUUAAUAGUAUAAAAUGGAAAAGUACUUAUGCCAAUAAAUAUGACUAUAUUCAUGUAUCCGGAAUACUCAUGUCUUCGGAUCUGGAACGUUGACGACGCCAAAUUAAAGUCAUUGUCAUUGAUCGGAUUCUGCACUUACUCAAAGCUAAUCUUUCAAAUAAACACUGCACUAAGAGAGGAAAUAAAAAACACACUGCACAAAGACGGGAAAUCAAAACAAACGAAAGAAAAUAGAAAAUAUGUGAAAUCACCUAUUCAAUUAGGAUAAAAAGAAAAACAAUUUGGAGGGGUAAUUUCACAAAGAUCAAGAAAAGGUGAAAGUGUAAUUAAUAUGUUCAUUUUAUGUGGGAAUAUUACUAAAUUGUCCUUGUUUGUAGUGUAUUCAAAUUUGACUUUUUUAUAUUCCAAGAUAAAUUAGUAGUAUUAAUUAGGGUUAUGUUAGGAAAAAAAUAAUAAUGUAUUUAGAAAAUUGAAAGAGAGGUUAUAUUUAAGGACAAAAAAUUUUUCUCAAUAGAUGCUUAUAACUAGGGACGUAGGGAGUAAUUGGUCUUUGUAUUGAUCUAGAAUAAACAUUGCUAACAGCCUAACCCUGUAGUGUACGGUCCACCGAAAACAUUGUAUUAUUUAAAUUAAUUAAGAAUGUACUUUUAAUUAAGGUCUUCUUUUUCCCUCAAAAAAAAAAAAUUAAGGUCUUCUUUUCUUGCCUAUCUUUUGGUUUUGCUUAAUAGCUUUUGCCGUAAGAGUAAAAACUCAAAAGUCGUUUUAGUUACCAGUGCUCGUGAAUCCUUCGGUGUAACAAAAAAAAAUACAUAAAAGAUUCAAGCAGUACAACAGCCUUAGACAUUUGCUAAGAAAACAUAUCUGUCAUAUUUUGUUUACAUACUAAAACGAAAUUUACUAUUUUAUCCUUUCUUAAACAUAUUUUAAAUAAAUAGAUUUUAAUUUCUUUUUUUAUCAAAAGCGAUGUAGAUAAUUAACUUAAUCUUUAAUGUUUAAAGUGGUGAACAGACACACAUACAUACUAGCGUUUAGACACGUACCCGUUUAUCCGCUCUUUAUAUUAAACACCCGAGUCAUUCUUUUAUAAAGCAGGGAGUAAGGAAAACUUAAACAACCUACCAAACACUAGGGAAGUUGUUUUAUCUUGCAGACAUUACUGAAAAAUUAGAGUUUCAAACAUGAAUACCACAAAUAAUGGUGACCGAUUGAAUGGUGCAGCUGAAGCAGGUGAUAUAGAUCUCCUUUAUACAGUAAUUCAAGAUGAUCCAUUCAUUUUGGAGAUGAUAGAUUUAAUACCAUUUGUUGAAACUCCUUUGCAUAUUGCUGCAUCUAUGGGUCAUCUCCAAUUUGCCUCCGAGAUUAUGAAGUUAAAACCUUCAUUUGCUUGGAAGCUAAAUCAACAAGGAUUCAGUCCUAUCCAUCUUGCUAUGCAAAACAACCAAAACAGUAUGGUUACUCGCUUUGUGAACUUCAAUAAGGACCUUGUUAGAGUUGAAGGAAGAAAUGGCAUAACUCCUCUUCAUUUUGCAAGUCAAAUUGGCGAGGUUGAACUUUUAGCUAAUUUUCUCUUUGCUUGUCCGGAAUCUAUUGAAUACUUGACUGUGAGGUUUGAGACUGCAUUGCAUAUUGCUGUCAUGAAUGAACAGUAUGAGGCCCUUCAAGUGCUUCUCGGCUGGCUCAAAACAAAUAAACAAAGAGGUGCUGAUUUGCUGAAAUAUAAAAUACUAAACCAGGAGGAUGAGAAUGGCAAUACUAUCUUUCACAUUUCAGCGCUAUAUAGUGAGCCACAGGUAAUAGUUUUUUUUAUUUGAAGAACAGGAAAGAAAACUUAUAAAUUAGACAAAUGGUUUGGAUCUAGUGCACUAAUGUUGUUGAUUUUAUAGUUGCUAAUAUGAAUUAUCUCUGACAACAGCUUUUUUUUCAUUAAUUUCUUGGUAGCGCAGGCGCUUCAAUUGUUGAUAAAGACUUUUUGUCAAAAAAAUAAAUUUUUGAAAAAGACUAGGAUAAAUUUGUGCGCCAAGAACUUGGAAAACAAAACAUCAUUAGACAUGGCAGUGACUAGAGAGAUCAAGAGUAUAUUAUCAAGUGUUGGAGCAAAACCUGGCUUGGAAGUCACCAAUGCACCCACACUUGCACAUAAAUUGAAAUCAAAUACUACGUUGAUGAGUAGUAUGUUCCUUUAUAUAGUCGGCCUUAGAAACGAUAUAUCAGAGGAGCAACGCAACACUUGGUUGAUAGUUGCGACUCUUGUUGCAACUGCCACCUUUCAAUCAGCAAUGUCUCCACCAGGUGGAGUUUAUCAGGUUAAUGCUAGUGACAGUAGUUUGAACAUCACGUCCACCAAUUCUACUAUUUCUACCGGGUGGAGUUUAUGGGGAAAUACUGGGAAAUCGGUCUUGCCAGGAGCUUAUUUCGAUAUAUUUGUAUAUCUGAAUAUGCUUUCUUUUUCCCUAUCAACUAUAACAAUAUAUAUUCUGAUCCCAACUGGUGGAAGAUUAGGCACGCUAGUAUUCUAUCCAGUGACUUCAUUUGUGGGUUGUUAUCUCUUUUAUUUCAUCGUGAUAGCACCUACAGUUGUUCACAUCUUUUCGGUUUUAUUUCUGGCAUGUUGGCUUGUAACAUUAUUAUAUGUCUCUCUAAUUGAUUUCGGUGCAGCGUUAAGAAACUGAAUAGAUCAUAACAUUGUUUCAAUAAUGGAAACGCGAAUCAAAGGUUAUUGUCACAAGAUAAAUGAUGGUACGAAUGCUAAUGAGAUCUGCAACUCAAAACCACUUCUGGCCAAAUAAACAAACAACAAUAUAUCAACGUUGGUUUGCAAUUUACCUUGUCAUUGUUAUCAUUGUUUCGGGGCAAGGUGCUUUAUGUUCAGUUCUUUUCUGCUGUUUCUUGAGGUUUGGGGUUUUCCUUCGGGUGUUUUAUUUUUGCUGGCUUGUAUGGCCAGUAUUAUGCCUUUCUGUGCUCCUGCCGUGUUACACAGGGAGAGUUUUGUAAGAAAUAGAAUAUAAAAUGGGUAUGUGACCAUAGCUUAACUUUAACCAACUCCAAACCAAUACUAAAAUAUUAGUAUAUCUUUUUGAUUAAUUAAACAUGUGUCAUAAAUUCGUUCGAACUCCUUACACGAAUUCUUAAGAAUAAUUUCCUGGAUUGCAUUGUUAUCAACAUUUAUUAGUGCUGCAACUUCACUACAUAUACAGGUAAAUUAUGCAUUCUAGCGUCCUAUGAACGAUUGUCAAACAAUCUAAUAUAAAAAUUGGUUAGGCCACCUUAUUCGACAUGAUCCCUAACCUAGCCAAACUUUUUGCCAACUCAUUAUGUUCAUUAAUCAUAUUUUGUAAGUUAUCAACCAAAUACACAUCAAGUUCUUGGCCAUCAACUUUUGACGUAGAAUGAGAUCUUUACCUUACAUGUUAAAAUAGAUUAAUUUGAAUAAUAACUUAAAUACCAAAGUAUCUUUAAAAAAGUUUGAACCUGAAAUGCUUCACCUCAUUCAAUCAUUAGACUCGCUUUAUGUAUCAUGCUUUAUGUAUCAUACAUAUACAAUUGUACAAAUUUUGACGUAGAAUGAGAAGAGGUCCAUUUCUGCAGCAGAUUUCUAUCUUUUGAUCGACCGGAUGCUUGCACAUGGAACUAAUUACCCACAUAUAUAUAUGCAUUGAUUUAUGUUAUCUCAUUUAACUUUUUCAUUAUGGAUACAUGAUAUCUAAUUUUUUUUUAAUAUGAUAACUGGUGAUUAAGUGCGUGAAAUGAGAAAAAAUGGUUCAAAUGAUUCAUUCAUUAAAUAAGGUAUGUGGUCAAUAAUAAAGAUCAUAUUCAUCGUUGAUUGAAUAAAUUUAAAAUGUAAAUUUUCGCUUAUAAUAAUGAGCAGAGGGUGUAUGGUUUGACUUACUGAUUUUGAAACCAUUUUUUUUCCUAGCCAUAAUUAUUAAAAUAUUGAAUAAAUUACUUUAAUAACAAAGCAAAAACUCAAACUUUUCUUUCUCUUUCAUUCGUCGAGAAGGGGUGGUUUUAGGUCAUUUUUUGACCUAUAAUCACUCCUCUGCAUCCAUUUUCCUCUUUUUUUUUCAAUCUAAAUAGGUUAUUUCCACAUAAGUGUUUUCUUUUGUGUUUUCUCAUGAUUUCAUCGUCUAAGUGCGGUGUUGUAUUGUUCGUCGUCUUGUUGACAUUGUUUGAUUUUGCGUCUUGUUGCGGUGUUCGUUUGGUUCAUAUUGAAAGAUCAGCUUGAGUCAAUCACAUAUUCAAUCCAUGAUUUGGACACCAACGUUACAAAUCCGGAGGCAUGGGUAUUCUGGUGAUUUAAUUUCAUCAUAUUUUUUGUAGGCAUUUUGCUGUUAUAUGCUAUUAACUUGGGUGAUGUGAGUUUGUUCGCAGAUUCAUUCUUUAUGUUUUUAGCAAUGUUGAUUCUAAUGUAUUUUAUCAAUUUGAAUGAAUGAAUAUCAUUUUAUUUUGUCAAAAAAAAAGAAAAAAGAAAAAACUAAUGAUGAAAAAGAAAUAAUAAAGGUAACGAACUAAUCUACAUACAUUACCUUGCAAAAUGAAUCACAAGUGACAAAAUUAUUUAGUGAACCGCAUUUUUAAUCAUUUUUCUUUCAACCGCUUGUCUUACCAUUUUACUAUCUAUUUAAUCUAUUUUCAAUUUUAAUAUCGCAUUUUUUAUAUUAAUUUAUAUUAAUAUUAAUAUAUCAUUUGAACAAAACAUGAUAUGAAAAUGGUGAAGAUAUUCCUCUCAAAAAAAAUGAAGAUAUUUAUCGUAGUAUAAAUAGAUAUUAAAAUUGAUAUAUUGAUAUAAAUUGAUAUUUUCAAUUUAAAAAUGAGUAUCCCUACCCAUAAACCAAAAUAAAUAAGUAUCCACCAUUAUUAGCAAAAUAAAGAUACGGUUAGUUUGUCCCAAAAAAAAAUGAUUACGGUUAGCUAAAGAAAUGAAUAAAAAUAAAGAAAUAGUACAAUGAAUUCAUAAUGUUGCCAAAUUAAUAUGAUGGCAAUGCGAUUUCAUAGUCAAGAUUGUACAAUAAGUUUACAUUAAGUUUUACUCCCUCCGUCCCAAAUUGUAUGAUGUUUUGGGCAUUUCACACAUAUUAAGAAAUACAAUUAAUAUUGUGUAGAAAAGAGAUAUUAUGAGUUAUUUUACAAAAUUGUCCUUAAUAAAUAAUAUGGAAAAGAUAAAUGAAAGAAUUGAAAGAAAAGAAAGUAAUAAAUAACUAAGGUUAUAAUAGGAAAAGUAACAUUAUGUUGCAUUGGUAUUGUAAAGCGACAUAUAAUUUAGAACAAAUAUUUUUCCCUAAAGCAACAUACAAUUUGGGACGGUGGGAGUAACUAAUAUAAUUGCCGCAAUAUAGUUAAGAACAUGUAAAAAAUACAGACUCUAGAUUUGCUAAACUAUGUUCCUGGUUAUCUACUCAUAGAACUUAUUGUCAAAGAGCUACAAUGAAAACCAUUAAAAAAAAUUCCGCAACCUCGUAAUCUUUCUUAAUCUCUAAUUUAAUAUCAACAUUCAAAUAGAAAAUUACAUAAAUUUGUUAUUUUGAUUUCAUUCCAUAUAUCAGAAUACAAAAACAAACAUGGAAAAAUCAUUAGAAUUUGUAACUUAGCAUUAAGAAUUAACCUAGAUCAAAAUGUAGGAGUAAAAACAUAUGACCAUCUUUGUAAAAAAAAAAGAAAAAACUUGUAAAAUUGUGAAUCCUAGCAAAACUUUUGAUGAUCGUCUUCACACAACAUAUUGUGCUCCUUUUGUGGUCGCCUCUCUAAAAAAAUUAGAGUGAUAGCUAUAGUGACAUGAACAACUCCUUAAGUCCAUCAGUCUUUAUUCCUCGAUCAUGAACAGGUUUACAAAAUGAAGUGGGUAUCUCUUCACCGGCUCCGGUCAGUUGCGCAGAAAGCAAGCAACGGUGGUACAAGCAACAAGUGGCUCCUUGUGCAGGAAUGGCGAUACAUGCAAAGUAAAAAGCUUCCGCUCUAGGGGAGCACGUUAAAGUGAUGGACUCACACUUGAAGGGGAGUGUUGGUUUGCAAGUGUGAGUUAUAAGUCUCACAUCGGAUAAAAUAGUAAAAGUUAAACACCUUAUAAGUAGGAGGACCCAUAAACUCAUUGCCUUAAGAUUUUGGGUAAGAGUGUGGUGUCUUUUUUGCUUAUGCGGAUGUUCUAGCCUGGAUCUUCUUCCCAUCCACCACACAAAUUAUAUCACUAAUAAAAAUGGCGACAAAGAAUUUGAUGAAGACAUUAAUAAAGAUGACAACAAAUUGUAAUCAACAUACUUUGUUUAGGAUUUACUUCUUGAAUGAUUGUACUCAAAAUACUUCGAAUUAACUCUUUAUAUUGUGAAUAUUUUGUUGUUUAAUUUUGAUUCUAAUUUUUGUAUUACAAUUUAUACUUCAAAAAAUAUGAUUUUUUUAUCAAACAAAUAAGUAAAAAAGAUUCUUUAUAUGCCAAUUUUCUACUUUUGUUUUAUAUCUCGGUUCCUGCGGCGGUUAUCAUUUUCAUGCCGAUUUUCCUGCAGUAUUCGUUGUGGAAGUAGCUGCGAUUUUGUUUGCAGAAAACGUGACAUGGGCAGAAAAGCUCACCCAACUCUGACCGAAAGUUUCAUGCGGAUUUUUGUCACAUUUCCUAACGAAAUUUCGGCAGUAAGUUUCCUGCGAAUCAUAAAAUACUCAUGAAACAAUUACCCACGAUUGUAUUAACUAAAAACCUUAAUCCUUGGCAAAAUCCGUAGGAAAAAGAUUUCCCUUUAGAAUUUUCAGCAAAAUCAGCAGGAAAUUCCGCAAGAAAAUCAAGAGUUUUUAGUAGUGAUUAAAAUAAUAUAAGUGAUUUUUUAGUUAAAAAAAAUAUCAUUUUCUUAAAAACAUCCCAAAGAAACAGGUGAUUAGUUUUCAAGUCGACUAUUCUUUAACUUAACUACAUUGAAGAAGCAAGUUGAAUGUAUAAAAAAAAAAAGAUUAAUAAAUUUCCUACGACAUUUUUUAAGGACCUUAACUAAUAAGCUUUUAUAAAAAUAAAAAAAAGUAUGUAAUAUGCAUUGAAAAUUGAAGUAUUUAAAUUUUUUAGUUAAUAAUUUCUUAAUUUAGAAUCCUUAAAGAGUGUCUCAGGAACAUAGUCUUUAUAUCACUUCCAAAAACAUAGCCUUUUUACUUUUUGUUUUUUGACAAAAAUCUAAAUAUUUAGUUAUAAAGUAAUUACCAAUAAAAAAACACUUGCAUUGCAUCUGAUUCCCCAAUUGCAACAUAACUCAUCCUCCCAACAAACUAUUUUUGUGUCUCCUGACAAAAACAAAUUAUUUUUCCUAGCAAAAUUAUAAUCGGAAAAAACUUCUACGUACAAAAUUGUGUUUCCUAGCAAUUAGGACCAAAAUUGUGUUAUUUUCAUUACUAGUGUGAAGUUAAAUUUGAUGUUGUGGCAUUGCUAAUUAGGACCAAAACUUUCUUUUAACGAUACUUAGGACCAAUUUGUAUUAGUUUCAUUAUCAAAUUAAAACUCAUAUCAAUAUUCCUGGUACAACUGAGUUAUGCUCAUCAUUAAAUGUAAUUUCAGAUCUAAUGAAUAUGAAAUGUCACAAAUUGAGUUGUGAGGAAAAAUAUGCCACAAAUGAAUAUUACCAUUUUUCAGUUAAAAUAGUGAAGCCAAUUAAAAUUGAAUUUAAGAUUAAAUUCACUUUUGGAUUAUUUACUAAUUACCUAUCAUAUUUGUUUAUGUUCUCGUGAGCAUAGCUUAACUGGUUUAAACAAUGCAUAAUAUAUGAAAGGUCCGGGGUUCGAACCUCGACCACCACAAAAAAAAAAAAAAAAAAUCAUAUUUGUUUAUUCAUGUGUGCAAACAACCAUAUAUUUUGGUUUCGGCUUAAUAAACAGUCGAUCCUUAACUUAAUUCUUUGUUUUAAAAUGGUUUCAUAACUAUAAAAAUUAGUAAAUUGGUCCCUUAUCUAAAUUGUCCUUAAUUAUAUCUAAAUGUUAUUCAUAUCCACGAGUUCAAAAUUUUGUCCAUGUGAACGUCAGGAUUGAGUUUGGUAUUUGUCAUUACUCAUGUCAGCGAUUUUCACUAGUUUUGAUUAAGUAAACUAAAAUAACCAACACGAUAAAGAGUGAAGGAUAAAAAUGGUUGUUUUUCCAAUAAUAUUUGAUGCUAAGGAACCUUUAAACCAAUUAGAAUAUCUUUAGAGUCCCUUUUAAAGUGAUAAGUAUAUUUGCAAAUCUGGAGCACAUAUAUCACGAUUUUCUAUCGUUAUUUGCAUGGAUAUAACACAUAUAUUUUGCUCUUAACAUAGCCAUACAUUGUGAAUGUAAUUGAUAAUGUAAAUGAUGUUUUUGGAGGUAAACAAGAAAGAUGCUAAACCUCAAAGCAAAAACAACCGUGUUUCGAUUUGUGAACUUGACAAAUAUUAUACGCAAAGAUAUAUUGUUUUUUUCUUAACAGCAAAUUUUAUUUAUAAGCUAACCCAACACAAGAAGUGAAGAGGCUAUAGGAAACAUACGAGAUGAAAGAUACAUAAAGACAAUUAAACCAAGGCUAAAAAGCCACAACAUAAAACCACCAAAACAACCCUUAAUACAAUAGAAAACAAUUACUUAGUAGAUAUUGAUAUGUCUUGUUGCAUUGAUGUUUCAGAAAUGUGUGGGUGGAGGGCAAUUUUUGUAUCGGUACUUCCCGAGUCGCUCCGAGCAGGGAUCGAAUGGGGUGGUCGGUUUUGGGGGCUUUAUUUUUCCGAUAAUUCUUCCAAUUCCGGGGGUCAAGGUAAAAGCAUCAGCAGAAUGAUGAUGAGCAAGCAUAAGAGCAGCAAGGAAUACCACUAGCAAGGAUAAGAAAAAGGAAUUAGCCACUUUAAGAAGUGAUAUUAUUAUUAGUGUUGGUGCAUAAUACAUAGAGAGUUAACUGGUUUUAUACUAGUUAGAGACUCAAUGUGAGUUUAUGGUCAAUCUAAGUCAUUUACUAAAUUCAAGAAUGUUACACUCAUAGGUACCAUGUAUUUGCUACUUGUUGAUGAUCAGUACCUAUCCUUUCAUUUUCCACACAACAAGACCAUUUAGUAUUAUUGGCUCUAUCUCUCCACUUGUUUGCACACCAAUACGAGGUUUUUUUUUAAAGGAGAAUCAACCAUUUGGAUAAUACAAUAUCCUUAUUUUAUUUAUUUGAAUUUGAAUGGCAACCACCAAGGCCACAUAUAGAAAGAAUAAUUUCCUUAAAAAAAAAGAAUAAUUUCCGACCAAUCGUACAUGAUGUCAUCGACACAACAAAAGAUAGGUUUCAUAAUAUGGCGCCAUAAUAUCCUUAUCCUUGUAAAUAUGAUUAAAAAAAACCUUGUUAAUUAAGUUGUAGGAUUUUUUUAAGUUGGAAAAUAUUAACGAGUAUCUUCAGAACAUUCUUUAAACAUUCAAAGGGGUAAGAUUUUAUGAAAGUUGAGGAUUUAUUUCAUUAGAAAUUGAAGUCUUUACAUUUCUUUUAAAGAAUAGAUUUUUCAUUAUGAUGUUUAAAGAGUGUUCCGGAGACACUUGUUAACAAAACUCUUUAAAGUUUUAGGAUGUAAGAAUUUCCCUAAAACACAUGUUAAAGAUAUGGAUGUCAAUGGGUACGGGUAGCAUGAUAUCCGUCUCUAUACCGUUGGAUAUGGUACUUGUACCUAUACUCAUACUCUUGUAGGUAUCUCUAUACGAGUAAUCCAUGGGUAUUUAAUUAAUUAUUUUUAUCCAAUGGGACCAAAACUACAAAAGGGGUUAAACAUAAGGCGGCUCUAUUGUUAUUGUUUUUAUUAGGGGAUAAAAAUCGCAACAUUUGGAACUUAGAGUGCCAAAACUGUAAUUAAACCUAAACUUUAUAGACAUAAUAUAUUUGAUAAUAACUUUUAAUCGGUCAACCCAAAAAAAAACUUCUAAUUAGUCGGUAUAAUUUUAUCUCUAUACUGAAUAUACUUUAUUCAUUAUUCUCGCCAUAUACUAUUUAAUUAUUAAUCUAUGACAAUAACCACGUACAAAGACUUUAUCUAACAAAGGAAAUCAAUCUUAGAAGAUUCAAUCAUGUGGACAAUACAACAUCCUUAUUGUAUUUGUUACAAAAUGCUUAUGACCGUAUUAUACACAAGAUAUAUAAAACAAAGCAUUAGUAACUUGGACCACUUAUUGGAUAUUUCUUUCUCCACAAUCCAUAUUAUUAUUAAUUACUUUGAUUUUUAUCAAACCAAUCUGAUAACACCACCCUCCCUUUUGCUUAAAAUAUAGUGGUAUUUCAGAUGAGGUGACACGUACACACGGACACCAUGGUUUAAUUUCUUUUGUUUCUUUGUCUACGUUUUCCUUUUUUUUAAUAAUAUUGUUUGCUCUGUGCCUAUAAUUUCAGGUAUGGAUCCUCCCUUACUUAAUUUGAGAAAAAAAUGUUAUUUUUGUGUGACUAAUUUUGAGAAAAAUAACGAAGGCAAAGGGGUGGUCCAGAUUCUCCAAUUUGUUUUGUAUCUGUACAUAUGAAUGUAAUUUAUUUUGUUGAAAUUUGGAAAAUUUCGAAUUUCUUAAAUUUAGAUAGUGUAUAUAGAACCCUAUAAUUUUAAAUUUAAGUCUUAAUCAACAUAUAUCCAAAUAAAAUGUCCAACUCAAUUGUAAUUAAUGUAUAUAUAUUUUUUUAAUAUUCUAUGUUGAAAUAUUUUGAGAAUUAACAUAACAUUAGAAAUAUUGAACCGAAAGACUUAAAAAUUGUAAGCGGAAUAGAACACAUUCACAUUUAUUGUAUAUGUACAAAGUCAAUUUAAUUAUUUUCUCUCUAUCUUCAAAAAAAAAUAGACAAUUAGGUUAUGAAAUAACAAAAAAAGACAACCAUGCCCCUUACAAUAAUAUAUACUUUAUUUGAUAAAAAUAACGGAUAACUAGCAAAUCAUGUUGUAAAAUUUAUUAUUUAGAUUAAAGAAAUGCAUUUUUAAUUUUCAUUUACAAUUUUAAGGGUAAAUAUUGCUUUACCCGGUAUAAUAUAGGUCAUUUUUGGGUUUUCCCUUUGCUAUGUUUUUUUUUUUUUUGUUUUCGUCCUUGUAAUUUUUGUUUUUUAGAAUAUCCCUCUAAUAGGCCAUUUUCAUAAAUUUUUUGUCAUUGUGCUUUAACCCAUUUCUUUCGAUGAAACGGUUGUAACAUCUCACAAACAAGCUUAUCUUUUCUUCAUUGAUAGAACCUUCAUCGGAUUCAUCUUCAUUUUGAAUAGAAGAGGUGGGCAUGGACGAAGUGGUGUUUAACGUAAUUGACUUCCUUUCCUUCUUCUUUGAAUCAUCCUCACUAGAUUUCAACUGGAUAAUUUCAUGCUCAUGUUCCUUUAGUUUACCAAAGAGUGUGAUCAUACUAAGAACAUUGAGAUUUUGUGAUUCCUUGAUAGCGGUAACCUUGGGCUGCCAUUCCCUUGUCAUACAUCUCAAAAUUUUAUUACUGCAAUCUUGGUUUGAAAUGUCAUUACCAAGGUUUUGCAAUUUCUGUACAAUAUGAGUAAAUCUCAUUUGCAUGGAAGAGAUGGAUUCACCAUCCUCCAUGCGAAAAAUUUCAUAUUGUUGUACAAGGGUAUUAAGUUUUGAUUAUUUAGCUUCAUUGGUUCCUUCAUGAAGGGUUUCCAACGCAUCCCACAUAGCCUUAGCGGUCUUUUGGAUUGGAGCUUCAUGAAGGGGACGUAUAAUAGAACACCUAUUAUACAACUCCUUAUGGAUCAACUCUUCUGGUAGUUAGCCAUUAAAGAAGAGACCAACCUCGAUGAUACCACUUGCUGAUCGAUAUGGCCAAUAAGGUUGCACGCUAGAGGGGGGUGAAUAGCGGUUAGAUAAAGUUUUUCGGAGUUUUAACAAAAAAGAUUUGAAUUGAUUUGACUAUUGGAAGCAAGCUUGAACAAUCACAACAAUUUGCAAAAAGAUAAAGCUAUGUGCUAAUAAGAUUCAAUAUAGAAUUGAGAGAUUCACAAAACAAAUCUUAUUACAAUUAAAAGUUAAUGGUUCUUGAACAAUUGGCAAAACUAGACAAUUUCAAAUACAUACCUAUAAGAAAAUAUAACAAGCUAUCAAUUGAUGAGUCUUUUAUUAUCUAUUUUAAUAUGUUAUUUAGUUUCGUUUUAAUUAGAUUUAAGUUUAUUUUAUAUUUAUAUUAUUUCCUUUUUGAACUAUUUUACUUUAAUUCCAUAUUGUUAUAUUUUAGGAACGAAUAUUUGAUGGAUUGAGUCUUGGAGCAAAAGAAAGGGAUUUGGAGUUGAUUCGGUACGAAAAUACGAAGAUUUGGAGACAAAAUAUAUCUCCCCAAAGUCAGAAGCUUGGCACAGCCCGUGCUAGGCUUGGCACGGCCGUGCCACACUCCAUAACUACUUUUGCUGCUUUUGCUUAGAUUUUAAGCUACUCUGUUUUAGUUUACUUGUGGAACAUUCUAGUGAUUGCUUAGAUUUUAAGUCGAAUGUAAACUUUAAAUAGAGUAGCCAUCCAUCACAAAUAUUCAUCUUUUCUUGGAAUGCAAUAUGUGACAAUUGUCUUUCUAAUAAAAGUUCAUUUUACUUUCUUGUUAUUUACUUUUAUGCUUUCUCUCUUCUUCUCCUUGUCUACGAUGAACAUUAGUGAGUAGACUUCUCUUGUCUUGGGAUUGUUGGAUAAGUCUAAUGACAUAAUCCUAAUCAAACCAAGCUUUAAACCUUAAUCUUAUGUAACCCUAAUUCCUUAUCUAAAUUCACCGCUUUAACAUGGAUCAACCAUUAUCAAACUGUGGAAACGAAAGUGGAGGGUUUGAUAAUUGUUUAUCCAUCAUCUCAAAUAUCAAUUCAUAAAACGAAAGUGGAGCUUUGAUAUUCGAACAAGUGAAUUUAGACAAAGAUUGUAAAGGCAGCGAAAUAGUCUUUACAAUCUUUGAGAGAUAUAGUUUCGAUCUUCAAGGGAACUAAUAAUGAUCAAGUCAGCGAAAUAGGCUUGGUUGUUAGAGGAACCAAAAUCUAAUAGUAAUCAAGUCAGCGAAAUAGGCUUGGUUGCUAGAGGAACAAAAGAGAAACUGUCUUGAGAAAUUAGGUCUAACAUAAGGUUAUAAGUUUAAUAGUUUGGUUUGUGAAGGACUUGUCAUUAGGAUGAACCAAUAAUUCCAAGGCUUUUAUCUUUUCUUUUAUUUUCUUUUAAUUAAAAACCCAAACUUUUCUAUCUUAUAAACCUUUAGUCUAAUCAUUAUCUAAAGUUAAUUGAAUUCAUAACUCCCUGUCGGAACGAUACUCUUUUCAUACUACUUCGGUAAGACCGUGCACUUGCAGUUUUAUCUCAUCAUCAAUCAAAAACACAAUGCAUAUGCAGUUGAAGAAUUGAAUAGUAAUUGAAACCAAUUGAUCCAAGCUAAGUACUAAAACCUAAUUCAAAGAAUUAUAUUAAUUUUUAUCAAAAACAACUUAGAUCAAUACAAGUUUGUCCCCUAACAAUUUAUCAAUUAACAUAUGCAACAAUUAAAAGUAAGGUGGGUAAGGAAGAGAGAUAACACCCAUAUUUUUAUAGUAGUUCGUUUUUCGUACUCGCUAGAGCUACGUCUACUCUUCUUUGUUAAAACUCCUCCCACAAGGUCAUCCACUAAUAGUAAAAAUGUUGAAUACAAAUGUGAUUACAAGAGUUCGUUGAAACUAAAAUAGUUCUUCAACGCCUAUGUAAACACUCUUCCAAACUUCAAAUAACCUUUGAAUUUGGUGUUCCUUGAAUCUUCGAAUCCUUAUUUACCUGUGCACCCCUUCGAACUCUUCACUCAAGUCUUCAAUACUACGUCCGGUAAACAAAUCCCCUUCGAUGGCAAGAACAAUUAGAAAGAACCCCUAAACCCUUUGGAGGUGGAAUAAGAUUAUUCAUUUCACUUUGGAACCUUGAUUAAGACCAACCAAUUUCCUUGAGAGAACCAUCUUACAAUCCAUAUAAGCACCCUAGGAAAUCAAUGUGACUCAAUGUACAAAGUGAUUAUAAGAAAAAGUGUUUAAUCUUGAAGAAUUUAUGAACAUUGAGUUUUUGAGUCCUAAAGAGAAUAGAUGUAAAUGACUCAAUAAUUUGGGAGUUAUGAGAAAGUGAGUAUAUAUAGUAAAUGAGUGUAUGUGCAAAUUUUCGUCCAAAAAUAACAAUUUGAAUCGAUUCACUAAGAGCAUGAAUCGAUUCAGAUAUUAGAAAUACAAGCUAGAAGAAUAAUGAAGAUUGAUGUGAUUCAGGCAAAAGCUGAAUCGAUUCAAAUACCCCAUGAUGAAGAUUUAUACGAUUCAGAUUAAAAUGAAUCGAUUCAAUGCAACUCAUAGAGUUUUAUGAUACGAUUCAGAUUUGAAUGACUCGAUUCAGGAGUGAACCGAUUCAGGAUAUAUUGAGUCGAUUCCCGCAAAGUCAGAGAGUUUGCGUGAUACGAUUUAGAUAGCUGUGAAUCGAUUCAUCUGUGCAGAAACAGAAUUUUGAAAGCAAAUGAAGGAAAUUUUGACACACGGGUAAAAAGAACAUUAUGCCACAGAUCACUAAGGUGCUUUAACAAGUUAUAAGUCUAGUUUACAAAGACAGAAACAAUAUGCUAGGAAAGACAAACUUGCAAUUAAAACAUCAUCAAAAUGACGGUUGGAAAAACAAGCUUCAAAUUUCACCAGCCUCAUUUAAUAUGGUCAACAUUAGUUGACUUUUUAUCUUUGCAGGAAUCGAAGUCUUUUUCUUGAACUUGAGGAGUUUUGACGAGAUGUUGGACUUAGCAUGAAAGGGGUCUAAACGCCCUUAGGUUCGACUAGACACGAGUCAGCGAUGCAAAGCUAUCGAAGUCAAGCAACUUCCGUUGAGGCGGGAAGAUUUGAAUUUCAAAGAGAAGCGGUUUCCUCAAAGGAGAACGUGGGAUAAAAACAGUUGUCUCAAUGGAAGAAGUGAUGAUUGUGGGAUUAUGCUUUUGCCGGUUAUUUUCCUAUGUAUAAAUAGUAGUUUUCCAUAGGGAAAAUGGAUCGCAAAUCACCUAUACAGAAUUCUAAAACACUCGAAGCAUUGGUGUGAGAGAAAAGAGUCACAAAGAAUAUAUUUAAAGGAUCUGCUGGACCACCUUUAUAUUUAAUGCAUUGUAUUUUAAUUUUCCUUUGAGUUUAUGCAAUUUAAACUUAAUGUCUUUACCUUGCUUUAAAAACCCUUUUUUCUUUCGAAAGACGUCACACUGUCUCGUCUUGUUCGUAAAGAAACCUAUGAACUCGACGGACACUUCAAAAACAAAUGCACAACAUGUCCUGGGAUUUUUGGUUUGAUCCUACUUGUAAUAACCAAAACAACCCUCGUUGUUUACCAAAAACACCGUAAACAAUAUCAAUCGAUAAAAUUAAUAAUCGACGUUCUCAUAAAAAAACAAUUGAUAGUAAUUUAUUUAUUUUUGGUACAAUAAACCAAACCCCGUAAUUUCAAAUUAUUUAGCACAUAAUUAAUAUAAUUUAAAGUUAUAUACAAGAUAUUAAUUAUUUUGACGAUAGUAAAUUAUCAAAUGAUUUUAUAUCAAUAAUAUUUUUUAGAGUUAAUAAGGUUUUUUUUUUGGUAGAUAGACAAAUUGGCAAAGCCAUUAUAAACUCACACACACAAGUGAAGGUACCGGGGUUCGAACCCCGGUCAUGGCAUCCGGCCUAACAAUUUCGGCAUUUUGCCAGUUGAGCUAGGACUUCUGGAUGAGUUAAUAAGGUUUUACCCCUUGUAAUAUAAGUCAUUUUCGAUUUUACACUCUGUAAAUGUUUUUUUUUAUUUACCCUGCUAAUAGGCCAUUCAAAAAUGAAAAUUUCUGAAAAAUAAAAAUAAAAAUUGGUUUUAGAAUGACCAAUUAGGGGGUAAAUGAAAAAUAUUACAGCGGGAUAAAUAAAAAAAAUUACCGGAUGUAAAACUGGAAAUAACCUAUAUUAGAGGGGGUAAAACCCUAUUAACCGUAACUUUUACAAAAAAUUAAUAAUAAAUUUUAUAGACAUAAUAUAUUUGAUAAUUACUAAUAGUUAGCAACCCCUAGAGAAAAAAAAUACUUGUAAUUAGCCAGAAGAGUUUUAUCGCUAUAGUAUAUAAACACGGAAAGCCACCAUUGAAUAAGGAUCAGGAGAGAGGGCACAAUACAUGGACAAGAGGCGAUUUAAUUCCUUUAGAAAAAAUCUUUGUAUGUGGUUAUUGUUAUAAAGGGAUGGAUUCAUCUCCGGUCCAUGUAUAUUGCUCUCUCUCUCAUGUUCCUUAUCCAAUGGUGGCUAUGAGAUCAUAAAGAAAACAUUUUAUAAUAUUACUCUAGGUGAGAGAGAGAGAGAGUCAACAAGAGAGGAUCCAGAUCCUUUUCUAAAGGAGAAUCAACCAUCUAUCGCUAACAACAAAUUAAAACCCUUCGGGUACAAAAAUAACGACUAAAGUAAAAAUAUAAAUGAAACAUUGAACUGUUUUAUGAAAUUAUAAUAAACUUCAAAGGGUAAAAUUGGUUUUUAGAUAAUCAUAAGGGAUUACCAAGCAGAGUUAUAAGUUAUAAGCUUGUGAUGAAACGACGGUUACCACUUAUAGAACUAACAUAAAAAAAUUAAUAGUGAGGGAUGUCUAAUGAAGAUUGGUAGCUAGUAGUGUUAUGUUGUUCAUGAAGUUACAGUUAUAUAUAAAUAUUGUAAGUGGGUGUUGUUUAUUGAAGAUAGGGAGAUCAAAGGGGAAAUGCUGGAAAAUGAUGAUGGAAAAAUAUAAAUCGAUAUUAUCUUUUAUAAUAGUCCUUAUGAACAUCAAAAUUAAGUUUGGUAUUUUUCAUUAUUCAUGUCGGCGAUUUUUACUAGUUUUGAUUUAAGUAAACGUUUUGAUUGACUUCAAUGACUAAAGUAACUAAGAGAAUAAAGAGUGAAGGAUUUAAUUGGCGUUUUAUUCAAGUCGUGGACCAAAAUUAAAUCAUGUUACACUUCUAAGGAGAAAAAUGGUUGUUUUUCCAAUAAUGUUUUCCAAUAUUAAAUUAAAGUUUAUUUAUGCCUUAGGGAUGUUACCAACCAAUUUGUUGGGUUGGAGUUACCUUUGGUGCUUAAGAACAUUUAGACCAAUAAAAAUAUCUUAGAGUACCUUUUAAAGUGGCAAGUACAUAUAGAGUCAUUGUCAAUUGAUGUUAGUACUAAUCAUGGACUAUUUAUUUGCAAACUUGUUUGUUUUUUAGUAGAUUUUUUUUUAAACAGCAAAUUUUAUUUAUAUGCUAACCCAACACAAGAAGUGAAGAGGCUAGAGGAAAGACACAAGAUAACAGAUACAUAAAGACAGACAACUAAACCAAAGGCCAAAAAGCCACAACACAAAACCACCCAAACAACCCUUAAUACAAUAGAAUCACAGCAGAAAAACCUUAACCAAAUCAAGCAAAUUAAAAACAAUUACUUAGUUGAUAUUUGUAUGCCUUGUCGCGUUGAUGUUUCAGAAAUGUCUAGGUGGAGGGGAAUGGUGGUGGGGGGGAAGGGGGUGAAUGUUUAUAAGGUCGAAAUUUGACUACAGGAGGACGGUAAGGGGGUAAAUGUCCUGGGAACUGGUUGGAUGGAGGUUUGAAUAUUGGAGUGAUAUGAAAGGCAGCAUCAGCAAAAUGUUGAGGACCAAACAUAAGAGCAGCAAGGAAUACCACUAGCAAGGAUAAGAAAAAGGAUUUAGCCAUUUUAAGAAGUGAUAUUAUUAUUAGUGUUGGUGCAUAAUACAUAUGGAGUUAACUGGUUUUAUACUAAUUAGAGACUCAAAGUGAGUUUAUGGUCAAUCAAAGUCAUUUACUAAAUGUCAAAAUUGUGUAUGAAUUGAAUUAUUCAACAAUGUUACAAGGUCCAUGUAUUUGCUACUACUUGAUGAUCCUUUCAUUUUCCACACAACAAGACCAUUUAGUAUUAUUGGCUUUAUCUCUCCGCUUGUUUGCACACCAUAUGGUUGCGCUCCUUAAUUCUGAAAUAUAGAAUGAUUUUAAACUCAUUUUAGAUUCUCCAAAAAUUAAAAUCUCAUUCCUACGACAACAGAAAAUGGAAGAAACACAAGAUUGUUGGUGUAUUGGUAGCUUACAGUCUGUUGGAAAAAUUCAAUAAGCUAGUUUAUAGUUUCUUUUAAAAAGUAUAUGAGUUUAUAGUUUAUUUUAUUAAUUCCUUUUUCACAAUUGCUUACCUGUAAGAUUAAAAAGUAUAUGUUUCACAAUUGCUUUUUCAUCACAGACUUAUAGUUAUUUUAUUAAUUUAUAGCUUAUUUUUUAGAAGUUAUUUCAAAUAGUGUAUGAGCUUAUAAUUUAUUAUUUUUAUUUCACGCUUACCUUUCAUCAAAUGAUGGAACCGCUUUCCGGACCCUGCGUAUACGUGAGCUUCAGUGCACCGGGUUGUCCUUUAUUUCAUGCUUACCUUUAUUAUUUUGUCUCAAAUUUAUUUUUAUCCUUUAUAAUUUGUAAUAAAGAAAAUGCUAAAAUGUUCUAAAAAAUUGAUAAUUAAGUCAUAAAAUAUUUACAUUCUAAAAAUAUUCAUUCCAACUUUGUUUAAAGAUGCAUCUUCAUCAUCAUAUUCUUGUAAAAAAAUCAAACAGUAAAUUUCAAACGGAAAUUCUUAAAAUUCUUCAAAAAUGCUUUUAUUUGUACAAUUCUAAAGAAUUUAACCACUCCUUAAAAAAAAAAUUAACCAUGUGAUGAUCAGUACAUAUCCUUUAAUUUUACACACCAUAAAAUCAUUUAGUAUUAUUGGUACUAUAACAAGGUAAUGAGUGGAAGUUAUUUGCUACUAAUAUUCUUGAAUUAAGAUUUAGAAAAACCGUACUCCAAGAGCAUGAUAAAUUUUGCAAAUCUAUUCAAAAAAGAGUAUUGACGAGUUUUACAUUUACACGCUCCUUGAACAUUCAUCAAUAUAUCAUCAACAAAACCAAUAUGUAAAUACUACUCCGUCCCUAAAUAUAUAGGAGUCUUUUGUAAAAAUUACGGAGAUUAAGAAAGUUAGUUUUAGUAUUAAAUUUGAAUAUAAUUACUAUUGUUUUUACGAUUUUAUCCUUAAGAGAGAGUUAAUUUAUGUUUUCAACAUAAUAUUUAUUUUUGAUUGAAGAAAAAGAUGCAAAAUAAAUAAAGGUAUGUUACUAAAUAAAUAAUUAAUGUACUAGGGACGGAGGUAGUAUUAGAUAAGGAACAUGAAUAUUUGGGAGGAAAAAUUCUUUGCAUAAGAGGAUCGUCUUAAACAACAAACUGAAAUUAAAAAUACUUGCAAUUGCGGAAGUCUUAAACAACAAACUGAAAUCAUAUCACGAAUAUUAUUAAGUUAUGGACCAAUUUGUAUGCAACAGUUAACCACCAACUACUGCAAGAAAAUAUCAUAUUAGCUACCAAAAUCUAGCUACGGUCUAUUGCUCUAGUUAAUUUGUCUUUAAUUAGCUUUGCUCUUACUACAAGUGAAGUUUGCUAGCUGAUGCUUACACUUGUUCGUUUUUUUUUUUUUUUUGAUUGUACCCAAAUAAAACUAUUUAGCAUCACUGCAAAUGCAUUUUUUUUCAAUUCUUUUGUUUAUGCAAUUUAGAUUCACUCUUGUGGAAUCUAUAAUGUGGACUCUAUAAUAUAUAUUGUUGAUGUUAAUAUUUUUAAAAUUUUAUUUUCAAAUGAGCGUUCAAAUAUACUGAUGCUAAAAUUUUGUAAAUUUUAAUUCUACAAAAAGCAUGCAUGAAUACUUAUGCAAAAAAAAUUACUCAUUUUUUUCUUUAUUUAUUUUGACAAAAUUUCAUUUUCCCCCAUUUAUCUUCUUUCCCACAAUUUUUUUAACACUUCCCGAAAUCUUUUUCCCACUAAUAUUUUAUUUUCCUUUUUCUUUUUACAACAAUUCAUUUCCUCAUCGAACAAAAAGGGAAAACUCAAGAUGUGAAAAAUCAAUAUGAGAAAGCCAUUUUCUCAAUGUGAGUUUAUGGUCAAUAUAAGUCAUUUACUAAAUUCAACAAUGCUACACUCAUAGGUACCAUGUAGUAUUUGCUAGUUAUUGAUGAUCAGUAGCUAUCCUUUCAUUUUCCACACAACAAGACCAUUUAGUAUUAUUGGCUUUAUCUCUCCACUUGUUUGUGCACCAUGGUUGCACUCAUUAAUUCUGAAUUAUUAUAGAAUGAUUUUAAACUCAUUUUAGGUCCUCCAAAAAUUAAAAUACUCAUUCCUACGACAACACAAAAUGCAAGAAACACAAGAUUGUUGGUGUAUUAUAAGCCUGUAAGAUUAUACCGUAUAUGUUUCACAAUUGCUUUUUCAUCACAAGUUUAUAGUUUAUUUUAUUUGAAGUUAUUACAAAUAGUGUAUGAGCUUAUAAUUUUUUUUUUUUAUUUCAUGCUUACCUUUAUUAUUUUGUUUCAAAUUUAUUUUUAUCCUUUAUAAUUUGAAAUAAAGAAAAUACUAAAAUGUUCUAAAAAAUUGAUGAUUAAGUCAUAAAAUAUUUACAUUCUAAAAAUAUUAAUUCCAACUUUGUUUAAAGAUGCAUCUUCAUCAUCAUAUUCUUGUAAAAAAAAUCAAACAGUAAAUUUUAAAUUGAAAUUCUUAAAAUUCUUCAAAAAUGCCUUUAAUUUUCCACACCACAAAACCAUUUAGUAUUAUUGGUGCUAUGAAAAGGUAAUGAGUGGAAGUUAUUUGCUACUAAUAUUCUUGAAUAGAUUUAGCAAAACCGUACUCCAAGAGCAUGAUAAAUUUUGCAGACGGUGAAAAUUUAUUGUGACAAUAAACUAUUUAAAAAAGAGUAUUGACGAGUUUAACAUUUACACUGUAUAAACCCAAAUAUGCAAAAACCCAUAUACUUCUUGAACAUAUCAAGAAAACCAAGAUGUAAAUAUUAGAUAAGGAACAUAAAUACGUCGGAUGAAAAUUUCUUUGCAUAAGUGGAUCGUAAUAAAAAUUAACAAUAAGUUCUUAAAUACAUGCUUCUGAAAGUCUGAAAUACAAUAAAUACAAUAUGCUCUUAAAUUAACAAUAUCAUAGAAAGUCUGAAACUAAAAAUUGCGGAAGUCUUAAACAACAAACUGAAAUCAUAUCAGAAAUAUUAAGUUAUGGAACCAAUUUGUAUGUAAUAGUGAACCACCAACCAUUACAAGAAAAUAUCAUAUUAGCUACCAAAAUCUAGCUACGGUCUAUUGCUCUAGUUAAUUUGUCUUUAAUUAACUUUGCUCUUACUGCAAGUGCAAUUUGACUGGCUGAUGCUUACACUUGUUCGUUAUUGUAUAAAAAAAUUAAAACAAAUUGUAAUGUCUUCUGAUGCCUUUUGGAUCUUCAUUGAUGGUAUUUCCUAGUUCUUCACAAGUCUUUAAGAUGUUCUGCUUUGCGUAUUUGCAUAAUUUCUUCUUGAAUUAUAUAAAAACUAGAAUUACAUGAGUCAAACAGAAAACAUUACAAAUAUCCCAAAAACCAUAGGAAAUUGUUCUAAUACUCCAUUCUGGAUUAAAACUAAUUGAAAAUGACUGGAAAAACAUGCCAAGAAUAACGUAAGAUGAUAUGUUAUCACAACCUCAAACUUAAACUGUUGUUUGUCGGCAAGUAACGAACGAAAAUAAAUUUUAAUUUUGCAUAUUUUUCAAGAAAAACAUAUCUUUUCAAAGAGGUUGCUCAGAUCGUCUUCUCGUCUCAUUUACAGACUUGACUAACUUACACCUUCCAUGAAAGCGCGACAGAAUUAGAGAAUAUAGCCCAUACUCUCAACCACACUCUUAUCCAUGAUACAUGCAUGUAUCACACAAACUCGGUAGGGUUGGUCACGAUAUUUGUCCACUCUAGUCGUCACAUGAAUGUAUCUUGAUGUAAAUUUGAGAGAACUCUAAACAGACAGUCAAGAUCAUACUAUAUACAAAGUAUUAGUUCUUUCAAGGUUAUAACGUAUCUUAGGUUAAGGUGAGAUAUAUUAGAAAAGUAGGCUAACAAAACAACUUGAAGUUAGAUUAUCAACCUGAGGUUUCCUACUAAACAUUGAAGUACUACUAACAUUCCUUCCUUAAACCAAACAAGAUGGGUAUUAAAUAGAACUAUUUAUCUUUUCCUACAUUUGUUUUAAAAGACCAAAAUAUUUGAUGUUUUUAGCUCUUGAUUUUUUCUUUUUUCUAUUUUUUUAUGUAGACCCAUGGUUAUCAACAUUUUUUCAUUUUUUUUCUUUGUGAUAUAAAUAAGUUCUCUGGUAGCCCUUCCUCAAAAAGAAAUCCAAGUUUAGUUUCAAAUCAUACCAAAUUAUUAAAAAUAUUAUAUCUAACUCCAAGAGAAAUCAAAUAGAUGACUUUAAGGAUCAAAACACCCACAACGAGCCGGUAAUAACACAACGCCUAAAACUGAAAAAAAACAAUGCGUCGAAACUCGUUAAGACAACCGUUAGUCUAAUUGGCUAUAUAAGCCUUAAGGUACUAUUAGACAUAACAAUUCUUUCUUAAUAAAUAUUAUUUUCAUUUCACUUUUUCUAUAUUUUGUUUUCAUUUAUGAGUUCCAUCAAGAAUUGUGAUAAUGUGUCACUUGAAAAAAAGAUAGACUAAUGUCACUUAUGAGUUCUAUCAUGAAUUGUAAUAAUGUGUCACUUUUAUAUACAUAUGUUUCAGUAUGGACGGACUGAAGUCAAACACACGUUAGUACUUAGCCAAAAAGCUCGACAAAGUUUCUGGUAACAUAUUUAAUUAAAAUUCAAUAUAAAUAAAAGUGUGAAAAAGCUACUCAACCGUACAAGUUGCCUUUGCAUCCCAGUGCAACUGACACAAAUGUGGUAGCCUCGGUUAGGCUACUAAUACAAUGUGUUAGUUUACAUCAAAAUAUAUAUUCUUUUUAUCAGCAAAUAAAAUUAACAACAGUCCGAGCGCAAUAACCCGAAAGACUUACAGGUACGAGUGAGAAGGAAAAGCAUGCAGAAAACGACUUCUAUUAGUUCGACAGUUUCGUCAAAGGGUGCAGUGAAUGAAUUUGUAUGAGAUGAUGGGUUAGGGUUCUAUUGAGAAGAAUUUCUGGGUGGAGAUGAGAGGGUUCAGUGAGAAGUUGAGAUGAUGGCAUAUGGUUUGAAGGGUUCGGAGUAGAGAAGUUAAAAUUUGAAGGAUCUGUGGGUAGAUGUUUGAGAGGUUUAGGUUCGAUGAAGUGAUUUUGGUAGAAGUUGUGUUUUGGGUGCAGAAAAGAGGAGAGGGAAUGAACAAUUACUUCAGCGCCAGACGCAAAAUUUUGCGGUUUAUUUUUUUUUUUUUUAUUUAACUUUUUUUUUUUUUAAUUUGGUAUGCCGUAUGUGCAAAGAUAGCCCUUCCCCAUUAAACGCUAACAAAUCAUUUACACCAAUAUUAGCGUUCACUAGAAAACGCUAUCACACUCUUAUCAUCACACACCUUUUUUUUUUAUAAUUUUUUUUAAUACCAUAUAAUAGCACUUUCUAUAAAAGGGCUAAUAUAGGUGUCACGUUAUAAUAGCAUGCGUAACGGAAGUGCUAUUAUUAAUAUUAGAGUCAAUCUUUUCAUAGCAUUUUCUCUAAAAGUGCUAUUAAAUUAGCGUUUCCGUUAUAAUAGUCCUUAUGAACAUCAAAUUAAGUUUGGUAUUUUUCAUUAUUCAUGUCGGCGAUUUUUACUAGUUUUGAUUUAAGUAAACGUUUUGAUUGACUUUAAUGACUAAAGUAACUAAGAGAAUAAAGAGUGAAGGAUUUAAUUGGCGUUUUAUUCAAGUCGUGGACCAAAAUUAAAUCUUGUUACACUUUUAAGGAGAAAAAUGGUUGUUUUUCCAAUAAUGUUUUCCAAUAUUAAAUUACAGUUGUUUUAUGCCUUAGGGAUGUUACACUUAAUUGAUAACUUAAAUAAGGUUUUUGGAGGUAAAUAAGAAAGAUGCAAAACCUCCAGCCAAGCCAAAACAACCCCGUUUCGAUUUGUGAACUUGACCAUAAUAUAUUAUACACAAGAUAUAUAAAAACAAAGCAUUGGUAACUAGUAGAUUUUUUUUUUUUAACAGCAAAGUUUAUUUAUAUGCUAACCCAACACAAGAAGUGAAGAGGCUAGAGGAAAGACGCAAGAUAAGAGAUACAUAAAGACAGACAACUAAACCAAGGCCAAAAAGGCACAACACAAACCACCUAAACAACCCUUAAUACAAUAGAAUCACAGCAGAAAAACCUUAACCAAAUCAAGCAAAAACAAUUGCUUAGUUGAUAUUGGUAUGCCUUGUCGCAUUGAUGUUUCAGAAAUGUCUAGGUGGAGGGGAAUGUUGUCUUAUAUGUGGUAAUACAGGUGGUAAUCCAUGUGGUAAACCCCUUACGAAUGGAGUCAAAUUGGUAAAUUUUUGUUCUGGGAUAGUAAUUGGAGGGAGAUUGCAAAAUGUUGAGGAGAAAACAUAAGAGCAGCAAGGAAUAACACUAAUAAGGAUAAGAAAAAGGAUUUAGCCAUUUUAAGAAGUGAUAUUAUUAUUGUGUUGGUGCAUAAUACAUAUGGAAUUAACUGGUUUUAUACUAAUUAGAGACUCAAUGUGAGUUUAUGGUCAAUCUAAGUUAUUUACUAAAUGUCAAAAUUAUGUAUGAAUUGAAUUAUUCAACAAUGUUACAACUUCCAUGUAUUUGCUACUAGUUGAUGAUCAUUAACUAUCCUUAAUUUCAUUUUCCAUACAGCAAGACCAUUUAGUAUUAUUGGCUCUAUCUUUCCACUAAUAGGUAUGUAUUUGAUAAAUUUUAUACACAUUUUUUUUAAAUAAUUAUUUUUAUUAAAUCGCCCUUAGAAAAGUAAAAAAAAAAACAGCCUUUAAUUAGCCGCUAUAGUUUUUUUUUACAAAACUAGCCAGUAUAGUUUUAUCUCUAUAGUCUAAAUACAUUAUUGUUGUCAUUUACUAAAAUUAUUGAUCUAUAACAAUAACCAUAUACGAAGAAUACCUCAAAAAAAAACAAAAAACGUACGAAGGAGAAUCAACCAUCUGGAUAAUACAUAUCCUUAUUUUAUUUAUUUGAAUUUGAAUGGCAACCACCAAAGCCACAUAUAGAAAGAAUAUUUUCCUACCAAUCGUACAUGAUGCCCAUAACAAAAGAUAGGUUCCAUAAUAUGGCCCCAUAAUAUCCUUAUCCUUAUAAUUAUGGUUCAGAAAAUAAAAAACCUCGUUAAGUUUUAGGAUUAUUUUAAGUUGAUAAAUAUUAACGAGUAUCUUCAGAGCAUUUUUUAAGCAUCUAAAGUGGUAAGAUUUUAUGAAAGUUGAGCAUUUAUUAUAUUGGAAAUUGAAGUCUUUACAUUUCUUUUAAAAAUAAUUUUUUCAUUAUAAAUGCUUAAAAGAUGCUCCAUGGACAUUCAUUAACAGGACUCUUUUAAGUUUUAGAAUGUUAGCAUUUCCCUAAGACACAUGUUAAAGAUAGAGAUAUAUUAUGGCCUCUCACGGUAGCACCCGCCUACGUAGCGAGUUUAUGGUCAAUCUAAGUCAUUUACUAAAUGUCAAAAUUGUGUAUGAAUUGAAUUAUUCAACAAUGUUACAAGCUCCAUGUAUUUGCUACUAGUUGAUGAUCACUAACUAUCCUUUCAUUUUCCAUACAACUAGACCAUUUUUUUUUAGUAUUAUUUGCUCUAUCUCUCCACUUGUUUCCACAAAUAUGAUUAAUUUUUUUCGAAAAUUUUGUUUUUUUAAAUAUGAUAUUAUGGAAAACAAAAUUCGAAAAUUUGAAUAUAUAUUAAUCUUUUCCACAAUUUUUUUAAAUAUUUCCCGAUUAUUUUUAUAAUUUUUCCAGAUUUUUUUCAUUAUUUUUUAUUUUACCAGAUUUUUUUAAUCAUUAUUAAUUUUUACAUUUUUUUUUUAAAAUUUUUCAGUAUUUUUUUUAAUCAUUAUUCGUUUUUUAAAUUUUUUUAUUUUUAUUUUAAAAAAAUCACAAAUGCCACGUGGCGUUCAUUUACACGCGUGGCAUGAAAAAAAUUAAACAAAAAAAAAUUGACACGUCACUGCCACGUAGUAGAUUCUGCCGACACAUUGAGGUGAGGGGUCAAUCCUGAAGAAUCUUCAUUUUUCAAGGGUGGAAUCUAAAAAAAAAAAAUUACAGGGGCUAAAACCAAAAGUGCAUUAUAUUACAAAGGCCAAAAACACUAUUAACACUAUAUUAUUACUUCUUCUUUUUUAUAAAAAUCCAAAUAAAAAUCAUUUGCAUUGCAGCCAAUUGGCCAAAUGCAACAUGACAAGCGCAAAAUUGCUCCAUGUUGACUUGUGAGAACUCUUGUUCUAGAUAGAGAACCUUAUAGUUUUUGUUGUCACAGAAAAUGUUAAACAACUUUUUCCAUGCAAUUUAUGCGUCUGAAUCGCGCUUGAUGAUGGUGAUGAGAAUAUAUUCUGAGGUGGUGUCAUAUAUCCAUUAUAAUACGACAACAUCAAAAAGCGGCCAAAGAUUGGGAUUGAUUUCUUUGAGAGAGGGAGUUGUUGGCUUAUUAGUGGGUGAGGGAGGAAUGAUGUGAUGAAAGACUUGAUGAACCCUUGCAUGAAUUUUAAAGAGUUCGAACCACGUAUUAUAUUGGACCCUUUUUUAUACUAAACGUAACCUUGAUGAAAUUGGUGAUAAUUGAAAAUGGUGGUAGAGGGAUGGAUAGGUGUGGAAGGAGUUGGGGUUGAAAUUGUCCUUCGAGUGGUAGUAUUUUUGGGGAUGAUUCGGCCCUGAUGGUGAAUGAAGGAGAAGAGGAACGAUGGCGCUGUAUUAGGUUUACGAGAGAAGGAUGAGUACCAAUAACUUACUGAUACCAUGUAAGAAUUAUAAUAAGAUAAUUAUUAGUCGUGUGUCAUUUGCAUUGAGAGGAUCCGUUGACACUAGGUGUCAAACUUUAGUUUGACAUCAAAUCUCAACCGUCUAUUAUGUCUAAUCUAAUGGUCUGUGAUUAUUUAUUAAAUUAACUUGUGUGAUCUUUUUCCCAUGUCUCACCUGAUCCCACGCCGGCUGUUCUGCUCCAUCUCCUUCAACUUAUCAAAGUUAAUAUGGCCAACAAUCAAAUACACACACAAAUUAAUUCUUUUAUUUUUUAAAGAAGAAGAAGCUAAAUUAGCCCACACAAAUUGGCACCGGAGAGAAUCGAUCCUGAGACCUCGAGGAGGAGCACACUCCCAGAUCCCAAGUCAAUACCACCAGACCAACCCAAAUGAUAAAUAAGGAGUUAAUUCUAAAUAAGGAGUUAUACAUAUAAUUACAUAUUGUUGACAUUAAUUGUUCUCUGUGGGGCAAGAUACUUGAGGUGUAAGUUUCAUAAGAUGCAAGUUCUUUUAAGUCUAAAUUGUCUUAUACUUACAUUAUUUUAGGUCUAAAUUUCAGAAACCAUUAUCACAAAUUUUUUGACAAUCUUAUAUCACAUACUCGUACUAUAUUUUUACUUCUCUUUUUGUUGUUUUGGUUUUUGUUUUCAUACCUAAUUUUCCUUGUAAAUAUAUAGUUGUCUCAUAAAUUAUCGUUAAAAUUGUUGUUCAAAUAACACAACUCUUAUUUCUAAUACUCAAAAUUUGUUCAAAUUAAGUUUUUAAAGAACUUCUAAUAAAAUCAGAUUAAGUUUUUUUGAACUUUCUAAAUACUUAAAUUGAAUUUUCUCGAAUAUACAUCUUGGAGAAAGAAAAAAAAUAAUUAUAGGAGGGAGAUGCAAAACUUACGUUUUCUUUCUCUAGAAACAUAUUUUGAGUUUUCAAUAUCAUCAAAAUCAUAAACUUUAUUUAUUUGCAAAUCUAGAGCACAUAUAGCACGAUUUUCUCUCAUAAUUUACAUUGAUAUAACACAUAUUAUGUUCUUACCUUGCCCAAACAUUCGGGAUUUAAUUGAUAAUGUAAAAGAUGUUUUCAAAUGUAGAAUAAGAAAGAUGGAAAACCUCCAAGCCAAAUUAUACACAAGAAUAUAAAACAAAGCAUUUACUUGGUAGAUAAUAUUUUCUUUUUAAACAGCAAAUUUUAUUCAUAAUAAGAUAACCUAACACAAGAAGUGAAGAGGCUAUAGGGGAAAGACACAAGGUAACAAUACAUAAAGACAACUAAACCAAUGCUAAAAAGCCACAUCACAAAACCACCCAAACAACCCUUAAUACAAUAUAAUUGAACCAGUUUCCAUCAACACCACAUCAAUAGACCCCUAAAUAAUUGAACAAAAACCAGCCACCUAAACUUCCUGGUACCAGUAAAUUACAAUUACUUAGUAGAUAUUGAUAUGUCUUGUUGCAUUGAUGUUUCAGAAAUGUGUGGCUGGAGGGUAAUCUUUGGGUCGUAACUUCCACAAUAUCUUCGAGCAGCGAUUGAUUUUGGGAGGUUUGAAUUUUGGCAAGGCAGCAUCAACAGCAAAAUGUUGAGGAGCAAGCAUAAAAGCAGCAAGGAAUAACACUAAUAAGGAUAAGAAAAAGGAAUUAGCCAUUUUAAGAAGUGAUAUUAUUAUUGUGUUGGUGCAUAAUACAUAGGUAGUUAACUGGCUUUAUACUAGUUAGAGACUCAAUGUGAUUUUUUGGUCAAUCUAAGUCAUUGUGUAUGAAUUCAAUCAUUCAACACGUAGGUUCCAUGCAUUUGGAAAACUAGUUGAUGAUUAAUAAUGUUCAAUAUAUUAGGCUAUGAAUUGUUUAUGAAUUGAAUUAUUGAACAAUGUUACAUGUUCCAUGUAUUUGCAACUAGUUGAUGAUUGGUAGCUACCUAUCCUUUAAUUUUCCACACAACAAGACCAUUCAGUAAUAUUGGCUCUAUAUCUCCACUUGUUUGCCCACACCGUGGUUUAGCUGAAAAAACAGUGUACUGGAGGUGGAACAUGUUUUAAUAACAUUAAUAUGUAGAUAUUAUUAUUUAUGCAUUGAACCCUGUAUUGAUAAAAAUUCCACAUAGGUUACUUUAUUUGUCAUUUAUGCUUGAAUAUAUAAAUACAAAACAGUGUUUUUUCUUAUUAAAAUAGGGGGAUUUUAGGCUAGCUUUUGUUAUUCUAAUUAUACCCUUAAAUAAAUAAAAAAUCAAAUAAUGUAAUAUUGUUGGUAUAAUUAAAAAAAUAAGAAUUUUUGUUAUAUUAUUGUUGUCAUUGAGUAAGAUAAAUAUGGUUUGUUGAGUUUGUUACAUUUGAAAGUCACAUAUAUUUAUACUUAUAAUUUUAAUCUAUAUCAAAGAGUUUAUAUAAAAUAUCGGUUGUAAUUUACACGCAAAAUUUCUAUAAAUUAUCGUAGAUAAUCUAUACACGUUAACGUAUUAAAAAGAGUAGAAAGAUGCGCAUGUGACUGCCCGUAUUUUGGUCCCUUAACUUCUCUCUCUUACACAUUUUGGUCCUUUCCAUUAGUUUAAUUCAAAAACGUUGAAUUUUCUUCAUCUUCUUCUCCUCUUUUUCAUCUUCAUAUCAUCUCCAUCAACCUUCAACAACAAGAAUCCCAAAAAAAAUUAUAGAAGAAAAUGAAGAAAACCUAACGUUUUUGAAUUAAAACUAACGGAAAUGGCCAAAAUGUGUAACAGAGAGAAGUUAUGAGACCAAAAUAAAUCGAAUUUUAAUUAAGGGAUCAAAGCGAUACUACCUAAAUAGUUAAGGGACCAAAAAUGCAAUUUAGCCUAUAAUCUAAUAUCAUCGUUAUUAAAUAUUAUUUUAUAAUCUAAUAUCAUUGUUAUUAAAUUUUAUAGCAAGUAUCAAACGAAGAACCGAGAGUUGUUGUUUGAUAUUGUUAUUUAAUCAUGUCUCGUAUAUCAAAGGAAGGAUCGAGAGGUAAAAUUUGAUAUUGGAAUAAAUGAGAUUGUAAACGAUAAGCAAAAUAUGAGAAAAAUUUUGUGACUCUUAUGACAAUAAGGUUAUAAGGUUGCACUCAAAAAGUUUUAAUGAUUAUCAACUAUGAGAAUAGGUUUAAUUACUGUUGAGAUACAUUCAUGUAAUCUGAUAGGAAACAUGAAAUAUCAAAGAACAUCUUGUCCUUAGAAACGAAUAGAGAAAUAUAUAGGGAAUGUUUAGAAUUUAACUUUAUGAUGAAAACCUCAAUCUCAUGACGCAUUUUAAUAUCUGAAUUUUAAUCUAAAAAAUCAUUGCACUUAAUCAACUUAUCUUUUUCAGCUAAUCAAGACUAAAAAUUAGAUUAGAAUUUACUUUAAGUCCAUGUGAAUCGAUAUUUUACUAGAACCGUACACUUGCAGAAACCUAUCAAAGACCCUAUUGAUGUAUAUGGAAUCGUAGUUACCUAUCAAAGCUACAAAAUUUAGAUCGGACUUGGGGGUCUUUCUAACCGUUCUUGAAGUCGUAGGGGGGUUCGUUUACCGGAUGUAGCAUCGAAGGCUUGAGUGCAGAGUUCGAAGGGGUGCACAAGUAUUCAAGGAUCCGAAGAUUCAAGAAGCACCAAAUUUAAGGGUUACUUGGAGUUUGGGGGAGUGUUUUACAUAGGAGUUGAAGAAUUAGGUUUUAAUUUCAAGGAACUCUUGUAAACACAUUGUAUUCAACAUUUGUUACAUGGUGGAUGAUCUCGGUGAAGAUGUACUUAAUCAAGAAGAGUAGAGGUAGAUCUAGAGAGGACGAGAAAGAGCAAUCUAUUAUAAAAAUAUCGGUGUGAUCUCUCUUUCCCUAUCCUCUUUACUUUUAGAUAUUGCAUGUGAUUAAUUGAAUAAUUUUUAGGAUAAUUUCUAGUGUUGAUCUAAGUUGUUUUUCAUUGAAAAUCAAUCUAAUUCAUUGAAUUAGGUUUCAUAUAAUUUGCUUAGAUCAAUUGAAUGCAAAAUCUAUUCAAUUCUUCAAUUACACAUGUAUUGUGUUUUUUAUUUGAUAACUUAGUAAUUUUGUUCAUAUAGAUUUGGUUUGAAAUUGUCUAUUGUUUUAUACAUUGUUCAAGGAAUAUUAAAGUUUGAUUGUAUAAUAACAUUUAGUAACAAGGUGAUUGCAACACUUGAAAAAUUGUUAGCUGAUAUAGUGAUAUAGUAACAAUUGAGUAAAAGUGUUAGAUCCAAUACAACAAGUACCAUCCCUAAAAAAAAAACAAAAAUACAAGUAACAAUAGAACUCAUUCGUUAUUCAUUCACGUGUUAAAAAAUUUAGCUGAAAAAACAGUGUACUGGAGGUGGAACCUGUUUUAAUAACAUUAAUAUAUAGAUAUUAUUAUAUAUGCAUUGAACCCUGUAUGAUUUAUUGAUAAAAAUUCCACAUUACGUUAUUUGUCAUUUAUGCUUGAAUAUAAAAAUACAAAACAGUGUUUUUUCUUAUUAAAUUUUUUAAUUAAUUUAUAAAGACUUUUAAUAACUUAGUGUUUACCAAUUGCACUCAUUAAUUCUUAAUUAUAGAAUAAUUGUAAACCCAUUUUAGAUCCUCCAAAAAUGAAGAAAGCUCAUUCUUAGGACAACACAAAAUGGAAGAAACUCAAGAUUGUUGGCAUAUUGGUAGACUAUUUCUGUUUGACAAAUUCAAUAAUCUAGUUUAUAGUUUAUAAGUCCGAAUGAUUAAAAAAUAUAUGUUUCAUAACUGUUUUUUCAUCACAAGUUUUAUAGUUUAUUUUAUUAGUUUGUAGGUUUUUUUUUAGACUUUAUUCCAAAUGUGGAAUAACGUUUGAGAUUAUAGUUUAUCCUUUAUAAUCUAUAUUAUAUAUAAUGAAAAUAGGGGGAUUUUAGGCUAUCUUUUUUGUUAUUCUAAUUAUAUCCUUAAAUAAAAAGAAAUCAAAUAAUGUAAUAUUGUUGGUGUAAUUAAAAAAAUAAGAAUUUUUGUUAUAUUAUUGUUGUCAUUGAGAAAGAUAAAUAAAUAUAGUUUGUUGAGUUUGUUACAUUUGAAAGUCACAUAUAUUUAUACUUAUAAUUUCAAUCUAUAUCAAAGAGUUUAUAUAAAAUAUCGGUUGUAAUUUACAAGCAGAAUUUCUAUAAAUUAUCAUAGAUAAUCUAUACACGUUCACGUAAUAAAAAAAAGCAGAAAGAUGCGCACGUAAAUGCCCGUCUUUGCACUAGUUUAUUAUAAAAAAAAUGCUAAAAUGUUCAGUUCUUUUGGUCAUACUGCACAAAUUAUUUGGUAGCUUGACAUAUAUGUUACUGAUGUAAACUUCACUCUCACUUUAAUUAUGUUACUCCACAGUCCUCUAAAAUUGUGUUUCUCUUUUUUCCCUAAAACUUCUCUUUUGGAUUAUUCAAUCCGAAUUAAGUUGUUUCUGGUUUGAAAUAUAUAAUUUGAACUGCUUCUAUAUAUGUUUUCUCUUUAUUUUGUGGCUAUUUAUUAAUUGUGUGUAUAUCUGAUUUUAACACUUUCAAAUAUUGAUCGCAUGGGCUGUGUUAGGAAUGAUAGAAUUUCCUUGACUGCAUCUUCUAGGUGAGAGCAGACGUAGAAGAAUGUACUAGAAAGGAGAGUGGUCAAGGGCAGGGGCAUGGUCCGCAAUGCUGAGACGCAGAGAGGUCGUCAGUUCCUAGACAUUAGUGGAAGUUUAGGGCGCAUCGGGGAACAUGUCAGAAAUAUUUAACUUUUUUAGUGAAUAUUUUUUUAAUUUAAAAUUUUUAAAGAGUGUCUCGAAGAUACUCGUUGGCAAGACUGAUAAGUUGUAGUUAAUGGUGUUUUUAACAUUUAAAUUCAAUAAUAUUUACGUUGUUUUAGUUUUAAUUUAGAUUCAUUUUACUGGAAAGCAUUAGUUUUUGUUUUCAUAAUCAAAAAUUUGAAGAACAGUGUACCUGGAUCAAGAGCGAGGAUAAAGAGCCAUAAAGCAACAACAUGGAUUGUUCGUGGUUCCAUCUGGGUUGUGCACUUCUUAAAAUGUCAGAAUUUCAAAAGUUGAAGUACAAGCACGACCGUGCCCCCCAACACCGUAGAAAUAAGCAUGAUUGUGCGCUUCAGAAGCACGACUUUGCACCCCUCAAAACAUGUCAAAAGUUGGAAAGGUGAUCAUGACCGUGUACCCUUGAAGCAUGACUGUGCACCCUUGAAGCACGACCGUGCGUCUUGUGCAGAGAAAAUAGUUGUUACAACCUUUUAGAAUUCUUUAGUUUAUGGCUUGUAACUCGUUUUUAAUAUAUUAUAUGAGGCUCUAGGCUAUAAAUAUACCUCACUUCUAAGGAAAAAAGAAUCUUAGAUACUUGUAAACUUACUCUAAAGUUGAAAACAUAAUUUUGCAAUGUUCUAAGUUCUUUGUUCUUUAUUUUUCAUUUCUUUACAUUUGUGUUCUUUACUCUUCUGUUCUUUACAUUUUAAGUUAUUUACUUUCAUGUCUUUUACUUUCUUGUCUUUAUAUAUUAAUCAUUCGUCUACUAUGAGAGAGAGAGAGAGAGAGAGAGAGAGAGAGAGAGAGAGAGAGAGAGAGAGAGAGAGAGAGAGAGAGAGAGAGAGAGAGAGAGAGAGAGAGAGAGAGAGAGAGAGAGAGGUGAUAUUAGUGCAGAACACAUAGCAAAAGAGAAUGAAAAAAGAAGAUCCCGAUCCUUUUCUAAAGGAGAAUCAACCAUCUAUAUAACGACAAAUUUAAACCCAUCAAGUACAAAAAAACGAUCAAGGUAAAAAAUAUAAACGGAACAUUGAACAAUUUUAUUAAAUUAUAAUAAACUUCAAAGGGUAAAAUUGGUUUUUAGAUAAACAUAUAAGGGGUUACCAAAUAGGGUUACAAGUUAUAAGCUUGUGAAGAAAACGUCUUGGUUGACUUCAAUGACUAAAGUAACUAAGACCAAAGAGUGAAUGAUUUAAUUCGGAUUUUAUCUAAGUCAUUGACCAAAAUUACAUCUUGUUACACUUUUAAGGAGAAAAAUGGUUGUUUUCUCAAUAAUGUUUUCCAAUAUUAAAUUAAUGUUGUUUUCUGCCUUAGGGAUGUUACCAAUUUGUUAUGUUGGAGUUACCUUUAGUGCUAAGAAACCUUUAGACCAAUAAAAAUAUUUUGAGUCCCUUUUAAAGUGGUAAAUACACUAAUAUAAAGUCAUUGUCAAUUGAUGUUAGGACUAUUUAUUAAUAAUGCAAUAUUUACUUGUUGUUCUUUGGUAGACACUUAAGGUGCGUUUGAUUUGUUAAAAAAUGAAGGACAGAACAACUCUAGUUGUCCAGUGUUUGAUUUGUAAAACUGUUUUAGGUACAAGACAAUUUGGAGGCAAGGGACAGGACAAAAACUCAUUUUUGUCCCUCACCAACCCACAACACAACUUUUUGUCCCACGUACAAGUUGUCUAAAAUACCAAAAUAGCAUUUUGUCCCUCAAAAAUCGUAUAAAACAAAAAAUUACUCAAUGCCAUAAAAAAUUUGUCCUGUCUUGUUCUGCCUUGUGUUGUACUGUUCUAUCUUGUACUGUUUUGUCCGGUACUUGCUGUUUUGCAAACCAAACACACCCUUAGAGGUCAUUUUUGUGGACUGUAGGUACCUAAAGCUCUAUGAACUUGGUUAUAUCAUAGAUAACGUCGUAUUGGAAAAACGGAAAUGAAAGACUCAUCUCUCACUCUACUUAGGGCUAGCCAAUUGUCAAACGCCAAUUGUCAAACUUGGUUACAAUUAAUUUUUUUUGGAAAACUUAUUUUGAAUUUUCUACAUGUCAUGAAAAAUUCAAAUUUCUGUUUUCUGAUUAGAAGAUCAAUAAACGGUUCAAUAUCAUCACAAUCUCCAAAUCAUAACUUCAUUCAUUUGCAAAUCUAGAGCACAUAUAUCACGAUUUUCUAUCAUGAUUUGCAUUGAUAUAAGUAAGUAUAACACAUAUAUUUUACUCUUAACUUAGCCAUACAUUGCGGAUUUACUUAGUAGAUAGAGUAAUGUUUUUUUUUAAACAACAAAUUUUAUUCAUAAGCUAACCCAACACAAGAAGUGAAGAGGCUAGAGGAAACACACAAGACAACAGAUACAUAAAGACAACUAAACCACCCAAACAAUCCUUAAUACAAUAGAAUAACAUCAGAAAAACCAGCCACCUAAACUUCCUAGUACCAUGAAACAAUGUCAGGUCGCGUUGAUUUUUAGGCUGGAGGGCAAUGUUUGUUUCGGAAGUUCUCGACUUUCUUCAACAAAGGGUAGUGCUUUUUGCAGAAAUCGGGUAUAUGGGGUAUAUGUACUGGUUUAUCUUUUGGGAUUAAAUUUUUGAUUUUUGGGAUUAAUGCUUCAACUGCGGGACCAAAGCUAACAGCAUCAGCAAAAUGUUGUUGAGGAGCAAGCAUAAAAGCAGCAAGGAAUAACACUAAUAAGGAUAAGAAAAAUGAAUUAGCCAUUUUAAGAAGUGAUAUAAUUAUUAGUGUUGGUGCAUAAUACAUAUGGAGUAUACUGGUUUUAUACUAGUUAGAGACUCAAUGUGAGUUUAUGGUCGAUCUAAGUCAUUUACUAAAUGUCAAAAUUGUGUAUGAAUUGAAUUAUUCAACAAUGUUACAAGUUCCAUGUAGUUGCUACUAGUUUAUGAAUUGAAUUAUUCAUUCGAUUCUCCGCGCGACUCAGGUGCAUGCCGAAACCGUUUUAAUUAUAUGAGCAAAUUAAUAAAUAAAUGGGUUGGUGCUUAUGAUGGUGCUAAGCGUUUGCAAGGAAGCGGUUGGUCGAAAGAUGAUGUUUUGGAAAAAGCCCAUGAAUUAUAUGUGAAACACCCCGUUUUCCCAACUUGAAUUUUUUUGCAUAAAUCAGAGUAAAACAACUAAACAGGAUGCUGCACUUCUUUCAAAUCUGAAUAUAGUAAAAUUACUAAUUAUCUCAAUCAUCAAAUUAAAUCUUAUUGCAGCGGAAAUUAGUUCAACGUUUAAAACAACCUUGGCACAAAGGCCUCAAUGUAAAAUCUCAUAAAAUUAUUCCAACAACAUGUUCAUAAAACUUCAUAAAAUAAUACGUAAGGAACGUAAAGCAACAACAAAAUUCUCAUCCCGUUACGUAUCAGAGCACCUAAGACACACGUGAGAGAAUCCACUCACGACCGCAACUAUUCUUGGUUACCUGCAAGUUACUCAAUUGUGAGGGCAACAUUUCCAAGCAGAAGGGGUGAGAUUUCACAUUCAAUAAUAAUAAGCAUAUAAUUCAUCAAAUUCAUUUAACAACUUAAACUUCAUCAAUUAGUAACACUAACUCUUCGCAUAAAUACUUCAUUAAUUAAUAACAUUAACUCUUCCUAUAAGACUUCAUUAAUAACUCAAUCAACUUCUAAUCAUCAUUAACUUCAUAUUCAUCACAUUAUAUACAACGUCAUACAGCACGUAAUAAUCAAAUCAUAAACAUCAUCAUAUAAAAACCUAAUCAUCACAUCAUAAACAUCAUCUUAUAACAUCAUAUAGUUCACAUCAUAAACAUCAUCAUAUAACAACAUAAACAUCACAACAUAAACAUGAAAUAAGGUUAUAAGGUUGCACUCAAAAAGUUUUAGUGAUAGUCAACUAUGAGAAUAGGUCUAAUUACUGUUGAGAUACAUUCAUGUAAUCUUAUAGGAAACAUGAAAUACCAAAGAACAUCUUGUCCUUAGAAAUGAAUAGAGAAAUAGAUAUGGAAUGUUUAGGAUUUAACUUUAUGAUGAAAACCGCAAUCUCAUGACGCAUUUUUAUAUCUAAAUUUUAAUCAAAAAAAAUAAUUGCACUUAAUCAAUUUAUUUUUUUCAGCUAAUCAAAACUAAAAAUUAGAUUAGUAUUUACUUAAAGUCCAUGUGAAUCGAUAUUUUACUAGAACCGUACACUUGCGUAAACCUAUCAAAGACCCUAUUGAUGUAUAUGGAAUCGUAGUUACCUAUCAAAGCUACAAAAAAAAUUAGAUCGGAAUUGGGGUCUUUCUGACCAUUCUUGAAGUCGAAGGGGGUUCGUUUACUGGAUGUAGCAUCGAAGGCUUGAGUGAAGAGUUCGAAGGGGUGCACGGGUAUUCAAGGAUCUGAAGAUUCAAGAAGCACCAAAUUUAAGGGUUACUUGGAGUUUGGGGGAGUGUUUUACAUAGGAGUUGAAGAAUUAGGUUUUAAUUUCAAGGAACUUUUGUAAACACAUUUGUAUUCAACUAUUAUAAAAAUAUCGGUGUUAUCUCUCUUUCCCUAUCCUCUUUACUUUUAGCUAUUGCAUGUGAUUAAUUGAAUAAUUUUUAGAAUAAUUGCUAGUGUUGAUCUAAGUUAUUUUUCAUUGAAAAUCAAUCUAAUUCAUUGAAUUAGGUUUCAUAUAAUUUGCUUAGAUCAAUUGAUUGAAAAAUCUAUUCAAUUCUUCAAUUACACAUGUAUUGUGUUUUUGAUUUGAUAACUUAGUAAUUUUGUUCAUGUAGGUUUGGUUUGAAAUUGUCUAUUGUUUUGUACAUUGUUCAAGGAAUAUUAAAGUUUGAUUGUAUAAUAAGAUUUGUAUCGUGAAUCUCUCAAUUCUAAGAUUAAGUCUCAUUGCACAUAUAUUUGACCUUUUGAUUCCUUGAUUGUCAUUGUUCGACCACGAAUCCAAUAGUCAAUUUUGUUGAGAGAGAGAGAGAGAGAGAGAGAUUGGAUGGACGGGUGAUAUUAGUGCAGAACACAGCAAAAGAGAAUCGAAAAAAGAGGAUCUUGAUCCUUUUCUAAAGGAGAAUCAACCAUCUAUAUAAUGACAAUUUUAAACCCAUCAAGUACAAAAAUAACGAGCAAGGUGAAAAUAUAAACGUAACAUUGAACUAUUUUAUUAAAUGAUAAUAAACUUCAAAGGGUAAAAUUGGUUUUUAGAUAAACAUAUAAGGGGUUACUAAAAAGGGUUACAAGUUUUUUUUUUUUUUUGAAAGAAGGGAUACAAAUUAUAAGCUUGCGAAGAAAAGACGGUUAUCAAACACAGCCUAUGCAGCUCAUGAAGCUGCCAUAAAAAUUUUAAUAGUGGGGGAUGUUUAAUGAAGAUUAGUAGUAGUGUUACGUUAUUCAUGGAGCUAUAGUUAUAAAUAAUUUUAAAGUGGGUAAUGUUUAUUGAAGAUAGGGAGAUCGAAGCGGAAAUGCUGAAAAAUGAUGAUGGAAAAAUAUAAAUCGAUAUUAUCUUUUAUUUUAGUCAGAAUUUAAAUUUGGUAUUUUUCAGUAUCCAUGUCGGCGAUUUUGACUAAUUUUGAUUAAGUAAACGUCUUAGUUGACUUCAAUGACUAAAGUAACUAAGAACAAAGAGUGAAUGAUUUAAUUCGGGUUUUAUCUAAGUCAUUGACCAAAAUUACAUCUUGUUACACUUUUAAGGAGAAAAAUGGUUGUUUUCCCAAUAAUGUUUUCCAAUAUUAAAUUAAUGUUGUUUUCUGCCUUAGGGAUGUUACCAAUUUGUUAUGUUGGAGUUACCUUUAGUGCUAAGAAACCUUUAGACCAAUAAAAAUAUUUUGAGUCCCUUUUAAAGUGGUAAAUACACUAAUAUAAAGUCAUUGUCAAUUGAUGUUAGGACUAUUUAUUAAGAAUGCAAUAUUUACUUGUUGUUCUUUGGUAGACACUUAGAGUUCAUUUUUGUGGACUGUAUGAACUUGGUUAUAUCAUAGUUAACGUCGUAUUAGACAAACGGAAAUGAAAGACUCAUCUCUCACUCUACUUAGGACUAGCCAAUUGUCAAACUUGGUUACAAUUUAUUUUGUUUGGAAAACUUAAUUUGAAUUUUCUACAUGUCAUGAAAAAUUCAAAUUUCUGUUUUCUGAUUAGAAGAUCAAUAAACGGUUCAAUAUCAUCACAAUCUCCAAAUCAUAACUUCAUUCAUUUGCAAAUCUAGAGCACAUAUAUCACGAUUUUCUAUCAUGAUUUGCAUUGAUAUAAGUAAGUAUAACACAUAUAUUUUACUCUUAACUUAGCCAUACAUUGCGGAUUUACUUAGUAGAUAGAGUAAUGUUUUUUUUUAAACAACAAAUUUUAUUCAUAAGCUAACCCAACACAAGAAGUGAAGAGGCUAGAGGAAACACACAAGACAACAGAUACAUAAAGACAACUAAACCACCCAAACAAUCCUUAAUACAAUAGAAUAACAUCAGAAAAACCAGCCACCUAAACUUCCUAGUACCAUGAAACAAUGUCAGGUCGCGUUGAUUUUUAGGCUGGAGGGCAAUGUUUGUUUCGGAAGUUCUCGACUUUCUUCAACAAAGGGUAGUGCUUUUUGCAGAAAUCGGGUAUAUGGGGUAUAUGUACUGGUUUAUCUUUUGGGAUUAAAUUUUUGAUUUUUGGGAUUAAUGCUUCAACUGCGGGACCAAAGCUAACAGCAUCAGCAAAAUGUUGUUGAGGAGCAAGCAUAAAAGCAGCAAGGAAUAACACUAAUAAGGAUAAGAAAAAUGAAUUAGCCAUUUUAAGAAGUGAUAUAAUUAUUAGUGUUGGUGCAUAAUACAUAUGGAGUAUACUGGUUUUAUACUAGUUAGAGACUCAAUGUGAGUUUAUGGUCAAUCUAAGUCAUGUACUAAAUGUCAAAAUUGUGUAUGAAUUGAAUUAUUCAACAAUGUUACAUGUUCCUUCCAUGUAUUUGCUACUAGUUGAUGAUCAGUCCCUACCUAUCCUUUAAUUUUCCACACAACAAGACCAUUCAGUAAUAUUGGCUCUAUCUCUCCACUUGUUUGCCCACCAUGGUUUAGCUGAAAAAACAGUGCAACUUGUUUCAAUAACAUUAAUAUAUAUAGAUAUUACUAUUUAUAUAUGCAUUGAACCCUGUAUGAUUUAUUUAUUUAUAAAAAUUCCAAAUAGGUUACUUUAUUUGUCAUUUAUGCUUGAAUAUGAAAAUACAAAACAGUGUUUUUUCUCAUUAAAAUUUUUACUAUAAAGAUUUUUAAUAACUUAGUGUUUACCAAUUGCACUUACUAAUUCUUAAUUAUAGAAUGAUGAUUAAAAAUUGUAUGUUUCAUAACUGUUUUUCA